GUACGGGGUGUAAGACCCUGCGUCUCCGAACGAAGAUGUAACGAAACCGGGAAAUUAUCGCAGUUUAUUUGUGCACGGAGCUUUGUAUACGUACGUAGGAAAUCUUGGUCCUCUAAUUUGUAUUAAAUAGUGUAAAGGAAAUUAAGCAGAAAUGAGUGAAGACGUGAAGAAGACGUUGUAACAGGACUAAAGUCUUAAAAUAGAGUGAUUUGGAUGGCCGUGUGGACAUCGAUAAUGGCCCCCAUACUGCAUUGCGCAUGGUUAUGUGAAAAGAAUUAAAGAAACACACAGUAGAGGUUGAGUUUGUUGGUGUUAAUGAAAAUGCAUGUCGAUAGUGGUAUUUUGUGCUAAAGGUUGAUAUAAUUGCAUCAGCCACACUUAUAAAAACUGUGUAUAUGAAUGUUAGAGUAAUGUUUAUCGUCUGCAUUUUGUGAAAGUUGUGAGGUAAAGUAUGGUUUGUUAAGUGAAAUGAUCGUGUAUAUAUGUUUUGUUCCAUUAGUAGACGAUCAGUAUUUAUGUUACAAACGAAAGCAUAUGGGGAGGCUGAAAAAAAAAUGUGUAGCGACCAUGGUUAGAAAAAGCAUUGAACAACCACACAGGGGUUGUAAGUAUGGGGCAGGAUGGGGUGCUUAAAACUCAUGACAUGGUGCAGGAAACAGAGAAGGGAAAAAUGGGGAUGGAUGGUUGCGGCAGGUUAAUGUCAUUUGACCUUAACCAAGAACCUGAGUGUGACCGAGACACAUGCAGUGAAGAAAGCGGUGGUUCAAUAGGAGGACACGAAGAUGAGGAGGCAGAUGAAUUGGUGGGCGCAAUAGGCGUGGAUGACGUAAUGAAAUUAACAUUUGACACGGAAGAAGAAGCUGGGGAAUUUUAUAAUUUGUAUGCGAAACUAAGCGGAUUUGGGAUUCGUAAAAGUAAUGCCAAACGAGAUGAAGAUGGCAUUUCAAGAUUUAGAAAAUGGGUAUGUUGCUGUGAAGGUUAUAGGAAUGAAAAGUGGUUUAAUUAUGAAGACCGGAAAAGAGAAGCAAAAGCAAUCACAAGGACCGGGUGUGGGGCUUGCUUUCGCGUGAAAUAUGACACAGAAUCGGUAAAGUAUGUGGUGACACGUUUCAUUAUGGAGCACAAUCACCCGCUGGCAUCAGAGGUAAGUGUGCAACACCUUAGGUCGCAAAAAAAAGUGAGCGAUGCAGAAUAUGCGCAGGCAAAAAGUCUAAAGUUGGUUGGGGCCAGAAUAUGCCAGAUAAUGAAACAUUUUGUUAUCAAAGCCGGAGGGUAUAGUAACGUGGGAUUUUGCAUUAAGGAUCUGUAUAACCGAAUGGACGAGGAACGUAGAAAAGAUAUUUUUAAUGGCGAUGCAGAAGGGGCACUUGGGUUCUUGGCAGCGAAGAAGGAUGCCGAUGACAUGUUCUUUUAUAAAUAUCAUGUAGAUAACGAAGGAAGAUUGGCAAGGUUGUUUUGGGCAGAUUCUAAAUCUCGUGUGGACUUCAGUGUAUUUGGAGAUGUAUUGGUGUUUGAUACAACAUACAAAACAAAUAAAUACCGCAAGCCACUAGUUGUACUUGCAGGGGUAAACAACCAUUUGAACAGUACUAUUUUCGGCUGUGCACUGUUAUCAGAUGAGAGGAUUGAAACAUAUGAAUGGGUGCUAAGUACAUUUGUAGAGGCUAUGAAAGGUAGAAAGCCAGUAGCAGUGAUGACAGAUGGUGACAGUGCAAUGCGAAGAGCGAUAAAGAAUCUUCUCCCGGAUGCUUGUCACAGGCUAUGUUCGUGGCACUUGCAUAGGAAUGCACGGAGUAAUAUUCGCUGCGAGGAGUUUAAUAACAGGUUGUAUGACCUGAUGGCGAGAAAGUUUAGCACUCUUGAGUUUGAGGAUCGCUGGGCUAGGUUAAUUAAUGAAUGUGGGGUGGUAGAGAAUGAGUGGGUGAAGAAGUUGUACCGUAGGAGAAGGUUAUGGGCAGAAGCCUAUUUACGCGGUAAUUUUUUUGCAGGUAUGAGAAGCACUCAAAGGUGUGAGAAAAUGAAUACUUUUUUGAACGAGUACUUGAAUGAAAAAAUGCGACUAUAUGAAUUCGUUAGAAGUUUUGAUUUGGCAAUAGCAUGGCUUCGACAUACUGAGAGCAAAGCAGUUCACACAAGUGAAAACACAAAACCAGUCUUAACCACAAUCCUGCCCGAAUUAGAGGCGAGCGCAGCGGAGGUGUUUACAAGGAAUGUGUUCUUCAUGGUGAGGAAGCAUUUGAACAGGCAGGGACUUCUAAUUUCUGAGGGCUGGAGCGAGGAUGGAGGGAGUCGUACAUAUUAUUACUCGAAAUAUGGUGGACACGAAAUUAGUUGGAGGGUGGUUUAUGAUAGGUCAAUGGAGAAGCUAAUCUGCUCUUGCAUAAAAUUCGAGUCAAAGGGGAUUCCUUGUGCUCACAUGUUUCGCGUGAUGGUGGUAGAAGGAAUGAACAGGAUCCCAGAAGCAUGCAUUUCAAAGCGGUGGACAAAGGGAGUUUACAGUACUAAUAAUGGAAUGAAAGCAUUUGUUACAGACGAACAGCUGACACAAAUGGCCAGAUAUGGCACUUUAAAGUCGAGCUGUAAUAGUAUGUGUUACUAUGCGUCCUACAUGGAUGAUGCGUUUAAUGACCUGCAGCAGAUGUUUGACAAGCAUUCUGUGGACCUAAAGGAGAAGUGGAUUGAAAGGGGAUAUGGGGGAGACGGAUUUGCAAUGGAUUCAAGAGUGAUGAACGAUAGAAGUAGAAGAACAUUCGGGCUGUUAGAUCCCAGGGUGUCCCGGUGUAAAGGUGAUCAGAAGCAUGCAGAAACAAAGAAGAAAAGAAAGUGUGGUCAUUGCAGGUACUAUCGAAAAUGCAUACGUAGUUAUAAGCAAUUUGUUAAUUGAUAAAAUACAUGAAGUGGACAGUGAAGGUAAUAAUUAUUAUGUGGGUAUUUUUCAACAAUAGCAAAUAAACACAUAAUUGAAAGUGCAUACAAAGUAUACAAAGUUAUUGGCAGUGCAAGAAAGUUGAAGUGGUGUAAUGUUAGCAAUGUGCUUAGUUGACGUGGUUACUUGCAGUCACAAAUGAUUUGACAUGUGAUAUAUGGGUUGAAGAUUGCAGGCAGGCCACAACCAACGAACAUGCCCAUACAAAAAGAAUUCGCACAACACAGCAGUUCAUGAUGAUCAUAUGGAAAAUUGUUUGGAUGAAUCGGUGGAAAAAUCAUUUGAAAUUGGUACGGGGUGGAGCGACUCAGGCGAAUGGAGAGGACAAGCAUUUGCACCACAAGCAUGCGGUAGCGGUGGAAGGGACACAGGUGACCAACAAAGAAGUCCAGGAGAAAGAUGAGGCACAACUGUUGUGAUGGUUCGGUUUGCAGUUACGCAAUAAAUAAGGCAGAUUUUGGUGAGUAGAGGUGCAAGAGUAUUGAAGGUUGCUAGCUAGGUCUAGAUGGGUAAGUCACUGUAGUUCCACCGAAGGCGUCAUGCACAGAAGGAUCACAAGAUGCAUCACUGUCAUGGUUGCGUCGUAAGCACUGUUGUAGCAAAUAGUGCUGCUGCACUUGGUUAAUAGGAGAGAGUAAGUAGUUGACAAAUUGUGUAUUACGGUCCUUUUUUGUAAAUAGGAAAUUAAGUGGAAGCGUAUGUUGCGCAAAAUGUCUUCGUGGGAUAGACGUUUUCCGAAGUGGCUACUUGGGAAUCAUCUUCAGUUGCCAGGUUUUGUAAACUGGUGCCUUACGCUGCUGCUAUAAACUGCUUUUACGAUAUGGGCCGUUUGUUCGUCUCCUUGCUAUCCUAACCAAUGACCGUAAGGCCCAACGCCUUUUGUUUUGCCCAUCGUUUCAUUCUGGUGUAGGAACAGUAACUUUUGUUUCUCCCCAUCUAUUUUCAUUACUCACAAUGCUUAUGCGUCUCUUCAGUGCACCAAUGACAAUGGUAUUAUUAUAUAUGUAUAUUAAUUUAUGCAAUAUAAUUAAUAUUAUGAAUUAUACUAAUAAUUAUACAUAUCUACUAAUAGAAAUUAUUAAUUAGUUCGAAUAAGUUUAAGAAUACAUUUGUACUAAUAUAUUUAAUUAGCCAAUAACUAUCAGUUACGAUUAAUAUUUUUUACAUCAUUUGUACAUUUCCAUUGGAGUUUACUAUUUUACGUAACUUGUUGGCACACGAUUAAUGAAUUUCUUAUUAUAACAAUUAUGCAAUGUCCGCGUCAUGUCCGUAAUCUAAAUUGCUAUUAACAUGUAGAAAAAAUUCCACAUGUUUACUGACACUCCAUCCGAACAACUUUGAUACCUCUGAUGCUUUUUUGGUGACAUAGUUAAACAAAAAUUGGUAUAUCCUGUUGGAACAAUCCACUUAGGUAGCAAUGCUUCGUCAGCCUCCCUCACACUAAUUACUGUACAACUGUGUGGAAGCUGGAACACACAAAUUACUGUACAACUGUGUGGAAACUUGAACUCAUGAUAUAAUGUUGGAGUUGCAUUCAUACAAAAGGCUUUUCUGUCAUGAUAUAAAUACGUCCAGAAAAUGUAAUGCAGUAAGUAUGAUAGAUUUAUAGUAACAACAACUUGCAUUUAAAUUAUUUUGUUGUAAAUAUUUAAUUUCACUGCAAACUUCAAUUGCAGGUGAAGAACAAUCUUGGACAGACGAAAAAUAAGAACAGGACUAGAAAUUAGUUGUGGGAAAAUGACGGUGACAAAUUUUCUAUGGAAGCAGUGAAACGGUACAAAUUUAGAGAAACAAGUUCAACGUUACCAAUUAUCUGUGAACUGUUAACAUUUUCCGUACUGGGUGUUCAAAUUUUAAAUUGUAUUAGAAGUACACAACAGACGUGGCGAUUGCUCACAGCUCGGCUUUGUUGCUGGGGACUCCCAACUACUUUGCAUGCUCAUUCCUCCGGCUACACAACCUUGUUUGCGGUUAUGGGCCAUGGGUGCUCAGUCUUAGGCAUUAUGAAUUCCCUGACAUUCGUGAGCUUUGCCUCUACCAAGGUCUUCCGUAAAUGUCUCCGUCCCGGCACUUGUGUUCGGACGCUUAGAAAGACAGGAUUCCCAGCCACCAAUUCCACCGCGAAGGCAGCGUUUCCUUGCCCCCUUUUGGAGCUUCAAUGCAGUUUCCAAAAUUACCUGUAUUUGAUGUAGCCUUUGGUCCACCACUUGUGAGUUGUCCGACACAUUGGAUGCCAAACGAAAUAUUUCUGCACUUUUUUCUAAGACUUUCUUUCUGAGGCCCAUGCAAUGAACAAGCAGGUCCUCGUACCAGUGUCUAGGCACCUAAGCGGAAACAACACAGAUGGCUGUAUUAAUUGUACACAAAUUGCUAAAAUUAAAUGCCGAGUGAAGUACAGGGCGAAGAAUGCCAUACCACAUCACCAACAGCACAUGGAAGAGGCAACCCUAUUACAUCGCCACCAACCCUGUGAAUGCCCUCCUGCUGCAGUGAUCCAUCAGUUUGUAUGCACAACACAGACCAGGGAGGGUAAUUAAUUGGAUGUUUCAGUGACGGUGUUGUAGCCUCACUUAGUGGCAACUGGUCACAUAUAUGAAUUAUGCACUCCUUCCCACUGGGUGGCAACGUGGAGGAAGUCAUUGGUUUCAUUAGCCUGCUGCGCACAAACUCGUCAUACGUAGCAUAUGGAGGGGGAUCUGGGUAUAGGCUUGCAAUGGGCAGUCCAUCAAGCACAUCAUGUAGCGUGUUUCCCGAAAUUGUAUCAGCGCUGUACAUAUCUGAUGGCCGAUGGGGAGGUUGCUUUGCACAUACACCUGCAUACACCUGCCUAAUAACCCUCUCGCCCAGGUAGUAAAAUCGUCCCAUGGGGCCAUCCAAAAGCAAUCUCGUUGCAGUUAGUUCCUUGGAUUUGAGAUACCGACUAGGCAAUGCCAUUGCAGGGAAGGGUAGCCAGUUGACCUAGGACACACAAUUAACAAGCGAUGUAACAUUGGUUUGUUGAACAGGCGGAACAAAUUCAUAACAACUGUUAACACGUAGGCGGUAGAAAAUGUAAGAUGUCGUAAGUACGGGAACUAACGUUGUCCGGGUUAAUGGUGUCAAUUGCGCGGCGAAAAUGUUCGACCGUAGACGGUGAUUGUCGGCUGGCUCUAUUACACGAGCGCCAUCGCCACAUUCUGGGCAAUACGUCCCUCUCGUCCUGUUUCAGUUUAUACGGACUUAACUGAAGAAUUUCAUAAGCCCACACCUACACGUGGUUGUACAAAUUAUAUCCAGCGUUGGAGAUGAACACUAACUGCUUGAAAAGUUUAUUUAACGGAACAGGGUAAUGUCGAAUUGACACAGAGUGAAGGCAAUUGUGGACUUACCUCCCAAACGAAGCUGUAGCCGCCAAGGCUUUUCGUCCGGCGUCGGGAGACGGCGGACAUAAAUUUGUACAAGGUUGCCAUCCCCGCCCCUCCCCAGUUAUAAUCCCCUAUACGAUCUACGUCCUCCAGCGCAGGCAGACAGCACAUGUGAAUUGUUUCGGCCGUGUUGCUAAGUAAAGUGCGGCCAAGCAUGUAGAGAAAGAAAGCUCUAGUUAGAUGUGCCAGCUGGACGUCGUCGUUCUCGUCAAUGGCUUUGUCUUUGUAGAAUGACAAUAUAUCGGUAACUCUGAUGGCACCGGCAGAAGCAAAAGCUGGCACCCAACCCAAUUGGUCGUUGAUGUAAUUGGCAUUUUCCCUAACAUUGUAAUCCCACGGAAUGGGCAACCCGCCCACUGCAACACCGGUUAUACAGGUGAAGUCCAAGGGUGUCAGUGUCAUCUCUCCGAAAGGCAAGUGGAACGAGUUUAUUGAGUCCCACCAUCGCUCCGCAAGUACGACAGGCAACUUCCUAUCUCUAUCGGCCACGGGCAAGUGGCUCAGAAAAUCCCCAAACCCAGCAGUAACAACUUUCGCGGCCACCUUACGAGACAGCCUCUUCCACCACUCCAUAACUUCGACUGACGACCCUCUAGGAUAAAUUGAAUAGACUUCCUGUGCAUUAAUGUAGAACCAAUUCAGGCAGUUAUAUAUAAGUAUAAACCAAAUGAGGGCUUAGGGCAAAAUAAGCACAAGUAAUUGUCGACAUUGAUUCUGCAACAUGUACCCCCUGUGCAAGGAAAAUGUGUGAUAUGUGGGUUUUCCGAUCAACCAGCAGUUCUUGCGAGUGUUCUUCAUCAGGCGGUGGCCGGUACCGAUGGAGCCUGCCCAUCGCACGGCUUUUUUGGAGUUGGAUUUUAUUUCGAAUAUUGUGAUGGCGCAGCUCUAGUUAUCACAAAAUCCCUGUCGCCCCACCCGCGAUUAUGAACAGCUUUGCCGUUAAGUGUUGCGGCCUUGUAGGUGCGUAGGCGUCUUUCUUCGCGAGAAAUUUGAAUUGUUAGACAUUUUGGACGGCUGUCGCCAGGUUGGGCGUGCAAUGGGCUUGUACCUGGUAAUUAGGGUUGCAAAUUGGGAAAAAUGUGUUACAGUGACGGUCGGCGCGUGUGCUAUGCAUGAUUUCAUUGGCCUUGACAUACAUACCCUUCUCAGUUUUACUUGGACGACUAAGGAAACAGUAUUGUGGCCAACCUGCGCGUCGUAAGCAAUGAAAUGUCUCCGAACGUUUCAUUUUAGCGAGUGGGAAAUUUGGAUCAGAUUGCCAUGAAAUAAUUUGAAUUUAUAAACAGAAACCGCAACCCCGAGACAUUAACAGCUAAAAUUGAAAAGCACCCGUAAUAUUACGGAUGGUCCGGACGAUAAACGAAUACGGGUUGCUAGAACUGCAAUGACACUAUGUUGACACGGGCUGUGCAACGCACAGGCACGGCCCUCUAGAACAUUAGUUAAAUACAUACCACCGGCAGUUUUAGUGCACAAUGAAUAGAAAUAUAGGAAAAAUAUUAAGUAUAAAAACAAUUAAAAUUUGCUGUGAAAAGAACUUUGAUAUAUAAAGUUAACCCCAAUUUAUUGUGAUUUGGAAAAAGGAUUUGUAACCAACAUUAUGUGUACGUAAUGAUACCAAAAAAGAAAACAAAGCAAAUCCAUUAUGAGUGCAUGAUCGGUUUAAGAGCAGCAUAGUUUUAAUUGUAAUUAAAUAAACAGUAGUCAUAAUGUUUCAGAAAUUUUAAUAAUUAGAAAAAAUAUAGAAAGGCACAAAAACCUGUGACCAGCUUCAACAUCAAUCAAAAAAAUACAAACUUGCAUAUUUUUCUUUCUUUUUUGAGAGAAAUAGCGAGUUAAUCUAUCCAUUUAAAUCAUGUCUAAUAGCAUUACAAAUAGAUGGAAACAUUAUCUAACCAAAUAGUUAUAGAAUAUGUAUAGCAAGUUUAAAUAAAAACAUGAAUUGCCAUAUUUGUAAAUGUACAUAUGCAAAUUCAAAUUCAACAAUUUGUUUGAUUGCAAUUAUGUCUUCUUAAUGAAAAUAGAAUUUUCUAAUAAUAUUUUGUAUAGUGACACUCUAAGCUAAAAGCCUCAAUACUAACUUCCACCACCAAAUGCAUUCCUUUGAAAACUGCAACUGUUUUAGCUAGUCAAAUCAACAAAAUAUUAUUAACUUCUUUAGCCAAAUAGUAAUGACAUGUCCAUUUGAAGUUGCCUAACAAUCAUCUCAAACUCUAAUUACAUUAUCUAUCAUUAUGGGCAAUAAAAAAAGGAUAAAAGUAAGUCAUAUAGAACCAAAUACAUAAGUUAAAGAUUCUGAAGUCUAAUUUUGCAAUUUUUUUAUUUCCAAGCUAUCAUUUGCUAAAAUUAAAACCAUGAAAAUAAACUACCUAUCAUGGAUACAAGCAAGUAAUUCAAAAUGUUGAAUGAAGACAUAUAAAAUAUUAUCUUCACAUUCUAAAUUGCUAGCCCCAACAAAUAUUUUACACGUCAUCCACAGUAACCCCAGUUUGUAAUCAUUUUUCACAAUUGAUAAACUUUAUAUAAAUUAAAAUAUAAUUAUCUAUCCAUCAAUUAAGAGAUUGGGUUAAUUUAUAAAUGAAUAAACAUACUUUUUUUCUUCGUGAUGAUCGUUUACCUUGGAUUUUCAUGUAUUAGAUUUUUUUCUCCUCUAUUGUAGUACUAUCACCCUAUUAUCAAAUAACAAUUAUAAUAAAAAAUUAGAAAUAGAAUGAAUCUGCCCAAAUCACUCUUUUUGAUACCUCUAACAAUUCUUUCAUUGUUAGCGUAAAAAUUUUUCAUGUAAUCACCACUCGUCGUGUUGUCAACCUUAGUUUACUUUUUCCAAAAAUAAAAAUAUGAAAAUGUAGUGUGGCCAUAAAUAAAAAAUGAAAAACUAAAAAAAAGUUUCUUUAGAUUUGGGGAAAAUAUUCACAGCAUCACAUACGUCCGUCCGGGCAGAAAAGAAAGUUAGAUGAAGAAGAAAUAGGUGACAAAACCAAUAAGCAAAGGUUGGUCAUCAAGACGGAAAAAAUGACAAAAAAAUAUGAAAUAGUAUAUACCAAAAAGAGACAUUAAACGUAGAAGAUUAUGAAUCAUAAUUUUUGGACUACGGACGAAAGGAAAUUUCAAACCCAUUCUUGAUCUCCUUAAAUGAACUCAUUCAUUUAGUUAUUUAUGGGGGAAAAUGAAAGAAAGUGCAUGAACUAAUACAAUAGAGAAAAAACAAGUUCAAAUGAUUAGGAUGAUAGGGGAAAAAACGGAGUACAAAGUAGAAAGUAUAUAAGAAACAUGUAGUUCACGUGAGGAUUUGUUUAAUUACCUUUAUCUGCAAUCAAAAAAGAUAAAGGAAAUAAAGCGAACAAAAGAAAAAACUAAGCAAAAUGAAGAAAACAAAAGGAAUGGACCACGUGUCAAAGAAAAAGAGAUCCACUUGGCAAUCAUUGGAGUUGCUAUAGUAACUCCACUCUGUUGUUAUAUAAUAGGUAGAUUUUGUGGUACAAAAUCUUGAUUAUUAAUCAAAUUUGCCUUGUUAUCAGUAAUAAUUACUAUUUAUGUAUAAAAACUUACUACUACUUGAAUUAAAGUUACUAAGGUAUAUUAUGAGUGCUUACUAACUAAGGUACUAAGUUUUAAUCAUUAAUAAAAACAUCUUAUCAUUAUUUGAAAUAAACUUCGUAAUACUACUUUGAGAUAAGGUUUUAAUGUAAAAAUUGUACAUGCAUUCCAGAAUUACUAUUUAUGUAUAAAAACUUACUGUUAUUUGAAUUAAACUUACUCUUUUAAAUGUAAGUUUGGGAUAUCAAGUAGUAAUCUAUUUAUUUAGAAAUUAAGUUUAAUAUUUAUUCCAAUUUACCUUUUGAGGUAUAAAAGUUACUAAUCUAUUACACUUAACUUACUAUUUUAGAUAGGAAACUUACUUCCAUAAUUUUAGGUGUUAUUUUAUUUAGGCGAAUAUGUUCAACAAUAAAUCAAAUGAUCGCUAAAAGUACAACAACGUGUUAUAUUAGGUAAAAACUAUUUCGCUAUCAUAACUAUCGUUUAGUAUCUAUAUCUAAAUGUAUUGCUGAGGGGGUUUUGGAUAAGGAGCUUCAAAAAUUAUCAAAAGUGUGAAUGCUAUUUGAAUAGAAUUUUGCAAUUUUUUAAUUAAAAAAUAUUUAUCUCUUAACUAAUCAUGUAACCGGCCCUACAAAUCCUAUAAUCAUACUUAUAUUUUUUCCACAUUUCCCUUAUGUUUUUUCCACUACCCCAUAAAAUUCAAACUCCUAAACUUUAACUAACGGAUAAUAACCACCCCUGUAAAAUGAUAUCUGCAAAUUCCAAUUCACAUCUCACAUUUAUUACUGACACUUACCAUAUCACUUAGAGUAAUAACUAACCGUUAAUUUAAGAAAUUCGCAACUACGAAAGUCAAAUAUCCAAAAUAUAGGAGCCUGUUUAAAUUACAAUUUUCACAAUUCAACGUAUCUUAUUGUCAUAAUAUAUUUUACUCUCACAAUCAUUCACAAAUUAUAAAGGCAUUAAAAAUAAUUCUUUUUUUAAAUAAAAAUUAAUUCAAAGGUAGUUAAUUCACACGCACACACAUAUAUACAUACAUAUAUAUAUUCUCAUAAUGCAUAUAUAUAUAAGAUUAUCAAAUCGAAUGCAUACUACUGGUAAGUAUUUCAUUUUAAAAUAAAAAAACAUGCAAUUACAUUUAUUUCUAUCCAUAUAUCAUUCAUUUUCUAAUAUAAAUUAUUAUUAUUAUUUUAAGAUCCUUCUUUUGCAAAAACACAAUUCUUGAAUGAUUUACAGUUUUUGUCAUAUUUUGAACUAUUGUUAGACAAAUCUUAAAUUUUAAUUAUGUUGGUGAAGUUUUUUAACUUUUUUCAAAUAAAAAUGGUAUAACCGUUUAAUUCAUUUUAAUAAUGUAAGUACCAUGCGUAGCACGGAUAUUCACACUAGUUGUCCUUGUAUGAUCGAGCCUGAGAGUUUGAGCAUGUUUUGGUUGAAUGUUAUAAUUCAAAAUUUGGGGUUUGGAGGGAAUAGGUUAUAUCCAGUGUAAUCAAAACUCAAACAAAAGUGGGGAUAAGCCUCGUUGUCACAACGAACUAUAUAAAGCGGAUUUUUUUCAAUAAAAAUAAACCCAUUUUUCAAUAAAAUCCUAACUCUUUAUACCUUUCCUGUAUUAUAAGAACCGUGAACCCAUUUUACCAUAAACAAAUUUAUUUAUCGACAACAAAAAAAUGAACCCGUUUCUCAAUAAAACAUCAGCUCUUUAUGGCUUCCCUCCCUUAUAAGAAAAGAGUAUCCAUUUUGCCAUAAACAAAUUUGUUUAUCGCAUAAAAUAAAAAUAAAAAUGUUUUUUCAAUAAAAAACCAGUUCUUUAUGACUUUCCUCCAUUAUAAGAAUAUAGUACCCAUUAUUCGAUAAAAAAUAUUAUUUAUCGAAUAAUAUAAAAAUGAACCUGUUUUUGAAUAAAACACAAGCUCUUUAUAGUUUUCAUCUAUUAUAAGAACAGAGUAUCCAUUUUUUCAUAAAUAAAUUUAUUUAUCGGAUGAAAAACUAAAUAUAUUUUAGAAUAAAACACCAGUUUUUUAUGGUUUUCCUCCCUUCAGUACAACAAAAAAGGGUAUUAGCGACAACAACUUUAGGAAGAAAUAGAAAGCUUGACGCUCUUAAGAGGCUUAUAGCAAGGAAAAGGACAAUACCUCACAAAAAAUUUGGUGGACGGAGAGUCGUGAAUUUUGGGUUUUUUUUUCCUGAUUUUAUUCGAUGUGGUCUUGUCUGUAUGAUUGCAAAGUUCAAUUUCUGAUGUACUUUCAGGGGGGUUUGGCUGUAGCAGCAGGGAAGUGGGGAAGUGGGUGGCUUUCCGGUGGUACCGCCGGCUCAGUAUAACCCAUUAGACGAGCCAAGUCCAUUGGGAUUGAGGCUGAGGAAAAGUCCUUUCCUUUUGGAAUUGAUCCAAAUGAGGCUUUCUCAAGCUUAUUCACCUAAGGGUGCAAGUUCAAGUAAAAAAGAGCUUAAAGGGACCGCUGCUUCUGGUUCGUCUGAGAAGCUCAAGGCUUCAAAUUUUCCAGCAACUAUUCUGCGAAUUGGGACCUGGGAGAUUUUAGAAACUUGUUUUAUUGGAUUGCUUAUGAUUUCGUUAAUUUUGAUUGCAAGUCUUUGUUGUAAUUUCUAGUAUAAGUCAAGAUAUGAAGGGGAUUUGGUAGCAAAGUGUUAUUUUGCAAAGCAUAAGCUUGUACGGGAGGUUCGUGAUGGCGGGCUCAAGAAGUUGGGUCCAAUAUAUCUACAUUGAAAUAACACUUAUGAUGGUCAUUGCAUUUAUGGGCAUUUUAAAAAAUAAACUCUGCAUAAGCUAAAAUUUUUCUAACUAAAAUUUUUUACAUUUUGUCAUAACUUAUUGAUGGUUAAAAUAAUAGCAAGGAUUUAUGAAAUUCUCCAUCCCCACAUUAAUUUAAACUAAAUAUGAGACUGCAUAAGCUGAGAAAACAAAGCAGCAUUUGAUUUGAACAAUCAUGAGAGUCCCACUUUCUUCAACUUGAGGGGAUGCAGCAUCACCAUCAGGUGGUCAAUCAUCAUCUUCGAGGAAUGAACAAGACAUUGUUAGUAGACCUCGAGAAGACAUGAAACACCAUCACCCAGCUCAGUUAUCCUUUUAAUAGUCUUGAACCAAAAUUUGAUAUUCACUAAAAGUUUCUGACCAACAGAAAUGUAAAAUGUCUUUUUCAUUUGAUUUAUAAUCUGUAGUGUUGAUAGUAUUGGUUGUAAUAUAUUAUUGCUCGUUUUGUAUUUGUAAUGACAAAUUGGUUUGUUAUUUGGUAUACAAAUUUUGCUAUAUCUCAAUAUUGACAUUAAUGAUGAUACCUCUUGCUAAAAAAAUGGUUGAAAAAAAAAUUAGCAACUACAGUCACAAAGCUGCUUUCGGCAACUUUGUUGCAAGAAAAUCAUUUAGCUGCAUUUGAUCGUCUUUGGUAAGGGGUCGAUGGUUUUCAAUAAAACACCAGCUCUUUGUGACUUUCGUCCAUAAAUUUUCUAUUUUUCCUUUUUCCCCUGAAAUAAUUUAUUACUUGGAUAAAAUCAGAAACUCCAUUAUAAGAAAAGGUUUGGACGGAAUAAGUUGUAAGCAAUCCAUGACAAUUACCGUCUGAUAGUAACAUGUGAAGGAACAGGGGCUAUGACAAUUUGCUAUAUGUACUGUGCAAAUCUUAUCCCAUUGAAAAUCACAUUGAGAGGUGGGCCAGCAUUUUGCUAUAUGUCAAUAUUGACAUUAAUGAGUUUAUGUUUAUUUUAUCCGAUAAACAAAUUCCUUUUUGCCUUCAAAAUGAGUACUCUAUUCUUAUUCUUAUAAUAGAGGAAAGUCAUAAAAAGCUGAUGUUUUAUUGAAAAAAUGGGUUUAUUUUUAUUUAAUAUGAUAAAUAACUUUGUCUAACAAAAAAUGGGUACUCUGUUCUUAAAAUAGAGGAAAGUCAUAAAGAGGUGAUCUUUUAUUAAACAACGGAUUUAUUUUAAUUUUAUCCGAUACAUAAAUUUAUUUAUGAAAAAAUGGGUACUCUAUUCUGAUAAUGGAGGAAAGCUAUAAAAAGUUGGUCUUUUAUUGAAAAAUAGAUUUAUUUUUAUUUUAUGGCGAACGAUAAAUAUUUUAAUUUAUGAGAAAAUGGGUACUCUAUUCUUAUAAUUAGGGGUGGCAAACGGGUCGGGUUCGGGUUGGCGGGUCGGGUUGAGGCUUAAGUAUAACAGAGAACCUGCUGACCCGAACCCGACCCGCCAACCCGAAACGGGUCAGGGUACCUGACACGAACCCGAAAAUUUCGGGUUGGCGGGUCGACCCGAAAUGACCCGAAAUUUAAUUUUAAUUUAUUAAUUUAUCACUGUAAUUUCUAAUAAAAUCAAUUUUUCACAAAAUUAAUUACAUCAUCAAGUAAUAAAAAUUAAAUAAAUAAUUUCAAACCAAAUCUAAAAUAAAUUAAACACCAUAAAAGUGUUUUAUCCCAAACCAAAUAUAAAAUAAAAUAAAACAACAUAAAAGUAAAAAAUAACAUAAUAUAUUAUUUGUCCAAAUAUAAAAUUUUAACUUCACACAAGUUAAAUAAAUUCAUUUAGGAUUAAGUAAUUAAUGCCUUUGGAAAAAAAGAAUGAUUUAGUUUAGUUAGAUAAAAUAAUUUUUAUGUUUAUUAAAUUAGUUUUAAUUCGUAAACGGGUCACAUCGGGUCAUAUCAGGUCACCACGGGUUGACCCGAAAUUGACCUGUUUUCUUUUCGGGUUCAUCGGGUUCGACCCGAUUCUGACCCGAACUUCCAAAACCUCAACCCAAACCCAUUAAUUUCGUGUUAGGUUCGUGUCGUGUUUUCGGGUCGUGUCAGGAAAGCCAUAAACAGCUAGGCUUUUAUGGGAAAGUGAUACUUUACGGAAAGUGACCAGGAUUUGGUUUAUGAAAUAAUCCCAAAUAAAAAUUUAGAAUGAAUUUAUUUGUUUUGAAAGUUGUAUAACGGUCGUUAAAACUCCAAAAAUAUUAUUUUCAUUUUCAAUACAAUCCCAGGCCUGGAAUUGAAAUGAAUACUUUAAAAGAAAACUAAUAUGCUCUAGAAUAGUUGAAAAAUAUGAAGGAAAAACAAGGUCCACAUACCAUUAAACUAUUACUAUUAUUUGAGGAGGGAAAAUCCAUAAAUUAUAUAAAAAAUAAAAAAUGGAAAAAUAUUUAGAAAAAAAACCCAAUCCACCCCGUUUUUAAUUCAGUCGGUGUCAAAGUAAAAAGUGCCAUAUAAAUUUCCAAGGAUUCAAGAAAAAUCAUUCGCCAAAAUUGGCUAACGGUUUCUAAAAUUAUCCUUUGAAAUUUGAAAUACAUUGGUUUGUUUUAGUCCGAAAGGUUGAACUUGAUUCGUUUGUAUUGGUCAAAAUAAAUUUUUGUAAAAUUCAAAAUAAAAAAUUAGAAGAAAACAAGUAAGGACUUCACCAAUUGUAAAAUGUCAUCUACACAUUCCUUAUAAUUCUUUUUGAUACCUCCAACCAAUGCUUAUUGUCCAAGGACAAGAAAGAAAUCUAGUAGCUUUACUUUUUUUUUCUUACAUUUUCUUGACGAAACCCAAGAAGCUUGACGAAAUCUUACUUCUCACAUUGGAAUUCACAUUGGAAUUCACAGUGGAAGGUGGGCCACCGGCAACGAAAUGAAAUGUGGGCCACCAGCAAUGAAAUGACCGCUCACAUAUCUGUCCAUCCGUCCACGAGGCUGUAAUUCUUGUGCUAUAAGCAAGACUGGCGCCAGUCUGCCGCCAGUCUUGUCAUCUUCGGGACUAACCCCGCCAACCGAGCUAAAAAUCUUGGCGCCAGUCUUUGUUUACGUGAAUUGAAGUAGAUUCGCUUUGAUACCUAAAAAUGGGUACUCCGAUUACAAUGGAGCAAACCCAAGAAAACCGUAUGUUGAAGUGGACAAGGGUUACUUUAUAACUCAAAUACAUAAUUUGGUGGUGUAUGAGUACCGUCAUCUUAUAACUGUGGGGUUUAUUUUCUGUAUAGGUUUGUAUUAAUUGAAUGAGCAUUUUAUGUAAAGAAAAAGAUUAAUAAUCAAAACUGAAAAUCUUGAAUAGUUUAGGCAUCACUUAUUUUAAAUUUUCUGUAUAUGUAUACAUAUAUACGUAUGUAUAUAUAUUUUAAUAAUUAUUCUGUAGCACAAUAUAAAAAGAUGUAAAAAUAUUAUUUUCAUUUUCAAUACAAUCCCAGGCCUAGAAUUCAAAUGAAUACUUUAAAAGAAAAAUAAUAUGGUGUAGAAUAGUUCAAAAAUAUGAAGGAAAAUCAAGGUCCACAUACCAUUAAACUAUUACUAUUAUUUGUAAAGGGAAAAUCCAAAAAUUAUAUUAAAAACUAAUUAAUGGAAAAAAAUUUAGAAAAAAACCCAAUCCACCCCGUUUUUAAUUCAGUCGGUGUAUGAAUACAUAAUUUGGCGGUGUAUGAGUACCGUCAUCUUAUAACGGAGGAUUAACCCCCGAAUAGGUGGUGUUUUAUUUAGAAAACCUAUUAUCUGUGUUUUAUCUCUUAAAUUAAGUUGUGUAUGGAACAAUGGGUAUGUAAUUUGUUGUAAUGGAGGAAUGCCGUAAAGAGCUGGUCAUUUCUUCGAAAAUGGUUGCAUUGUUAUUCGACCCACAGCUAAAAGGGGGAAAAUGGGUAGCCUGUUGUUGUAAUGCGGGAAACACAUAAAAGGCUGGUAUUUUAUUGGAAAAAAUCAUUGUUAUUAUUGUAUUAGGAAAAAAAUGUCUGUCUACGGAAAUGGGUACUCUGUUCUCAUAUUCCUGCCGAACCCGUCCACAGCUGGUCUUCUACAGCGGAGUAGUGCAAUUCAGAAAUAUGCAUGCCAUUUGGUUCUUCUAAUUUUCCCAAAUAAAAAUUUAGAUGCAGUGCCAGCUGUGACUUAUUAUCGCACUAACCCAAGUUAGGUUGGUUAACCGUGGUCCGCAAAAGGAUGCCUGAGAGGGGUCAAACUCCUCUUAACCACUCAGUCCAUGCACUGCAAGCUCCUCCAUUUAAACCCAGGUCCGUCAUCCUUAUCUCCUCCUAUAAGAGCUUCCUGAAACUAAACUUCUUCCUUGCAUGCCCAUUGACUUCCGCAUUGGUUUGGCACAACAGCCUUCGCUAUAAAAGGGCCGCUUCAGUUGUUUACCACCUGUAAGACGUAAGUAGACGAAAGAAUAGCUUCGUUCUGCAUUUUCUAACCCCUGAACCGACCAGGCUCGUCGUACCAAAAUCCUUUUCCAUACUGACUCAUGGCACUUGGACGAUUUCCUCAAAUACAUGUCCUCAACAACGGAGGCAUGGUCGGUUACUUUCAAGAUGAGGUGUUACCACUUCACCACAUUGGAGUGAAGUGAAUAGUUGAGGAAGCCCUGGUUCGGUUAGAUAGGUUUCCCGGAGCGGAGUUUCCACAGUCGAUGCUGGUGUCUUGCAUCCCCGUUCGCAACCCCAUUGCGAACGAGGAAGUAUUCCGGUCGCUGGUCAAGUGGCGCCGCCGUCCACUCCCCCUUAUGCAGAACCUGAAGGCGUUUUAUAUCAUGACCUACAAUGCAUGGUUUGCGGGCAAGGAGGAAUUUGUUGCACAUUUCCUGGGUCUAAAACCACUGCUCCAUACCGACGUCUGGAUCCUCUUCGGCGCCAACUUUGAAGACUGGUCUGUAACAAGGUUUCUGGCUGACCAGGGGUACCCCGCUAGUAUGACACGGAACGUUGCCAUUGCGGACAACCUUCACACCGCAACCAUUUGCUGGAAUCCAUCAGCUGUAGAGAUCACGUUUGAAGACAGAGAUGCUAUUGACAGCCUUGUCCUCACUGUGCGCCGCAGAAAAUACCGCAGCUUUCUGAGGGUAGCUACCACGGUUGCCUCCUUAAACCCUAUGUUUGGUCUUAUUGUGGAGCGUUUCGAGUGAAGGUUCGCAGGUACGGCGGUGUGCUUUUAAUUUUUUUGUUGAAGAUCAUAUUUGGAUGGUGGGUGGUUGUUUGUUCAUGGCCCUUGCUGUUGUUGGGCGUACCAUGCAUGGUUUUGAUUGUUAGCGUAUCAAGGGUAGGGGUUAGGGGAUGAUAAUAUGCAAGGCCUGAAAAUUAGGAGUGCACCGUUUGUCGGAUAUGUAAGCGAUGGUACUUACACCCAAAUAUAUAAGUAAGAACUUGUUUCGUCGUUCAACUCCACAAAUUUUCCAAUUUAACCUAACAAUGCUGUGCCACAUCCCACUUUGUUGUACGUAACCUUCAGCUUGUUCAGUUGCCUGGCUAAGCUGAAGUUCAUAUUUAACAACGCAGCGAUUGCCAUCCCACUGACUAAUGACGUUCAUCGAUCAAUCAACGAUCCGUAGUACCUCAUCCGCACACACAUUUCGUGGGACAAAGGGAACAGGGCAUGCCGAAAAACCACAUAAUGCAGAAUGUCAAAAUAAACCAAAUACGGAAACCGAGUAUGUUAUAUAACGCAAAAUCACCAUUUAAACAGUAACACUCCGCCGGUUGGCCGAAAAACCACAUGCGGCAACCACCGGUUGACAACGGAGGGACAAAAGGCAUAAGGAGCACAGCAGUGGCAACCACAAAUACAAGAGGCUGUAAAGGAGCCUUAAUGGCCAUUCUAUCCUUACGGACACCAUAGUCCAGUACUGUAGGGGGGGUUUGGAGGGAAUGCAAUCAACGCGAACACAUGAAUUCACGGUUUCAGAACCAGAAGAAGGACUACCCCCACCACAGCUACCACAGCAAUGUUAAGGAUGGUCACGUUCCUUUGCAUGCUUCUCAGUUCAGCUAUGAUGGCAGACACCUCCGCCGCGGGUGUAUUAGGAAAAACGGGGGCGGUACUUGACGGGGGGGCGGGAUCGGGAACUUCAAACCCCGUUGCUCGUGCAAACUCAUCACACCAGCCAAUGAACGUUCGACAGGGCCUCUGCAAUACAACUACCUUAGCAAUCCGAAAUUAAUGGAAGAAACAGUUCUACCGAAGAACAUACCAGGGCGUUAGCGCAGCGAUAGUAGUGGCGCCCCCUGUUUGCUUCAGACUUCCAGACAACCCGAACUGCACAGCUUCGACCACAAUUGCAAUAUAAUGUAGGCCACACCGUGCUAUUGACCGACCCGGCUGAAGACGAAGAAGCCAUUCGCAAAGGUUAAUCUCCUCCGCGACACCGCCUAACUUUAUCUCUGCGAAACACAAGGACACGGCGCUCCCACGGUGUCGACGGACAGCAGCUUUAACAAGAAUUUGGGGGUUGGAGGGAAUAGGUUUUCGCCAACAGUAGUCAACACAUUUGUUUGCUUAUUUGGGUGUGGAUGAGGUUAUUGCUUGGUUCAGUACUUGGAGUCUCCCAUCAUGUAUAGUUGAUGUUUCGGAACGAAUACAAUAAAUAUGAAUAAUCUCACUAUCCUCCCCUGAGGUUGAUUUAAAUUUCAGUGGCAUCCCAUCCCAUUUAACAGAAAUUUCACUGACCUCCCUUACUCUAUUGCGUUUUUUGGUAACAACGCAGUCCAAAUCUGAUUACAAUAUUAUUUUCAUGUGUGAGAAGGUAUUUUUAUUCCAUGGAUGCCCCUUUGGUCCUUGUAUUGGUAGAAGAUUGAAAGAAGAAUAAAUUAUUAGAAUGAUUACUAAAGUUGAGGGGUUAUAAGUACAAAAAAAUUUUUUUGUAAGCACCGGAUGUGCCAGGAAAAAUGCCGAGUUUGACAAAUUUUAAGUGAACUAGUAGGUUAUCUAUUUAACAUAAAAUAAGUAAGUAAUUAAACUAAUUAAAUGCAAGAGAGAGAGAACUAAUUAAAUGGAAGAAACUCGUAAUAGAGGAAACCUAUGCAAAACGAAUAUUAGUAUAUCAGCUUAUAAAUUGUACUCACGUAAACUAAUUGACAAUUCCAAAAGCUGGUUGGUAAUUACAUUUAACGACAAUAACAGAAAUUUAAUAUGUAAUGAAGGUGAUUAAAAAAUUAUUACUGCUAGGCGGCAAUAGAAGAAGUAAUUUGGCGCCAAUUUUUGAAAGUUAAAUUUAUGUAUUUAACAUAAAUUGAAUAUGUGAAAGUUAAAAUAAGAAAACGAAAUUGCGCAUGACAUACCAGCUCUAUAUGGCAAACAUUGUACCUUCUUUGUAUGGGAAACAUACCAGCUCUUUAUAGGAAAUAUUGGUUAAAUAGCGGACGGUGGAAAACUAGUAUGUUUUGAACCAAAUUUUUGUGGCAAACAUACUAGCUCUUUAUAGCAGCAACUACCGGCCAAGACAGAACUAGUAUGGUUUUUAUUUCACAUAACAAUAAUUAUAUGACGGUUUAGGAAAAUUUGAACAAACAACGCAUACUAUACCAGCUCUUAAAAAUAAAGUGGCAUGUUUUGUAGUACGUUAAGUUUCAGAUUUUUUUUUGGAAACAUACCGAAAGUUUUAUAGGGAACAAGGGUUUAGUAGCGGACGUAACUUGUAACCUAGUAUGUUUUCAAUUCAAUUAUAGUAUUUAAUUUUAUUAGUUUUAUAACAAAAGUAUUACUGCUGGAAAAGCCUCACCAAAUCGUGGUCCCAGUCUGUAAAGUAUCACUUUGUAGUAUAAGACCAGCUCUUUAUGGUCUUCCUGCAUUAUAAUAACAGAGUACCCUUUUUUCCAUAAAUAAAUAUAUUUAUCGGAUAAUAUAAAAAAUAAACUCGAUUUACAAUAAAACUGAUGCUCUUUAUGGCUCUCCUUUAUUAUAAGAAAAGAGUACCCAUUUUUUCGAUUACAAAUUUAUUUAUCGGAUUAAAUGAAAAUAAACAAGUUCUUGAAUAAAACGCGAGCUCUUUUUGGCUAUCGUCCAUAAAAUAUCCAUUUCAUGAUUUUUCCAUAAGCUAAUUCGGGGGAGGUUUCUGAGGGUAUCCCUUAUAAUAUAUGUGUAUAUAAUAUUAAUAAAUUAUAUAAAAACAUAAUUACAAUUGUUAAUAUCAAUAGAUUGUAAUCUGCUGCCAAAGUAAUUUGGCUUCCGCAUAACCCGAUUCGGAAUACACGCUCCAGUACCGAAACGGGUUGAUUUUCCAAUAUGUAAAUCGGGUUUGCCUCCCCUCCACGCCCGUCCCCGCCACAUCAAUUAUCCCACAAAAAGCUUGUCUUACUUGAACUUCUCAUCGUUUUUCCUGUUUAGCCCAUCAACGCCUCCGCCGUUGUGUAAACACACUGAACAGUGUCGGUUUAAACUUUCCCCCCCCCAAAGUGUGGAAUUUCGAGCGUUACAGAGGAAAAACACCAGCUCUUUAUGGCAUUUACCCAAACAUUUGUCAACACCAGCUCUUUGUGCGUCUUCUCAAUUAAUGGGUUCGGGUUACGACGUUCGUGGCAGCAUACGAGGAGUGAGUCUGGACAAGUUUGAAGGACGCGACCUUUUGGUUGCCAUUUACCCCGUUCGUGGCAGCAUACGAGGAGUCAGUGUGGAUAUGCAUCGGACGCGACCUUUUGGUUGCCAUUUACCCCGCCCGACCUGUCUGCCAAAUCUGUGCUACCGGCUUCUACGAGUUGGUUGACGACCACAGGUACGAACUAACCCUCCCUGUUUAUCACUGUGGAACCUCCUUUGCUAUGCGAUUAACGCCCGUAAAUUUACGAUGUACGUGUAGUUCAUGACUGUUCAUCUUCCCUUGCUAUCGGUGUAUUGUUACGGUUCUGAUGAAUUGACCGUAUUGACACAUACGUUGGUUGGUUUGAAAAAAUGUUACGGAUGACAGUUUUUUGACGACAGAAUGUUGCGUCGUUUGCAGGAGAAGUCGCCACUUUCCCAUUUCUGUUCGAACCAACGCUAAGGUUAGUCGGAUGUCCAGAAACAGUGGGAUAUUACACCUGAUCUAUCAUUUUUGGAUUUUAUGAGGAAGUAGUUUUUGUUUGAAGUUUACUCCAUUCUUGGGGCUUUCAGGGAUUCACUAAACUGUGCCCAGUAAAAGGAGUUAACCGGUCAUGGCCAACGCACAAAAACGGAGUUCACGAACCUCCAUCCUCUCCCUUCCAACCGAGGUGCUAUCCGAGGUGCUUGCACGUGUCGCGUCUUCUUCAUCCGCUGAUCUUUUCCGGGCAAAACUGUGGUUCGUUCUGCUAUGGAUGAUACAAACUGGAAGAGGCGUAUUCUUGUUCCAUUCUGUGCUUUUCGUUUUAGUUUAAUGGAUCAUUUCUAUUAUUUUGCAGCUGUAAGUUGUUCAACGAAGUUUCCGAGGCAAAGAACAUUUACCAGCGGGUGUCCCUCGACAGGUUUGAAAUCGUUCCGUGGCCAAAAAACCACAAAGUGUCGAGGUUCUUGAAGAAGUGCAGACAAAGCAAAAAUCCAGAAGCCUUGUACCGAAAAGGAGUGGUAAGUUGGGUUGCUUUGGAACGUAAGACGCAAUAGUCAUGGGAAAAUUCGGUAAUGUUUUAAAUGGAAUAGUAAUGAACUAACAUUCCAUAACCAUACUUGAGUUACAAAAUUUCUACACCAAGCUCACAUCAUCUCUUUCAUUUGAGCUUCAAUGUGAUUUUGGUCAGCACACUUCACCCAAAAGAUUGGCGUACAACAGGUUACUGCAGCUUUGGGCCCCAGUAAAUAACUGUUGUCUCGCCGCCACUGUUCUGCCUGCACUUUUAAACUUUUUCGUUACUCAUACAUUUCGCAAGACUGUAAUAUCAACCUUGGAACUGCUUAGGUUGAUUUUUUUUCGGAUAAGCACGAGGACUCAGCAUUGGAAAACCUGGAAGAAGCUGCUAAUUCAGGCCAUGCCGAUGCUGCAUAUGCGUUGGGAAUAAUUUACAUCUUUGUUGGUGGGGACGAGUUAAAGCGCAAAGGUAUGAGACUGCUCAUGAAAUCCAGACUUCUUCAAGGCAGAGUGAAUCUUUGCCGUCAGAAUUUGCGAGCGCUGCUGAGGAUGAUAUGGGUCAAGAAUCCUGUGUUUCUAAACCCAACGCCCAUUUGUUGUGCCAUGACACAUGAGAGGAAAACAUCUUCAUGGCCUAUGCAUCCCGAUGAAGUGGAGGAGAGUACAUGUGAAGGGUGCGCUUGCGAUGAAGAAAUUCGAGCAAUUUGUGCUGCCCUGCCAUAUCGUUAGUGUGUAAGAUUGAAUGUUGACAACACAUCGUUACGCUUUUUUUAUGUUUGCCAACUGAAUUGACCGCUACUUCUUACUCUCUUAAUAUUACUGGUAUGAAAACAUAAACAGCUUAUCUUGGCCCUUGUAUGUUCUGACAUUUUCUCGACAAAACGCCGUUGUAGACAAACGUGUAUGAAAUGUAAGAAUAAAGGAUGAUAGUUAGAAGGUAAAGAGGGAACUCCUCAGCAGUGAUCUACGUGACGGAUACUGUAGUGAAGUGAGAAGUUUACUAAGUACAAACGAAAUGGUGGUUGAUUAGAUACUGCAAAACAAUUUACUUAUGGAAAAAAGGGUACUCUGUUCUUAUAAUGGAGGCAAGCCAUAAAGAGCUUGUCUUUUAAGACAAUGUGAUACUACGAUGAAUAGACCACGAUUUGAUUUAUGAAAUUAUCCAAAGAAAAUUGCUGAAUGAUUUUGUCAACUUAAUUAAUUAAUUAUUAUACAUAUUCAUAUAAUGCAUUAUAUAAUUAUGCUAAUCUUUAAUUUUAUAUUACUAUAUACACAUAUAUAUUAUAAUUAUAUGCACAUAUAAAAUACAUUUAUAAAUAUAUUUAAAUAGUAAUAUGUAAAUAUAUACUAUAACAGUAUUUAUAAUAUACAUUUAUGAAAAAUUUUAAUUAAUGUAUAAUAUACUGUAUAGUGAUAUAAUAUAUUAGUAUAAUUAUACAAUGCAUAACAAAAAAUAUAUAAUAAUGACAUAAUUUUCUUUACAUAAUUUGAUAAUCCAAAUCGUGGUCCCAGUCUGUAAAGUAUCAUUUUGUAGUAAAAGACCAGCUCUUUAUGGUCUUCCUGCAUUAUAAUAACAGAGUAUCCUUUUUUCCAGAAAUAAAUAUAUUUAUCGGAUAAUAUAAAAAAUAAACUCGAUUUACAAUAAAAGUGAUGCUCUUUAUGGCUCUCCUUUAUUAUAAGAAAAGAGUACCCAUUUUUCCGUAAACAAAUUUAUUUAUGGGAUGAAAUGAAAAUAAACAAGUUGUUGAAUAAAACGGGAGCUCUUUUUGGCUAUCGUCCAUAAAUUAUCCAUUUCAUGAUUUUUCCAUAAGGACAUUCGGGGGAGGUUUCUGAGGGUAUCCCUUAUAAUAUAUGUGUAUAUAAUAUUAAUUAAUUAUAUAAAAGCAUAAUUACAUUUGUUAUUAUAUAGAUUGUAAUCUGCUGCCAAAGUUAUUUGGCUUGCGCAUAACCCGAUUCGAAUACACGCUCCAAUACCGAAACGGGUUGAUUUUCGAAUAUGUAAAUCGGGUUUGCCUCCCCUCCACGCCCGUCCCCGCCUCAUCAAUUAUCCCACAAAAAGCUUGUCUUUCGUGAACUUCUCAUCGUUUCUCCUGUUUAGCCCAUCAAAAGCUCCGUUGUUGUGUAAACACACUUAACAGUUUCGGUUAAAGCUUUCCCCCCCCUUUCUGAAAUUUGGAGCUUUUCAAAAAGUUUUUCGCGGCAAGGUCGAAGAAGAAGUAGAUUUAUCGCGUUCGCUUCCUCUGUUGCUCAAAGUACUCAACAAUUGAAUCGCAUCCCGGAGCAAGCAUUGGCAGUAACAUGGAGGCCUGUAUGAGUCUUCCAGUGUAUGCAGGCAUGUGGGUCGACGUAGAAGCUCUCGCUGGUGAGUGUAUUGAUAUCACGGAAUAUCUGAAUGCCCAAAAUUUGUUAAAUUUGAUGGCAAAUAAUGACAAGUGCUAUGAUGCGAUGGUUAGGGAAUUCUAUGCUAACUGUAGGGCAAAUAAGCAGAAGUCAGUUCUGCGUUCAGUCGUUAGGAAUGUAGAAGUGUCAGUGUCUACCGAGGUUUUGUGUUCAGAGUUUGGGUUGGUUGACAGUGGAUACACUGUUGACUAUAAACGGAUUAGCGCAAAGAAUGUAGAUAAGGUUGCUGUGAAGGGGUACAAUGACCUAGAAUUUCUUGGAGAGAUUAGGCAAAAUGGUGACAGAGUUAUGAACACGGGGAAAAAAACUAAGUUUUAUGCGCCGUAUAUGAAAGUAUUGCCACGGCUGUUACAUCUGAUAAUAACUCAUAACAUUUUACCCAAAGCCGGAAGUAUCACUUCCAUUAGUGCAUUAGAAAGAGUUAUAUUGUGGCAUAUGUUACACAAACAACCCGUCAACAUAGCCAAUUUGAUCAUUGCAACAAUGCUCAACAGGAUUAGGAAGAUUAAGAGCAGGGAGAAUAAGAGAACACAUCUCCCAUUUGGUAUGUUGCUGACCAGGCUCUUUAGGCGCUUUAAUGUGCCAUUCUUGGCUGACCAUGUUGACAGAGGAUUUUACGCCCAAAAUAUGGGAGUAUCGUACUUCAAAAAACUGGCAUUCAAAGCUGAAGAUGGUGGUUGGAUGUGGAAGAAAUCCUAUACCUCUGAUGCUGUCAUUGGUGAGACUGGGGACGCGAAUAGAAAAGUUGAAGAAAUAAAUAAGAUGGAUAAGGGGGGGAAGUGUGCUGGGGUCGAGGUGGGGCCGGUUGUGGGCGAAAAGGCACACCUUCAAGAUGUUGUCAUACUGUCUGAACAAACCAGAAAAGGGGCAAGUGUAUAUGACAAAGUUAUUUUACUCCUUUUUGUUUCUUCUUCUCGAUGGCAACACAGGAGCAUAACCCAAUAUUUGUAUGACUAGGUUGCGGAUAAAGUGACACAAAUUUUACAAAGGGUUGGUGCCAUCGAAGUGAAGGACUGCGGAAUUGAGAAAUUGCCAUUUCUACGAGAUGUAAGACAUGCUCUUGCACUCUCAUGUAAUCCCCUUUUUAUAUGCUAAUACCUUUAUUGUCCAGUGUCUACCACAAGCUUCCGGCGUAGCACCUGAUGAAUUGAAAGAAGCCGUACGCUUUCAUGUCAGAGAACUCGUCCCGCAGAUGUAUGUUAAAGUGUCGGUAUUUUCUUUGGCUAACACUGAUCUCGCUUUCAUCUGAUUAUUGUAAUCAUGUCAAUCAUUGUUCACAGCUGUGUGAGUACACUAGAUAGGCAGCAUCUCUUUGAUAUUACAAGAGAAGAACUGGAGGAAGUGAUGCUUCAGGACACACUAAUCAGUGACAAAGUAAGUUUUUUAUGCGAUUGCACAGGCCUACCUUGUUCACUAAUCUCGCUUAAAAUUGUCCACUCGAUGUUGAAUGUUUGAAUUUGUUCCAUUCUGUGAAGGUUGUGACCCAAUACCUUCACUUACUCCAGAAAGAAUAUAAGCAAUUCGUUUUCUUCAAUCCUAUGUUUUGGGUACGUAACGAAAAUUAUUGUAUGUGCUGUUGUGCCUUGCAAAAUGUGGACCUAAUACUUGCUUCUCAAUCACUUGGUUGUAGCUUAAAUGCGUGUUAGACUAUCCAUGCAUAUCUCCCGCAACCAAAAAGACAUUCGUUGAUCAAAGCAAUGACGACUAUCAGUCAAAUCCUGAAAAGGUAAACAUUAGCUAUCAUUCUCGCCUUAACAUUCUUAUACAAUAUGAGUAGCAGCUGCAUGUUAGUGGAAUUUGAUUUAGCCUAACAUGCCUUAGCUUUUAACACAUUCAACAUUGCUUGUUGUAUGCGAUUGCAGAUUUUUUUCCCAAUCAUUUAUUCAAAUCAUUGGUUGCUCAUGAUUGCACAUGUCAAGGACAAACAGGUGUACAUUGUUGAUUCUAUGGACAAUUACAAAACCAUCUACCAAGGUUUGAUGCAAUCUGUGGUGAGUAUACUCCAAAAGCGUACCUUAGCUUCGUUUCCGAAGAAGGUAACAUUUUUCUAACAUUCGAAACCUGCUGUAUUUAUUUCCUUUUUUAGGAAUGGAUUUUGAUGGAAAUUUUCCACGAAAAUCAACCCUGGACAUUUAUUCUUGUAAAACACAAACUAAAACAGACAGACGGGGCGAGUUGCGGGGUUUUCACUUUGAAGUUUGCGCAAUGUUGGGCAAAGGGGUGUCGGCCAGAAUUUGUAAGUGCACACAUUGACAACCCCUUGUGGCAAGCUGACUCUAUUGCGUCUGACAUUGUUUCUGAAUGUAUGUACAGCUUGAUGUUGUCAUUGCUAGAAAAUUUAUUGCCUGGGAGAUCGCUUUGGGUAAACUUGCGGACCCAUUCGCUUAUGCUGCUUUCCUGAUAGAAAAUAAACAGGCACAUGAGGCUGUAACCAGAGGAGAUUUGCAAGAUCAUGCUACCAAGGAUGUGGGCCAUCAGGAAACAGGGAACGGUACAUUAUGUCACGCCUUUACUGUAAUUGGUUCGUUGCAUAUGAAGGCAAUAUUAAAUUUUAAAUUCUUUAGGGCUGUAGCAAAUUAUUGGUACGAAAUUAAUCAUUGUAUAAAGGAAACCAUAAAAAGUGUAUGUACCUCUGUUCCGAUGCAUCUCCUUGUGACACCAUUGUAAUAAAUCCUCGGCCCCAGAACUUUGCUUUACACUUUCCAUUUCCUCUUGUUUGAUUUCUCAUUAUGACAUUCAAAUUUGAUCUCACAUGCACAAUCCAUGUGCUGAAAUGCUGUAUGCCUUCAAUUUUUCCCCAGCCGAAGGUACAAGGGUGAAAAAAAACCCGCCAGAACUUGCGUCCAGCAAUGAUUCAAAGAAGAAGCUUCUUAUUCUUGAUUUGAAUGGAGUGCUUCUGGGCAGUGCAUUUACAAGGAUGACCAGAAAUCGGGACUUUAACUUCAGACCACAUUGCCGUGAAUUUUUGCAGGUCUGUCUGUCAUAUUUUGAGGUCGCUGUUUGGUCAUCAAAGCUAAGGUAUCCGCCAACCUAUAUUUCAAUUACUUGAUUAACUAGAACGUCCACAAGUUUUUCUGUUGUUCCCUUAAUUCAAGACAGUUGUGUUUUCUGCAGCCACAACAUUCAACCAGUGUUGGACAGUCUAUCCAAAAAAAUGAAUGAACGUUUGGAGCAGAGACUGUUAUUUGUUUGGGUGAGAUGUCAUUCACAAAUUAUUUCGAUUGUGUGUAGUCAGUCCGUGUGUAAGACUUCUGAUAAAUCAAAGUCGGGAACAAUCAAUAUUGUGCAGGAUCAGUCGCGGUGCACUAUGACACAAACCAGGCUUAGGGAAAAUCCAGACAAAACGGUGAUGUUUAAGGACCUGAAACGUGUGUGGGGAGAAUAUAAGUCGUACAACAGCUCUAACACGAUAUUAGUCGAUGAUUCUCCGUAUAAAUCCGUCCUUAAUUCUGUAAGUGCACCAUACGGGAACUGAUCGUUAUGUUGUAUAUGUUCCAGUAUGCACAAACAACAUGAUCAGGCCUAACUGUUUCCAUAUUACUCGUUCUUCAGCCGUACAAUGCCAUCUUCCCCACCUCUUAUACAUGUUACACUGUAGAAGACAAUUAUUUGGGUAAGACCUGGUCUUUUUGGCUUUGAAAUGUGGCUUUUGCUACGGAAGAGCAUCCGUUCAAAGAUUGGCCUGACACAAAACUUAUUUGCAGAUCCUGAAGGAGAUUUUGUAGGACACCUGAAGAAAUUGGCCCGUGCUGAUAAUGUACAAGAUUUCAUUAAGCAAAACCGUUUUGGACAAUCACCCGUAACAGAAGGCAGUGUGGAUUGGAACUUUUAUGUUAAUGUUGUCAGCAAGCUUGGACUGCAGAACACAGCAAAGCAAGUGACGCGCAAACGGGAAGCCCCAAACAUAUAUCCUCCGGAGGUAUUUAGAUGCAUUCAUGUUCAGGACUAUGUUGACAAUAGUUCAUUUCGUUUUUUUGAUAGCUAAAAUUGUGUCUGAUCAUAUGCACAGACCAAGAAAAAAAGGAAAAUUUGAAAGCAUGAAGAAGAUCAGUUUAUGGGCCGUUCACUGUACGGAAGCUUCUCCAAACCAUUGGAAGGAGAGAACCUAUCUUCUGAUGGGACACACAGGUUAAAAACUUUUGUGCUUUAGUCAGACACUGGGUCUGUCUAAUUCAUAUAUGUUGGUACUACUUUCUUCCCUUCUGUUUUUGUUUGCAAAGGGCCAUCGCUGAGUUUUUUUAUGCAAAUUCUAAAAAUGUCGAAGUUGGGAAUGACGUAUGUUGUAUGCAGGUUCCCGAAUGCACAUGAGGAAAAAUUAUCAGAUAAAAUUUGUAAUUGCUGUCAAAUGCAGGAUGCGUCAGCCAUAUACUUCAGACCACAUUGGCAUGUAGUAAGUUUAGCCUGUUCUCAUUCUAAUUGUUUGUUGGCAACUUAUCGUCUAAACAUUAAGGAUCUAAAUGUCACUCACUAAAUCUGCCCGUCUGGUUAACCUCUCGGAUACGUGCAAUACUAACAGUUGGUCAGGGAGCAAUGGUUGACAUUAAUUGAGCUAGGCUCCUUGCUUUGCGUCUGUACCAAAAUAAAGUCAAGCAAUGGAAUCUUCAAACCCAACACGAAGUCUGUAUGAGUAAUGUAUUCCUUUAGCUAACCCCUGGUUGAAUAUGUACUUCGAUAGGGAAAAUUAGCUGCUGGACUAGGAGCUUAAGAUUGCCUCACUUUUGAAUGGGGAUGUCUAUGCUGCUGACAGGCUUGGAGAACUUACAAUACAUUUCUGGGCCUGUAUUGAUGCAUUCGUUGUACAAAUUGGAAUACGUUAUUGAAGGGAUGCACAUGACGCAGGCACAGAUGUUUCCCAUCAUGCAAAUAUAUAUGUCCAUAUAUUUAUAAUAUAUAUGUGUAUGUAGUAAUAAUAUAUUAUAUAAUUAUAUUUGUUAUUACAAAUAUAGUAAUAUAUACUAAAAAUUAUACUUAUUAAUAUAUAAUAUUCUCUAGAAUUAUAAAAAAUAUUAGUACAAUUACACAGUGUAUUAAAUAAAAAUAUAUUAUAAUUUUUUAUAUAAAUAAAUAAACUAAUUCUAAAUUUUUUGGAAUAAUUUCAUAAACCAAAUAGCGGUCACAUCCGUAAUGUAUCACUUUCCCAUAAAAGGCCAGCUCUUUAUUACCUUCCUCCAUUAUAAGAACAAUGCACCCAUUUUUCCAUUAAUAGAUUCAUUUAUCGGAUAAAAUAUAUGAUAGCUCGUUUUGCAAUAAAACCCCAGGUUUUUAUGGCUUUUCUCCAAUAUAACAACAAAGUACCCUUUUCCAUAAAACAAUUUUUUUAUCCAAUAAAAUUAAAAUCAAUCAGUAAAUUAUACUAAAAUGUAUAUUAUAAUUUUUUAUAUAAAUAAAUAAACUAAUUCUAAAUUUUUUGGGAUAAUUUCAUAAACCAAAUAGCGGUCACUUCCGUAAUGUAUCACUUUCCCAUAAAAGGCCAGCUCUUUAUUACCUUCCUCCAUUAUAAGAACAAUGCACCCAUUUUUCCAUUAAUAGAUUCAUUUAUCGGAUAAAAUAUAUGAUAGCUCGUUUUGCAAUAAAACCCCAGUUUUUUAUGGCUUUUCUCCAAUAUAACAACAGAGUACCCUUUUCCAUAAAACAAUUUUUUUAUCCAAUAAAAUUAAAAUCAAUCAGUAAAUUAUACUAAAAUGUAUAUUAUAAUUUUUUAUAUAAAUAAAUAAACUAAUUCUAAAUUUUUUGGGAUAAUUUCAUAAACCAAAUAGCGGUCACUUCCGUAAUGUAUCACUUUCCCAUAAAAGACCAGCUCUUUAUUACCUUCCUCCAUUAUAAGAACAAUGCACCCAUUUUUUCAUUAAUAGAUUCAUUUAUCGGAUAAAAUAUAUGAUAACUCGUUUUGCAAUAAAACCCCAGCUUUUCAUGGCUUUUCUCCAGUAUAACAACAGAGUACCCUUUUCCAUAAAACAAUUUUUUUAUCCAAUAAAAUUAAAAUCAAUCAGUAAAUUAUACUAAAAUGUAUAUUAUAAUUUUUUAUAUAAAUAAAUAAACUAAUUCUAAAUUUUUUGGGAUAAUUUCAUAAACCAAAUAGCGGUCACUUCCGUAAUGUAUCACUUUCCCAUAAAAGACCAGUUCUUUAUUACCUUCCUCCAUUAUAAGAACAAUGCACCCAUUUUUCCAUUAAUAGAUUCAUUUAUCGGAUAAAAUAUAUGAUAACUCGUUUUGCAAUAAAACCCCAGCUUUUCAUGGCUUUUCUCCAAUAUAACAACAGAGUUCCCUUUUCCAUAAAACAAUUUUUUUAUCCAAUAAAAUUAAAAUCAAUCAGUAAAUUAUACUAAAAUAUAUAUUAUAAUUUUUUAUAUAAAUAAAUUAAUUAAUUCUAAUAUUUUUGGGAUAAUUUCAUAAACCAAAUAGCGGUCACUUUCGUAAUGUAUCACUUUCCCAUAAAAGACCAACUUUUUAUGACCUUCCUCCAUUAUAAGAACAAUGCACCCAUUUUUCCAUUAAUACAUUUAUUUAUCAAUCAGUUCUCUAGUAAAACCCCUUUUCCAAUAAAACACCGGCUCUUUAUCGAUUUCCUCCACUAUGAGACAGAGUACCAAUAUGCCAUACUUACUAAUUCACUUAUCGGAUAAAAUUUAAUUGAACACGGUUUGCAAUAAAACACCAGCUAUGUAUGGCCACUUUAUUUGUUCGAUAAAAUCGGAUCGAUAUUAUACUUGAGUGUCAUUUACCCGUUAGCAUAGAAUGCAAAGCAAGAAACUAACCUAUUGCAGGUUAAAAGUCCGUGUUAAGACAAAUUGUUUCGGAUACGUCAAGACACCUAAUUCAUAAACUCUCGCGAUACAUAACUUUAAUUACCACAAAUCAAAAAUUUCAAUCUUUUUUCAUUUAUUUCUAAUGACUGCAUACCAUGGAUCACUGUACGCUACUCAUAACCACCCACAAAUCUUCUCUUAACUCUCGACCACAUGAAGAUUGUGAUACUCGUUAUCCCCAUGGCAAGGUCUCCCCGCACCACCACCGGCGAGUUUGCUCGGUUGAACUUUGCUUUCCCUUCCUCUAAUGAAACUCAUAGAUACACACCAACCGCUUGCCUUGCUAUGGCAGCUUUUGGACUCUCUGUCUCCGUCUUCUACAUUUUAGGCUACGACGACGUCCAUCCGACUAUGACACCGCCUAAAACAUGGCCCUUUCCACAAAAUGCCGCUACUUUGUCUCUCUAUCUUGCCACCUUCAUCGAACCUCAACUUUAUUCAUCUCCAACCUCCUGUGCGUGUUCGCUUUCCGCAUAAUUUGAUGACGGACAACGUUGGCAUCAUCCAGAACCAAAGACAGUGCUACUUUGCGCCGCUCCUGCUCCGAAUUGUACUGCACCGAUAAAUUUGUUACUAUCUCCAUCGUUCGCAACCAAUGCAAGCAUACACACUUACUGUUACAGCAUACGACGCCAUUCCUUUUUCCUUACCUGAUUCCAUUUCCAGCUUCCAAUUCCACUUGAUAACAUAUCCAUGUACUUCAGCAUCAAUAACCCACAAUCCCACCUGCAUUACAAACCAUAACCACAUUUUUAGACAACCGUUGCUGAACUAUGGAAAAAACUUCCAAACCUAUGCACAUGCAACUUACGCAUUCCGUUGCUGUGGACAUGUGGCUGCAGCUUUUAUUUUGUACAGCCAAAGGCAUGACGAAUACUGCCCCUCCAAACCAUAAGUCAGCGCUGCUUCCAACCUUUCAAUCUGACGGCCAUACAAGAAAAACAUAUGCAAUUUUAAGUUUACUGCCACCAAUUGUAAAGGUGAUGGUCGUGUUCAUGAAAUGUUUGACAAACCAACUUAGUUUACCACUGUCUCCACGGAGCUGCGCCUAUUCAUUUCCGUUUGCUCGUCUCCUCUCAUUGAAUCAUAAAUUAAUACUUCUUCGCUUCCCAUGUCCACCACACACAUAUACCAAUGCUCAUCGUGCCACAUUGGCACGAAUAUCUGAAGCAUAGCAGCGGUUAGUUAGUCAUCAUCAUGGCAAUCUGUAUCUAUUCCAUUAUGCUACAUAACAGGGCAGCUGCUCGUACCUUCUCACACUUUUUUAUAUUACCUCCUACUUUACAUUCCUGUAGAUAUGUACAGUACAGCUCGUCUGCUGAUUUGUUGAACUCCAAAAUCUCUUGCUACAACACGACAGUCAAAUAUGACAUUUUAAUAUGAAUGUACGUACUCACAAGCCCCCAACUUUGGCCGAACACUUGUACCUGAAACCAAGUUGGCAUGAACCACCAUCGCAUUGACUGAUCGUCAGGACGCCUUUGCUGCCGUGCUGUUUUCAUCGCACAAUAGCAAUUGAUUAUCUGCACCAAACUCAAGUCACAUCACUUCGUCCUCCGUGAAACAGUCCACACAACACCACCCAAUUUCAAUCCCUCGAUUUACUCACAUCACAUGCCAUGGGUUUUUCAGGAAGCAACGACCCCAUUGCAUCCCGACUUGCUGUCUGCCCCUUAAUUGACACCAGUACUUCCCUGUCAUUACAACAGCGUACAUUAAUCUUUUCCCUAUGUAUAUUACGGUUUCAUAAUCUACAAACUUGAUAUCAUCAUUUUCAAUGACUCGAGUUAAAACGGCCAGACUAGGUUCGGUCUUCCUCACUAAUACAACCAGCAAUCACGGUUUCAAUGACUCAAUCGGUCCUUAGGGUCAUUGAGUUAGCCUAAGGCGGUUAUGUACUCACCAUAAGGGUCAUUGAGUUUUCAUUGUACUUCCAUUCUCAAACUUCUGGAAUACUCACCUUUUAUUCUAUAUGCAACCAUGUUACCUACCCUUACUUUUUAUAUAAGGUGGCAUGAUUGACAGCACACAAAUUGUAAGUUUUGUGCUCACUUGUAAACCAAUUUUAACUGCUUCGAAGAUUUUCGUUCCUAUGCCCUCUCCCCUAUGGGGAUAAUCAUACUACAUAUUUAGUCAACCUUAUAAUUGCAAAUACUUUUCUGUCCCCUUUCCCAUUGCAAUUUCAAAUAAAGGAUAAAACAAAAUACAACUGUUGAUUUAACAAAUCCAUGAUCCAGUACAUACCCUUGCGACAGCUGAGUGUCAAACAAGAACUUCAGUAUUUUUGCUCGUCCCUCACUCAAUUUUUCCCCGAUAGAUGCCAGCCUCGUUUCCUGCUACCACAAAAAUAUGUCAUCUUUCAUUGUCUAUAAUUUCCCAUACUUUAGUAAUUCUGGAACGUUGGAAUACUCACCUUUGCCAAUAAAGCAACGAUCUUCGUUUGACACUUGUUCAUCACACUGCUAUCCAUCUGUACAUAAAACUACAAUUUAUACUUUACUUUUCUAAUGCUAGAAAUACCUUGGCACAAACCGAUGCAUACCUUUAUUCUUUUACCUUGCCUUCUGUUUUGUUUGUCUUCCCCCACAGGCUUCUCCGUAUUGUCCAUCCUUAGUCUCUUUCUACUCCUCCACUUUGUAAUUUUCGAUGCACUCUUUUCACCCAUUACAGUACUAUUCGUAGUGACUCUAUCAUUUUCACUCCUGCUUUUGGACCUAACAUCUGGCGUUGUAGGACUCAAUUUAUGUAACUCACUCCCUCUUUUAACAUUACCGCGCCAAUCGUCCUUCUGCCCACCCUCCACACCAAGUGCCCGGUUUGUUUUGCACACCCUUCCACUUUCAUACAUGCUCCUCAGCCUUUCAAAACGACAUUCAAUCAUUGCUUCCAUUCUACCAAUACUAUCCUUCACAUCUUUAUUACCACAUUCAAUUUCAAUCAGUCUUCUAUCAAUGUCUUCUCUACAGCUUAUGUUAUUGUAAAACUGCACAUUGCCCUGUCACUACAACCCUUCAGUUUUGUACUACUAGUAACGUCACAAAAUGCAGAUUGCAAUUUCAACAACAAUUCACACGAAAGGAUUUUACAUUACCUGUUCCCCCUCAAAUAUGUGAUUCCUCCUCAAUAUUCGCACGCUUUCAUUAAUCUCGUACCUUCCCCAAAAUCUUAGCCUCGGCCCUCUCGGCUGGAACUUGCGAAACUCGUCCUCACCCUCGAUAUAGAAUCGUUCCAGAUAGUAAAUCUGCACGGACAAAAACGCCUACCAUCAUUUACGGGUCUUUUCUAUCAAAGUUUAAUUUCAUUAUUCCAGUAAUUCCUAUCUCUAAUACAAAAUGGUGCGUCUUUCUUAUACCAUCAAGAAAAGUGCACAUCCCGCUAUUCCGUUGCCGUCUCCAUCACGGAUGCUCUUCACCAAAUUGUCAAGUAUGAAUUUCGACCAGUUCAAAUUUUCCAUAUUCUCCUCUAUAGCCACUACAGCCACCAGAGCCCGGCUCACUUUGUCAUCCAAACUUGGUGCUAACAACCUACCAACAACAAACAAUACGAACUUCACUUUGAAUUCUAAGCCUUCGUUAUGCAAACUACAUAUACUGUGCCUCAAUUCCUCCACUACAAUUUCACCGCUAUUUAUUCUGAUAUUCAAUUCUCUUUAUUGUAAUUGUUGCCGAAUAAGAAAGAAACAAAAGCCAAAGAAUGGCGGCUGACAAGGAGUAGUCAAAGGAAAUUAUAAAAAAUACUAAAAGCUAAGGUCUUCAUGAUGCCUUGAAUCUUGCUUUCUUUCCUUUCUUAUAGCCGCCGCAGAGAACUCAAGAAGAAAACAGACGUCUGGCCCAAUUGAUUGCAACAAAAGCUAGCUUUUGGAGUUUGAAUCCCAUGCUCCUCGCGGUUCACGUGGACCACGGUCCGUCUUUUCGAUAGCGUAGACCUUUUGUGGCGUGGCCACGCUCUGAGACGAAAAGUCUUCUGAAAAUUUGCCUCGCGAGAUCAUUUUUAAUGCCGAACACCUAUAAUUCAUGCAAAUGUGAGAUAUGAGUUAAACCUCAGUACUUAGCACAGUAAAUAGCCAAAAUUAGGACAAAAUAACACUGCAAAAUGUGCCAAAUAACUGCUCUAUCAGUGAGGUGUUCGCGUCAAGGUUCAAUCGAUCGGAUUGGUUUAAUUCUGAUUCAAUGAAUUUUAAAAAAAUAAUUUAAAUAAAUAUAUAUGCACAAAAUAAGACAUGCAAUGGACUAAUUUAAGACUUUUUAUGAUGAAAAAUUUAAUAUUUUCAAAGAACUUAGAUUUUCAAAAAUAAAAUUUUAAAUUAUAAGUUGAAAUAAAUAAAUUUCAUCUCAAUCUCAAUUAUAUCUACAAAAAAAAAAAUCUAAAAUCCAACCCAAAAAUACAAUAAUAUUUUGAAAUUAUACAAAAUUCACGUCUAUGAGAAUUAGAUAUUGUGAGUUUAAAUUUAAUUCACGUUUUUGGGAUUUAGAGAUUGCAAUUUUUUAAAAAAAAGAAGCUUAGAGUUUGGAGGAAGUUAGGAAAAUUGAAAAUAGAGAUGCAAACUUGAUAAGAGAUAAAAAAUGAUAAGAAAGUGAGUGGUUGUGGCAUUUAAUAAUUAAUCUUUAGAGUUAAAGAAAAUCUAUUUUUUAAAAUAUUUUUUCAAUUUAAUAGACAAAAACAAAAAAAUCACAAAUCUGCACGAUUUACAAGGCAUACUAUUAAUGAUUAGUUCUGGUAGAGUUAAAAAAAUUUCUAGACUAUAAUUUCUUGAAAAAAGACAAAUGAGAAAAAGCCCUCGAACAAACAAAAAAAUUUGCAAAUCAAGAAAAGAAACUUCAAUCCAUCCAAAUAAAAAGAGGACAGCAUAUACAAAAUAGAGAAAAAAAAUUAAACCAAAAGAAAAAAAUAAAAAAAAAACUUGACAUACACACAAAAGUAGAAAAGAAAAUUUCAAAAGAUUGAACUAAAAAGAUGAAAGAAACAUUAAUAAAUUAAAACUAAAGAUGUUGGAUUAAAAAGGGAGUGACAAAAGAAAAAGGAGAGAGAGAGUCAAAGAUUAAAUAGAAAGAGUCAUGAGAGAAUGAGAUUUUGUAGAAAAAAUAGAGGAAACAAAGUUGGAAGUUUGAAGGGGGGGCGAUGGUUUUAGGGUGUAGAGAAUUCUUGUUUUUUUUUUUAGUUAAUAAGUUUUAUAUAUAUGUGUUAUCACAAAAAACUAAUAGGAUGUGAUGGUGCAAUGGUUACUAUAGCGGAUUUCUAUAACAAAGGUCCUAAGUUCAAUUCAUGGUAGUUUUACCAGUUUUCUAAGUUUGACCAAUUAUUUGUCAUAGUCAACUCUAGUAUAGAAUCGGACCGGUAUCAUGGUCGAUUCACAGUUCAAUCGAUCGAUCUAACUUGUUUGGUUCGAGUUCAAUCGAUCGAUCUAACUUGUUUGGUUCGAUUUUAAAAACACUGAGAAAAGGCCUUAAGCAUUUCCUUGGGUUCUAUUUGAUGAAACUUGAAAGUUGAAAGCUACUUUUCCAUAGUGGUUAAGCCUAGUUUGAGGGCCGAGAAGAGAAAUGUAGAGACAUAAAUAAGGGAUUAAUCUUUUAUACAUAGUGUUUGUACAUUGUCAAUUUUGGAUAAAUGAAAGCUAUGUAAAAUUUAAAUUUAAAAUUUAACUUUUGUAUAUGUAUCAUGGAUUUAACGGUGACAGUGUAUACACUAUUAGUAUAUAUAAAAUUUAUUCAUAAAUAAUUACGAGAGAUGUAAGUAAUUGCGAAUUUUUUUAAUGGGUAUCCCAUGAUAGUCCUGUUAGACCAACCUUAUACCUAAUUUAAUAUAUGAAUACAAAUUCACAUUUAUUGUACCUAUGCAUGGGACACUUCAGCAAAUUAAUUACACUUUUGUGAAAAGUAACACUUGAGGCCUCUUAACGGGGUACCCGUUAAUUAAACCCAAAAAUUAAUUAGAGGGAAAAAGAAAAAGAAACCAAUUUUUAGUGCAUGACCUCUUUGUCUUGUUUGGUAAUAUAAGACAAAAUAUAUGAUGACGUUUUAUUUAUUUGUAUCCGUAAUUUUUCCCUUUAUAUUUAAAGAGUAGUUUGGACUCUAGAUUCACCAUCUCACUUUCUAUCACAAUGUUUAUCUAAUUAUUUUAUCAUGUAAUUUUACGUACAACGCUUUGUGAAUGAACCAUGUAGUAUAUUCACAUGUCACGGGAAAAAAAAUAGGGAAUGAAACAGAAAUUAGCACAGAAAGUAGGAUAAAGAGUCUAGCGUCUAUAAAUUGGCAUCUUUAUCUCACUGUUUUGUCGUGUAAUUUAACAUGCAACACUGUGUGUUUUGUGAAUUAACCAUUGUACUAUGUUCACAUGUCGCUGGAAAAAAAAAAAAAGAGGAUGGAGCAUAAAUUGGCAUAGAAUGUGGGAUAGACGGUAUAGAAUAAGGAAAUUGGCAUUAUUAAAUCUCUGUGUACCAUUCCUAUUUGAGUUAUGGUUCUUCUCUCAAACUUCGGAGAGAAAAUUAUUAUUAGCUCUCAAUCAUUCUAAGUUACCUCAAUUUUCUAAGUGCCCAGUUGAAAAAUAGGCAUGCCUCCUCCAAAGUCCUCAGUUAGCUGUAAGAAAAUCCAUUUAACGGCAAGCUUAGUAUUGCUACCCCACCAAAGGCAUAUCCAUACAACGUAAGAACCCAGAACUUAAGACCACCCCUUCAGUACUUGGGUUUUCCCCUCGUAAAAGUUGCUAACUUUUUCAAUCUUUCACUUAGACUUUAUUUGAUAAACCAAUUCAACACUUAAUUUUAAUGGAUUUAAAUUUUAACAUGUUCAGACCCGUUUAAUAAUAAAAAAUAGAAUAUCUGAAUUAAUUAAAUAACACUGAAUUUUUUGGGCCAAAUUUGGUUCAAAAUAUAAAUGAUAAGCUGUUCAUUUAUCACUUAAUGUGAUAUAAACUCAAAUGUAUCAAAUUUACUACUUAACAAUAUAGUAACUUAACGGAUUCAGAAUUCAGAUUUUAAAUUUCAGUUUUAUCAAAUGCAUCUUUAAUUAAGUAUAAUUCCAUCCUGUGCCAUUCUAGCACCCUCAUUGCACUUGAUAAGUUGGGUUUCUGUAAUUUUUAUAUUUAUUGGUAGACAAAUUAUUGUUGACUUUUUUUUAUAUCAAGUCAUCAAAUCUUUAAGAGUAAAAAAAGAAAAAGAAAAAGAAAAAAGGACGUGGAAAACUAAAACACAAGCAAACCUUCUUUUCUUUUGGGGGUGGAUCCAAUUACAAGCAACCAUCUGAUUUUGCACAACCCAAACAUGAAGACUUGUAAGGCCACCACCAAAGCCCGUAAGACUUGUUACCAAAGCCGGUAAGGUUGGAUGGGGUGGGAAGUCAAGGAUUCAAAUCUUGCCCCCCUCCCCAUCAUCUGUCAUUAUAUGUGACCUGCCACUUUAAAGUUGUUCAAGACGGAUGCACCAAUUUGGGUUGGUGGUAGUUCAGUUCUCACUAGUUUCCUUUUGGGUCUUUUUAGGUCCCCCCAUAGCAUAGAAAAAAGACUAGUGGUAGUUCAGUCUCCACUAGUUUUCCUUUGGGUCUUUUCAGGUCCUCCCAUAGCAUAGAAUAAAAUGUAGAUCUAUUGUAUCUGGCCAAAAAAAAAAAUGAAGACAAUGUUAAACAUUAAAGGAAGAAAAAAAAGGGAAAGGGUUUUAUUUAAUUUAAAGGUUUGUUUUGCAUUUCCUGCUUUAUCAUGCUGUUCAAAUUCCUCUAAUGCCUUAAAUGCUGGAGGAAAUAGUGGCUCCUUAGUCUACUCAAGCAAUGGACAAAUUAUGGUUAAUAGCACGUGAGUAUCACGUGACCAUGCUUUUCUCAUUGGUUUUUUUUUUAAAAAUUUUUUAUUUGAUAAGAAAAAGUUUGGAAUGAUUCAAUUCCAAUCAUCAUCACCAAUCAGAAUAUACCUCUGGAAUGAUGAAACCAAUAAAUCUACUUACAGGUAUUUAUAGACCAUUUACUAUCCUCGUAUACUAGAACAGUUUAGGUACAAAAAGUGAUUUAAAAAACAUGAGAAACAGACUAUCUUUUGCUUUAUUUCUAUUACAGAGUUGUGUGUGUUAGAUAAAAUAUCAUCAUUCUCCUUGCCUAAAAAGUCCACCAUUUCUUGACAAAUUGUAGUGUGAUACAAAAUUAAGGGCGACUUGAGGGCCUAAGAUAUAUAGACCUUGGGGGGUUGGGGCAAAGAUAAUAAUUGUUCUAUUUACAUGUUUUUUAAAAAAUUAUGCACUAUUAGUGUAAAGGAUUUUUACAUUAGCAAGUAUAGAUGUAUGUCAAGUAUAUAAAAAGUAAAUUUAAAAUUUAAAAUUAGAUUAAGUGUCAUGCAUUUACAUUUGCUCGUGUAUACACUACAUAUAAAAAUUACUCGUUUUAAAAAAAUUUGAAUGUUACAAUUUUUUUUGACUUUUACUGUUUAUCUGAAAAUAAUUGUUCUGUUUACAUGUUUUUUAAAAAAUUAUGCACUAUUAGUGUAGAGGAUUUUUACACUAGUAAGUAUAGAUGUAUGUCAAGUAUAUAAAAAGCAAAUUUAAAAUUCAAAAUUAGAUUAAGUGCCAUGCAUUUACAUUUGCUCAUAUAUACACUACAUAAAAAAAUUACGCUUUUUAAAAAAAAUUUGAAUUUUAUAGAUUUUUUUGACUUUUACUGUUUAUCUGAACAUGUCUUUGAUGAUAUACAAAUUAUGUGAGACAGACGUUUUUUUGUUAUUAAAACAUGUGUGUGAUGAUAUAAAAAUUAUGCGAGAUAUAUCUAUAUUGCUCUAAACAAUUAGAACGGGUAAUUAUUUGGCCUCAAAUAUGAUUUUGAGAGGUAAGCAACUUUGUACUUUUCAUUGAAACUAGAGGAAUAAGUCAUUAAAACGGAAGCACUGCGUGAAUAGCUCACGAUGUCAACUUAUUCAGGGAAAAUUGAGGUUAGCCCACCUGGAGAUAUAAUUAUAUAAAUGUAGAAUGGUCGAGCCGAGAGCUCAAUGUGUUCAUGCAGAACACAAAUAGACACUCAGGGCAAGCAUUUUCUCUGGUUAUGUUUCUAAAUCCAUUCAAUUUACAAAAGUGGAGUAAUGGGACAAUUUGUGCCAUUAAUGAUUCUUCUUCAACUACUCUUGCUUAAUAUCUGUGAGUACUAUGCUUGUUGAAUGCUUUACUGCUUGUUCAUUAGUUGCAUGUUUGCAUUUCUUGUAGCUAAAUUUGAAACUAUCAAUAUCUCUUGAUCAUAUGGACUGUAUCCUUUCGCUAAACUACUUUGAUGAGAGUUUAAAAAGAAGUGAUCUCACUUUCAUGUAGAGUUUAAUAUGCUACUGACAUGAUGUAUCUGUUAAAAUAGUCAUUGAGAUUUGGAAUUCUGCAGUACCUAUUUUCUCUGGAAGGAAUGCGAGCUAUAAUCAAACAGUGAACUACGAAAUGAAUCUAUUAGCAAGAAAGAGGAUUGAUGACAUGAAAAGUUUCAGAAUGCUGACAUUUAUCUUUCUCUUUAUGUUUUGAUCUAUAAGAUAUCAGACUUUUUCUUUACAAAAAUUAAUUUAGCAAUGAGUGUCAAUUUUGUCUUACCUUUGAUUAGUUUACCACUUAGUCCAAAAUUACCUUUGAUUAAUUUAGCAGUUUCUUUCCUUGUUGGAUAAUAUAAUAAUGUCCUCUGCCGCUUAUGGCUUGUUAUCUUGAGACUUCAGUCAGCUAUUUGAGAACUUCUCCUCUUUUUCUUGUUUUUUCCUUGUUCCUUUUAUCUCUCAUUGCAUUUGACUUCCUAUGUUGUAGGUAAUAUACUUCCUGAGAUUCCCACAGCAAAUUGAGUACUUGCUGAUGUUCUAUUAACAAUAACAGGUCAUUUCCUUUAUGGAAAUGAAAUCAACAAAUUGAGUAAUCUUUUUUUAGCAGAUAUUAUCCUCCCUUCACCGUCAUUAGGCACUUAAAGAUGAUCCUUUGACAUUGUGAUCUUUGUUAAUCAUUUUCAUUAGAAGAAUAAUUUUAGGUGAAUCACCAGCCAAUGUGGUUACAUUGUCAGAAACCACAUUCCUUCCUUUACCUCAUCUUACAGCAACUGAUGCUAUAUUUCCUGCCCUAGACCAAUUUCUGUUUCUUUAUUUCCUUUGUUCCUUUAUUGGUUGCAUAUAACUGAGUUCUUUGUGGUGUGAAGACUCUGAAUUAGGCUCAAACUGAAAUCAAUUAACUAUAAACUGGAGAAUAAUUAGUUAUGACUGUUCCUUGAUUGAAAGUUGUUAACCUCGAUUUUGCUUCUUCAUAAAUUACAGGACUGCAGAUUAGCAAGUUGAUGCUUGCUUUACAGGCCAUCUCAAACAUACUUUGAUUUUUCACAACAAAAGCCAAUACCAUAUCAGAUGACAUAUAAAGUGCAUGGUUCUUGCAAGAUAAAACUGCAUCUGAUUUUUUUUUUUUUGUUUCUGAAAAAGAAAAAAAAAAUCAUUCCAUACAAGUUCGAUCUGUUUAUAAAUAAUUGCUGCCAGAGAAGUCCAACAUAAAAGGCUCAAGUCACAUAGAAAAUUUGAUGUAAAGGCUUCUUCUAUUCAUUUAUUCUAAAUGCAGAUACUUAACUCCAGAAGGGAUUCAAAUGUUAUUCUGAUCCUUCUUUAACAUGCAUUUACAACCCUAACCCCAAUAAAGAGUAUUUAGCUAAAGAAUUAUCAGUGGAACUCAGGAAAAAGCACAUACAUAGAAUGGUUUAAAUUGAUAGAUUGAAAAAACAUUUCUUGGAGUACAAUAUGAUAAAAAAUUUUGUCAUAUUACCCCAAAACAUUUUUGUUGAUAAUCAAGGAAUAGUCACAGAAAACUGUAUCACUGCUCCAGUUACAAUCAAGUAUAGAAAAAACAUCAUCUACGUAGGAAUAGAAAGCUACACAUGAUGAAAAAACAGCAACUGUAAUACAGCUAAGGAAGAAGUAUGUACUGAAAUGAAAUUUGGCGUUGGUGGACAAGGCUUCAAUUAACACUUGUUUUUGCAACAUCACCCUGUCUUGCAGCAGCAGUUUUGUGGCUGCCUGAGAAAUAUUGACAAACAACACUUGAUUAGUAUAGUUAGAAACAAAAAGCAAACUCAUCCAUGAUACUAACGCAAGUACGAUCACGAAAAUUACAUUGUAAUUCUACUUCCUUCCUUCCAACUUAUUGUGGCUCUCAAUAUGAAAUUUGGAAUGUAAACAUUUGCAAACAUAUACACCCCGUAACUUAUGUAGAAAGCAUCUUCAGAGAAGGGGAAAACUUUCAACAGCAAGAAAUGAAAAAAAUGAAAAAAAACAUAGAGAUCAGCUCAUUUAUGGAAUAAAUUAAUAAAGACACUAAAUUCAGAAACAAACAAGGAGGAGGAAAGAGAUAGAAAAUAAAAUAUUUAAAUUUAUAGAAAUAAGAAAUAUUAAAAAAUAUUAAAAAGCUGCAUGCAGCAGAUUGUUUGGAUGAAUUGAUAGGUUGCAUUUUAGUGGGUAUUUCGGGCAUUAUUGCACCAUUAAUUGACUAAAUAUUUUCCUUAAUUGGGUGGAUUCUACUGAUAUCUUGUUUUGGGUGCUAAUUGCAGGAAUGGAUGCUGAAAAGUGCUUAAAUUCAACUUUUAGAAGAUUCAUCGGACGUGGGGCCCGUUUGAGAAGCUGAAGAAACCUAAUUGUAAUAGAUUUUAUUUUAAGAUAUUUUUAGCGAGUCUGGCUGCAAUUUUUAAGAAGUAACAAUUCUCGGCUAUUGGGGGAUUGCAUUAUCUCUCGCGCGUUUUAGGUUAAAAGCGGAGUUUGUUUUUGAAUGAAAAAAAAGAAGGAGCCGCAGCUUUGUAGAGAGAAAGGCAGCAGACAAUAGCCACUUUUGUUGACUUUGAGGAUUCUGUGAGCUUUUGAUUGUUCUUUGACCAAAUUGAGAAAUAAAAACAAUUCUCCAAUCUUUCGUAUGUUUCUUGUGUGGGAAAAGAAGGAAAGCUUAAAGGAGCCGCCAUUGUUAACUUUGCUUUUGGUUGUCCUACCUUGUGUGAAUUGAAUUGGGGAGCAGAAACAAUCUCGUGUUUUUCCUCCUGUGGUGGACCGAAGCGGGAGAAUCGAAUUGCAAACCUUUCCCAAUUCUCCACGCGCGGCCUACUCUCCACUAAUGGGGAACUAAACCCCUAAUUCUAGUCAAGGGGACAACUGACGAUUUGGUUCGACAAUUACUGUGAGAUCUAAACCGUUUUUAAUUAUUUUCUUCAUUAAUUGAUAUUCAUAUGUUCCCUGAUUUUAAUUGCUAUAGCCUCGUGCAUGAUUGGUUAGUGCGCAAUAAUUAAUUAUUCAUAUAGGCUAUUUUGCUAAAUAGGGGUAAUUGAAUCCGUAAUUGUUCGUUAUCCCUGUUUUAGUAGCAACUGGCAUAAUUGGGUUUAUGUCAGGGGAAUAUACGAUCUAGUUUAAACAAACCCUCGUAGCGUGUUUGUUAAUUAGGAUUGGGCCUUUCUAAUUAUUAAUGCAAUCUAAAAAUUAAACCCUACGGUCGUACCUAAGGUUGUUUUUGGGUUAGAGAAAUAGCUAACGGUCGUACCUUAACUAUCGAUAAAUUAAGGAAGGGUUGGUCGUUUAGCGCGUGCGAGACAACUAUAACCAGUCUAUUAAUAAAUGUGAAAUUACCUUUGAAUCAAUGAUCAGUUGCAUGAACCAUUUCUGAAGUGUACCCUUGGCUAGAUGUUUCUCUUAAUUAUUUCUUUUAAUUGAUUAUUUUCGGCAUUUCAUUUGUUUAGUUGGCAUUUAAUCCCAAAAUCCCCUUUCAUCUUGAUUUGAAAAGAAGCAAAAUAUCUUGCUAGUCCCUAAGAAGACGACCCUGCUUACCACUAUCUACUAGUUAGUGAUUUCAGUUAAAUAAUUAAUUCAGGUAUAUCGGAUCAAGCAAACUCUUCGGGAACAGGGUGAAUCAAAUAACCCAUUGCACACCUAGAGUCCCUGCUCCAGUACUCGAAUUGAUUAAUGACUGGUUUAGGUGGUAUUUAGGUUUUAUUAUUUAUUAUUAUUGCACAGGUUCGACACCUGUCAAUUUUUGGCGCCGUUGCCGGGGACUGGCAUAUGAAUUAUUUGUUUCUUUUUUGAAUUCAGUUUUUUUAUUUAGUUUUUGUUAUUUUAUUUUUCUUGGUAUUUUUGCUAGUUUAUGCCCCGUUCCUCUCGCACAGGUGAAUUGAUAUACGAUUCUAAGGUUGAGAAGGCAGCGCGUAGGCGAAGAUAAGAAACCAAGAGACGAAAAGAAUGGCACUUAUCUUUUGCAAACGAGUCAGUAGAAAACGAAUUUAGCAUGGCCAACACCCAGACACUAAGGGAGCUGGCUACCCCAGACCUGACUCAUCAGCCCUUGUGCAUCACGUUCCCAACUCUGGCUGAAAAUACCUCUUUCGAGCUGAAAUCGGGGUUGAUUCACCUCCUACCUAAGUUCCAUGGUCUUUCUGGUGAAGAACCGCACAAACAUGUCAAGGAAUUCGAAAUAGUUUGCUCUAGCAUGAAACCUCCUGGGGUCACUGAGGAGCAAAUAAGACUUAGAACUUUCCCCUUCUCUCUCAAGGAUGCAAUGAAGGAUUGGCUAUACUACCUACCUGCAGGUAGUAUCACCACGUGGGCACAAUUGAAAAAGAAAUUUCUGGAAAAAUUCUUCCCCGCAUCCCGGGGUGCGAGUCUGAGAAAGGAAAUAUGUAGCAUCAAGCAGUACUCCGGAGAAUCAUUGUACAAUUAUUGGGAAAGGUUCAACAAAUUGUGCCACGGAUGCCCACAGCAUCAGAUUAGUGAACAACUGUUGAUCCAGUACUUCUACGAAGAGCUCCAGUCAACUGACAGGAGUAUUAUUGACGCUGCAAGCGGAGGAGGCCUGGCGAACAAAACACCGAGGGAAGCGUGGGAGCUUAUUGAGGCCAUGGCAGAGAACUCCCAGCAGUUCGGCUUCCGUGAGAGCAAUCCUACCCGUAGAGUCAAUGAGGCAGAGACGUCAUCUAUCCAGCAGCAACUGUCGGAGUUGACGUCUGCUGUUAGGCAAUUGGCCAUGAGAGACACACCGCGAGCAAAGGUGUGUGGAAUCUGUACUAGCAUGGACCACUGUACGGAUACGUGCCCCAUUCUGGAAGAGGACGGGGCGGAACAGGUAAAUAUGGCCGGAGGCGUGCCCGCGCCCCGCAGGCAGUAUGACCCGUAUUCCAAUACAUACAACCCUGAUUGGAGAGACCAUCCCAAUCUUAGUUAUGGGAACAGACAAUCAAGUUCAUUCCCGAAUCGUCCACCAGGAUUCCACCAGCCUUGGCAACCAAAAUCUCAACCCUCAUCCUCCAAUUCAGGAAGCUUCUUGGAGGACCUAGUCAAAAGUCUGGCCACGACUACUACUCAGCUUCAUCAGGAGAUCAAAGCGGACAAGAAGGACCAAGAAGCUCGAAUAAGCCAACUGGCCACUGCCAUUAACCGCUUAGAGUCCCACGUUUAUGGAAAACUGCCAUCGCAACCCGAGGUAAAUCCCAAGAAUGUAAGUGCCAUGACGCUGAGGAGUGGCAAGGAACUGGAAGGGCCUAAAGUGAGAAAUUCAAAAAGCAAAAGUGAGGAGGAGAUAGAAAAGGAAAUUGAGGAGGAAGGACGUGUUCGUGAGGAGCCUAAGGUAACCUCCACCUCUCCACUCACUACUAACUCUAACUUAUCCCCUUUUCCUUGCAGGUUGGAAAAGACAAAGAAAGUAGAGAAGGAAAAAGAGCUCUUGGAUGUGUUUCGGAAAGUGGAAAUCAACAUUCCCCUGUUGGAUGCAAUCAAGCAGGUACCGAAAUAUGCUAAAUUUUUGAAGGACUUGUGCACCCACAAAAGGAAACUAAGGGGGGAUGAACGAGUGGCGGUGGGAGAAAACGUGUCAGCCAUGCUCCAAAGGAAACUCCCACAAAAAUGUGGAGAUCCAUGUAUGUUCACCAUUCCCUGCAAGAUAGGAGGUGCCUCGAUUAGGAAGGCAAUGUUGGAUUUAGGGGCGUCAAUCAAUGUAAUGCCUAAAACAAUUUAUACGUCCCUUAAUCUUGGUCCAUUAAAAGGCACAGGCAUUAUAAUCCAACUUGCAGACCGUACCAAUGCUUACCCAGAAGGGUUAGUUGAAGAUGUUUUGGUACAAGUCAAUGAGUUAGUUUUUCCUGCAGAUUUCUAUGUCCUAGACAUGGGGGAUGAAAGGGCGCUGAACCCGUCUCCUAUUUUGUUAGGUAGGCCAUUUUUAAGCACUGCUAGGACGAAAAUAGAUGUAAAUGAGGGUACUUUGUCGAUGGAGUUUGAUGAGAAAAUUAUAAAUUUUAAUAUUUUCGAUGCGAUGAAAUACCCAGAUGAGACUAACUCUGUUUAUGCUUUAAGUGUUGUUGAGCCCCUUGUACAGGAAAUAUUUGAAUUGGAUGGGGUUGAUACACUGGCAGUGGUAUUAGCCAAACAUCUUGAAUUGGGAGCAACUCCUGAUAUAGAAUUGAGUGAUGAGUUAUACCGGGCUGUUGGAGCACUGCAUUCGCUCCCACCAAUUUCUCCAAUGUAUGAGCUCACUUCUGUCUUUGUACCAGAAACUCAGGCGAAAUUGUUGCCCUCUAUUGUGCAGGCACCUGAGUUGGAGCUCAAACCUCUCCCAAAGCAUUUGAAAUAUGCUUUUCUCGGGGACAAGGAGACACUGCCAGUCAUUAUAUCUGCACACCUGUCACCAAGGCAAGAAGACAACCUUAUUCGUCUUCUUCGAGAUCAUAAGGAAGCGAUUGGGUGGAGUGUAGCAGACAUCAAAGGAAUUAACCCUUCCUUAUGCAUGCAUCGGAUCCGACUUGAGGAUGACGCAAAGCCAGUUAGACAAGCGCAACGGAGAUUGAACCCACUCAUGAUGGAAGUGGUAAAGAAGGAGAUACUUAAACUCUUGGAAGUGGGGAUCAUCUUCGCCAUCUCAGAUAGUCCUUGGGUGAGUCCCGUGCAAGUAGUCCCGAAAAAGGCGGGAGUAACCGUUGAAGAAAACCAAGGGGGCGAGAUGGUCCCAGUGAGGAAACCCACAGGAUGGCGUCAGUGCAUUGACUACCGACGCCUGAAUGCCGUGACGAAGAAUGACCACUUCCCUCUACCUUUUAUUGAUCAGAUGAUAGAAAGGUUAGUUGGUCGUGUCUAUUACUGCUUUCUUGACGGUUUCUCAGGUUAUUUUCAGAUUGCUAUAGCCCCAGAAAAUCAGGAGAAAACUACAUUCACUUGCCCCUUUGGUACAUUUGCCUACCAGAGGAUGCCUUUCGGUCUCUGCAACGCCCCAACAACUUUCCAGAGGUGUAUGGUAAGUAUCUUUUCCGAAUAUGUAGAAAAGAUUAUUGAGGUGUUUAUGGAUGAUUUUAGUGUUUAUGGAGAUAGUUUUGAUGAAUGCCUGGAUAAUCUAGCUUUAAUUUUGAAAAGGUGCAUUGAGUCAAAUUUAGUUUUAAAUUGGGAAAAGUGUCAUUUCAUGGUGGAUCAUGGCAUUGUUUUAGGGCAUGUGGUGUCGGCCAGAGGUAUAGAGGUAGACAAGGCAAAAGUCGAUAUUAUCUCUGCUUUACCUUACCCCGCAAGUGUGCGGGAGGUGCGUUCCUUUUUGGGUCAUGCAGGGUUCUACAGGAGAUUCAUCAAAGAUUUCUCCAAAAUUGGAGCGUCCCUGUUCAAACUGUUGCAGAAGGAUGUGGCAUUUGACUUCACCGAAGAGUGUAAGGUGGCAUUUGACAGGUUGCGGGAGUCAUUGACAUCACCACCUGUGAUCCAACCUCCAGACUGGAGCCUCCCAUUUGAAAUAAUAUGUGACGCGAGUGACUAUGCAGUGGGAGCGGUGCUGGGGCAACGGAUUGGCAGAGCCGCACAUGCGAUCUACUAUGCAUCCAAAGCGUUGAAUGGAGCUCAGCUCAACUAUUCUACAACAGAGAAAGAAUUACUUGCUGUGGUUUUUGCAUUAGAAAAAUUUAGAUCUUAUUUGUUAGGUGCGAAAGUAAUAGUUUUCUCUGAUCAUGCAGCCUUAAGGUACUUGAUGACGAAGAAGGACGCUAAACCAAGGCUCAUCAGAUGGAUCCUGCUUCUUCAAGAGUUCAACUUGGAGAUUAAGGACAAAAGUGGGGCAGAAAACUUAGUCGCGGAUCACUUGAACUGCCUGCUUGCUCAUAAGGAGGAGCCACCAUUGAGGGAGGCAUUUCCAGAGGAACAACUACUUGCUAUUAACUCGUCUGUACCCUGGUAUGCCGAUUUAGUGAAUUUCUUAGUGACUAAUCAAUUGCCUGCAGGGUGGCCAAAGGCUAAGAGAGACAAGUUGAAGAGUGAUGCUAAAUAUUACAUUUGGGACGACCCGUACCUUUGGAGACAAUGUUCGGAUCAAGUGCUCAGGAGGUGUGUAAGUGCAGGCGAAUUUCACUCUAUUUUAAAUUUCUGUUAUUCGUUUGCAUGUGGAGAGCAUUUUGGGCCCAAGCGAACAGCUCGCAAAGUGUUAGAGAGUGGCUUUUACUGGCCUACCCUGUUCAAAGAUGCUUAUUUAUUCUGUAAAUCCUGUGAUAGGUGUUAAAGGGUGGGAAAUAUUUUUCGUAGGGACCAAAUGCUUCAAACCCCCAUGUUGUUUGUUGAAAUUUUUGAUGUUUGGGGGAUAGAUUUUAUGGGUCCUUUUCCCUCAUCUUUUGGUUUCCUAUACAUUUUACUUGCUGUAGAUUAUGUCUCUCAAUGGGUGGAAGCCAAAACCACCCGUACUAAUGAUUCUAGAGUGGUUGCAGAGUUCUUAAAAUCUAAUAUCUUUGUCCGUUUUGGAAUGCCAAGAGCUGUAGUUAGUGAUAGAGGGACACAUUUCUGCAACAAGACUAUCACUGCCUUGUUUCGAAGAUACGGUGUACUCCAUAAGGUAUCCACACCGUAUCACCCGCAGGCAAACGGUCAGGCCGAAGUGCCAAACAGGAAAAUCAAGUCGGUCUUGGAGAAGAUGAUGCGUCCGGAUAGAAAGGAUUGGAGUUUAAAGCUAGAAGACGCACUAUGGGCGUAUAGAACCGUGUAUAAGACGCCAAUUGAGAUGUCUCCGUAUAGACUUGUCUUCGGUAAGGCUUGCCAUCUUCCCGUAGAAUUCGAACACAAGGUGUUUUGGGCAGUGAAGCAGUGUAACAUGGGAUUAGAUGAAGCAGGGGUCCAAAGGAAAUUGCAACUACAAGAGUUAGAGGAGAUAAGAAAUGAAGCGUAUGAGAAUGCCACGAUCCAUAAGGAAAAGAGUAAAACCUUUCAUGAUCAACGAGUUUCCACAAAAUCUUUUGUAGUGGGGACAAAAGUCCUCUUGUAUCACUCGAGACUUAAACUUUUUCCCGAUAAGUUGCGUUCUCGUUGGAUUGGUCCAUUUGUCGUUUCUAAUGUGUUUCAUUAUGGUGCAGUGGAGAUCCAAAGUUUAAAAACGGAGAAAAAGUUCGUGGUGAAUGGCCAUCGUCUUAAACCUUAUUACGAGGGGUUCUCUGUUGAAGAAGUAGAAGUUGAACACCUCCAACAUCCACUUUAUAAUGCUUGAGCGUUUUGGCCAUGUCUAGCCAAAAACAGUAAAGAAAGACGCUACUUGGGAAGCAACCCAAGACUAUUUGUUUCAGUUUUCAUGCAUUUUUGAAGUUUUAGUUAAGUGUUAGUGUCAAUUAAUAGUUUGAUGUUUGGUGGCAGGAAAUUAGUAGUUAAGCGUGCUCACGCCUGAGGGGAAGGAAUUUUCGUUCAGGUUCUGCGGACUCCAUAGCAGUUAGACGUGCCCACGCCAAGUGGUCACGCCUGAUGGAAGGAAUUUUCGUUCAGGUUCUGCGGACUUCAUGGCAGUUGAGCGUGCCCACGCUAGGUGCUCACGCUAAAAAAAAAAAAAAAAAAGGGCCAAAAGAUGAAAUUGCCCUUAUUGAAAAAGAAGAAAAAAAAAUCGUAGCCCUACUUCUUCUUUUCUUCCUUUUUCUUUCUUUCUUCUUCUUCUUCUUUCUUGUCUUUUUGUCCGCCGUCGCACCUCCCUUUCUCCACACGCCGCACGAUCACCGCACCGCACCUAGCCGCGCGCGACCCAGCUGCGCCGCACGACAGCACCACCAGCAGCAUCUCAGCGCGGACCACCAGCCGCAGUUCCAGGGCCUCAGCUCCACCGUGUGCGGUUCCGACGCCUCCUUCACCAGCCAAGCCCGCCUUGCUCCAGCAGCAGCCACGACCAGCAGCAACGCCGCCGCACUCGCCGCCACCUAGCCCGCGCAGCAGGAGCCCACUGUGCGCGCAGCUUCACCAGCCACCAGCUGCCUUCGCACGGCCAGCUCGCGCGUGCAACUACCCACCGCACGCACGGAUCAAGCCAGCUGUGCACGGUGCGCAGUCAACCGCCAAGCGCCUCGCCCAGCUCUUUUCUCUGCCCAUCGCGACUCCAGAUCGAGCAAGGCAAGGUCAGUCUGCACGCACCUGCUCGCCUACCCAGGCGUGCGCCAGACCAGCGCAGCUCUUCCCCCCUUUGCGCGCAUUCCCCUGCUCUCCAUUUCACUCACGGCCACUCACCCGCUUCGCGCGCAACCGAAGGCGCAGCAGCCAGCUAGCUCACGCGAGCCAGCCACGCGCAACAAGGGUCAACCGCGAGCCGCCUUCUUCCUCCUCUAGCGCCACCUGCAUUCUUUUUCUCUUCCACCCAUAGCAACUACCGGUUAUCCCCCAUGGUGAUUUCUUUCUUAAUUUUCUGUCACUAAGUAGCUAAGGCCAGAUUACUAGCUUUUAUUAGCUGAUGACAGAUUUUAUUUUCGUAGCUGAGGCCAGAUUCUUUUUAGUUGCUAAUUGAGGACAGAUAUUUUGUGCUUGAUUUGGGUCCUGUGCCGUAUCUGUAGUUGAUUGUUGCUUAUUAGGUAUAUUUUGUGUUCAACCGGGGUUAUCAGGGGGAGGUUUUCACUUCGGUUGCCUGAUUAUUUCGUUUUUGAGGGGGUUUUGCUCUGUUUAUUUGAUUAAUUACUUUUUGGGUCAAAUUGGUAGUAUUUGGGAGAAUUUUGCUGUUCAUAGGCUUAAUUUAUUUUUGGGUCAAUUCAUUGCCUGCUUUUGCACGUGAUUGCGAGUGGGGAGUUGUGACUGAGAAUCAUUUACUUUGGGGCCACUUGUGACUUCUUUGGAACACCAUUUCCUUGCCUCCACCCUGCCCUCUGCAUUCAAAUGACUAAACCAAAAAAUAAGGGCAAGAGCAAACCUUCCACUUCCACCCCUCAACCUACGGUCCCCUUAGGGGGACCUGCCCCUCGACUGGGCCAGGAGGGCCCCGUACUCGCCUUGGACGGAAUAGAGAGGUGCAUAUCUCCUCUCCGGCCCAUUUCGGCAGCGAUUUAACCUUUACCAGGGCUGCCGACAAGGAGCGGUAUGCCUCGGCUUGCACAAGGAAGAUAAUUCCUUGUAAAUAUAUCCAUGGCCCUACACUUGAUAUGCUAAACCUGAGGGAUGAGGUCACGCAGCACUUGACUAAUGUAGGCUGGACCCGCUAUGCUUCUAUCAAUCUACCUGCUUUUAUUGAACUCACAUGGGAAUUCUAUGCUACUUUUGAAUUUAAUAUUCCUGAUGAAUUCUCCGUUACCACUCUUGGGGUAGUGAGAUUUCGAUUGAUGGGUAGAGAGUUCAACCAGUCUAUCACUGAGUUUAAUUUGGCUCUUGGGUUUAUUGAUAUUCCUUACUCCCAGAGUGAGGAGUAUAUGCACAGUGUGUGUGAGUACUCGGAGCCAUUUUUCUCUCAUUACAUUGAUUAUUGGAGAGAUUUGUCGGUUGACCGCCACAUCUAUGACCCCAGUCAGUCUAAGGCGUCUUAUCUUAAGAGUGCCGCCUACCGUUAUUUACAUAGAUUCAUGGCCUAUAGUUUCUCAGGUAGGAAGGAUAGCUCGGGUACUCUGACCAAACCCGAGUUCUUUUUCGUUUGGUGCAUGGUCACUCGGAUUAGGGUCAAUUUGGGUAGCUGGUUUGCCCUCCACCUCCGGACUGUGCUAAGUAAGAAAAAUAAGCCAUUAAUCUUAGGCUCAUUUAUCACUCAGUUGGCUGUUAAUCUUGGGGUUUUGGAAUUAAAUAAUCAUAACUUGCAUCGUGCUUGUGCUAUGGAACCCCUUGAUUUGGUUUGUUUGGAGAAAAUGGGUCUUGUGCUACAGGUGAAUGGCGUUUUUUAGUUUGCUCCACCGGGGCCAAUCUCCGUUCCUCCAAAGCGCAGCGCUUCCAAAUCCACUGCCCCGGAGGCUGGUGGUCCUUCCACGGAUGCCCCCGGACCAUCCGCUUCGGCAUCUCCACCAUCUUCCUCCGUCGAUAGCCAGCUUGCAGCCCUCCAGUUCCAGAUGCAGCACAUGGACACUCGUAUGGAUCGGAUGGAGCGUCAAAUGGGCGAGAUGACCCAGAAUAUAGCGCAAUAUCUUCAUCACGUGGGCUUUCGACCGCCUUUCCCUCCACAGCCAUGAUGUAUUUCUGCCCUCCUCCGUUUUAAGGGAAGUUUCAUUGCCCCGCUACCUCUGUUUUGCUCUUUCUUUGUUUACAUUGGGAGCAAUGUAAGGUUUAGAUGUGGGGGAGGGUUCACUACGCUUUGAGUCGUGUUUUUAGUUGUUGGGUGUGCAUUUUUCUGAUUUUAGUAGUUAAACGGUGAUGAAUGCGAUUGAGAUAUGAGUAUAAAUAGUAAGUUCAUGCCAUGGGGUGCUCUGCUUCCCUUAAUAUGGAAUUGAUUGAUGAAUAUGCUGAAUUUAACAUCAUUUUGACCACUUGUGCGAUUUUUGGGCCUAAUCUUUCGUUUGCUUGAGUGGUUAUUGCACAUGGUUUGUCAUUCUAGAACUUGCUCGGUUAUGCAUGUCGAGACUGCAUUUAAAUGAGUUUAAUGCAUUAAAAUAAUAGGGCACCUAGGAAUGAGCCAUUUUUGAACUUUGCUUUUGGUUGUCCUACCUUGUGUGAAUUGAAUUGGGGAGCAGAAACAAUCUCGUGUUUUUCCUCCUGUGAUGGACCGAAGCGGGAGAAUCGAAUUGCAAACCUUUCCCAAUUCUCCACGCGCGGCCUACUUUCCACUAAUGGGGAACUAAACCCCUAAUUCUAGUCAAGGGGACAACUGACGAUUUGGUUCGGCAAUUACUGUGAGAUCUAAACCGUUUUUAAUUAUUUUCUUCAUUAAUUGAUAUUCAUAUGUUCCCUGAUUUUAAUUGCUAUAGCCUCGUGCAUGAUUGGUUAGUGCGCAAUAAUUAAUUAUUCAUAUAGGCUAUUUUGCUAAAUAGGGAUAAUUGAAUCCGUAAUUGUUCGUUAUCCCUGUCUUAGUAGCAACUGGUAUAAUUGGGUUUAUGUCAGGGGAAUAUACGAUCUAGUUUAAACAAACCCUCGUAGCGUGUUUGUUAAUUAGGAUUGGGUCUUUCUAAUUAUUAAUGCAAUCUAAAAAUUAAACUCUACGGUCGUACCUAGGGUUGUUUUUGGGUUAGAGAAAUAGCUAACGGUCGUACCUUAGCUAUCGAUAAAUUAAGGAAGGGUUGGUCGUUUAGCGCGUGCGAGACAAUUAUAACCAAUCUAUUAAUAAAUGUGGAAUUACCUUUGAAUCAAUGAUCAGUUGCAUGAACCAUUUCUGAAGUGUACCCUUGGCUAGAUGUUUCUCUUAAUUAUUUCUUUUAAUUGAUUAUUUUCUGCAUUUAAUUUGUUUAGUUGGCAUUUAAUCCCAAAACCCCCAUUCAUCUUGAUUUGAAAAGAAGCAAAAUAUCUUGCUAGUCCCUGAGGAGACGACCCUGCUUACCACUGUCUACUAGUUAGUGAUUUCAGUUAAAUAAUUAAUUCAGGUAUAUCGGAUCAAGCAAACUCUUCGGGAACAGGGUGAAUCAAGUAACCCAUUGCACACCUAGAGUUCCUGCUCCAGUACUCGAAUUGAUUAAUGACUGGUUUAGGUGGUAUUUAGAUUUUAUUAUUUAUUAUUAUUGCACAGGUUCGGCACCUGUCAUGAAUAUAAGAAAUGGCGCAGUUCGUAGUUCAGCAUUAUAGGGAAGGUAGUCAGCAGAAGAAAACUUGAGCCUCACUAGAAAUAGGAGAAAGACAGAGAACAUGCAAUAGCUUAAAAUAAAGAAAGAAAAUAACAUAAAGAAAUUUAUAACGACGUCGAACCCAAAAAUAAAUAAGAAAGAAAGAGAAACUAAUGUACUUAAAACAAUUUUUCCAUCAGAACAACUCAAAAGGUGUUAGCAGUUUUGCACCUCAAGAGAGUUUAAAAAAAAAAACCUACAAAGCUCAACAUGGAAAGUAUUAAUAUCGAUUCCUACACAAUAGCAAAUUCUAUGCUAGUGGAGAAGCAGAUCAUUUUGGGGGAAAAAAACCUCAAAGGGUGGCGACAGUUGGUAACAUUUAACGAAGGGGAGAAAACACGUACAUGAGAACCAGUCAGGAUUUUGAUCAAACAGGUGAUCUUCAAAUAUCUCAUCACUCUGUGGUAAAAUAUGGGUCAAGGGCAUUUUUGGCACUAGAAUUGUCCCACUCCAACGAUUCCCACCAUGCUUUAUUUCCCUUGAUUUUACGAAGAAUGCUGGGAAGAGAUGGUUGUCCGUCGAUGGUGGAAAGAAACAAAGGCAACCUCUUUACCUUUGGACAAUCUAACAUUUCAAUCUCCUCAAUUGAAUCGCAGAUCAUGGUUGCCUUGCAAACGUUCUUCAGUUGUGGCAGGUUAUCCAGACGCAACCACCUCAAUUUCGGAAGGAUGACAGUGGCAGUGGCUCCUUCACUUGAAGUCAAUUGGGUGCCUUCUCCUCCUCCUUGUCCUACUCCAUUGCCAUCUGCUGCUAUCUCCUCCAGUCCUUCACAAUCUUUAACUGCUAAUUUUCCAAGAUUUUGAAGGAUCUGCAGCAACUGCACCGUGAAUAGCUGCUUCAUGUUAUGAUAUCCAGAAAUGCUCAAUUUUUUGAGGGAAGAAAAGGUGCCAGCUGAAAGCAAAUAUGGUGGUCCGUCGAUGGUGGAAAGAAACGAAGGCAGCCUCUUUAAAUUUGGACAAUCUAACAUUGCAAUCUCCUCAAUUGAUUCGCAGAUCAUGGUUGCCUUGCAAAUGUUCUUCAGUUGUGGCAGGUUAUCCAGACACAACCGCCUUAAUUUCGGAAGGAUGACAGUGGCGGUGGCUCCUUCACUUGAAGUCAAUUGGGUGCCUUCUCCUCCUCCUCGUCCUACUCCAUUGCCAUCUGCUUCUAUCUCCUCCAGUCCUUCACAAUCUUCAACUCUUAAUGUUUCAAGAUUUUGAAGGUUCUGCAGCAACUGUACUGUGAAUAGCUGCUUCAUGUUGUCACAGUCAAAAACCCACAACUCUUUAAGGGAAGAAAAUGUGCCAGCUGGAAACAAAUAUGAUGGUUCUGAUUCUCCGUAAAAUAGACCAACCAGAUUUGGCAAACUCCAGAGGCGUAACUCUUCGAGACCACGGAGUGGACUAAAAGACGAGUCUUCCGGCUGAUCACGUGGAAAAGCAGAAGACAAUUGCCAGAGGAACUCUAUUCCAACCGAAUCCAUAAUAUCCAAUCUAGAUAAGUGGCUUAAAUUUAUAAAAUUCUUAAAAACAUCUGACAAGCACCUAAUGCCCAUGCCCUCACAAUCCUCGAUUAUCAGAGAUUUCAUAUCAUCUGGCAGAUAGUUCGAUCCUCUACCAAGCUUACACUGAUGGAAAUGCAGAUCUUGCACCAGGAACCGAUUAAUUCCACCAUCAACAAAACUCGGUUCCUCAGUUAAGAUGUCAUUGAUAUAAACAGUAUAAUAGUAUUUUGGUCACCGAGUGAUUUUAUAGAAGUCCAUAAAAGACAAACAUCCUCCAAAACUUUCUAAUUGGUUCAACACUUCUGGAUCAUUAACUUGUACCCUACCAUUGGAUGGCAAUAAUAACAGUUGAAGACGGUGAAAUUGGGAAAAUGUCCCUUUUGGUAUUAUCUUUUGGCUUAAAGCCCCAUACUCGUCCAAGUUAAGCCUUUCGAGGUUGACCAGUGACUUCCAACCUUCAGGUAAAUCCUCAAUCUUAGUGUAGGAUAGGUCCAAAUCCCUCAAUUGCUUGAGCUUUCCUAGUGGUGGCACAGAUCGGAGGUCCCGACAACCCCUCAAAAUCAGGGCAGUGAGAUUCACCAAGUCUGAAACAGAAUCAGGUAGCUCUAUUAUACCUCCGCACCGAGAUAGAUUCAAAACUUUAAGUCCACACAUGUGCCGAAAGAAUGAAUCUGGGAUUUCUUCUAUGGAAACAUCAGAAAGAAGCAAGGUUGAGAGCUUAAGACAAUUUGGUGACCAGGCUGGCGGAACUUUUAUUUCUGGGUGUGGAGCUGAAAAUGAAUGAAAGGAGACUGCAUGGAGAUCUUCUGUCCACUCUCCUUGUUCCAGUGUUACUUUAGAAUUUCCCUUUCCUAUGCUUUUCACCAAGAACUGUGGUACAUCCCCGUUCAUCUGUAGGUUGGAUUUUCCUUUCGUGAUUCUUAAUGCCAUAUCUCUGACCAAAUCAUGCAUCUUCACACAGUCACCCCUUCCGAAAUCUUUAGUUUCUUCUAGCAAGCAAACUUUUAUCAGUUUGUUUAAUAUUGUGUGACCUUCAUCAAAUUCUUUUGGUCUUGAGUCCCGUUUUGGCAUCAGCUCUGCCCAAAUAAAGAGGUCUAUUAGUUUCUCUCUGCUUAUAUCACUAUCUUCCGGAUAAAGACAGCAAUACAAGAAGCAAUUCUUUUCACAUUUAUUCAGGCGAUUGAAACUCCAUUCCAGGAUGCGAAACACAUCUCGUUCCAUCUCAUGAUACCCUAUUGAACAUGUUUUCAAUUGUUCCAAUGCAUUUCUCCACUCACAAAUGUCGGUCACACCUCUCAUGCUUCCAGCCACUGUGAUAAUGCCAAGAGGCAAACCAUCACACUCUUCCACAAUGGACUUGGCAAUACUUUCCAAAUCUCCUUGAAGCAAGGGCUCGCUACCAAGUUUAUACUUGAACAAAUCCCAAGCUUCGCCUGUGUCCAGAGUUUGCAAAUCAAACUUUCUUUGACAUUGUAUCCUGUUGCACACUUGCAGUGAGCGAGUAGUCAAAAUCAAUCUGCACUUGUUUGGAUGAAGUGGAAUCCCUACCCUGUCUAAACAAAAUUCUUCCCAAACAUCAUCCAAUAUGAGUACUAUUAAUUUCAGCAUUUUCCUGAAUAUGUCACGCAAUAUUCUUGCCCUGGUGUCUUCCUCGUCCCUACUGGAUAGAUUAAUGCCCAAGACAUUGGCAAUCUUAUCCUGCAAGCUGGUGACACUGAAGUCUUGAGAUACUGUAACCCAAAGCACCCGAUAAUUGUUCUUUUCUAAAAGAUGGUACUCAAUGUGCCUCGCCAGUGUGGUCUUACCAACUCCACCCAUACCAUAAAUCCCAAUGCUUGAUAUAUCAUCGGCCACCAAGCAUGGCCAAAUUCUCUUCAAAGCUUCAUCGAACUUUACUCCAAACAAUUUGGUUGGCAGGCAUGGCUCCCCGAUGUUGUCACAAGUAUCGAGCACAAGCCCAUCGAAAUGACGGCUCUGAUCAACAAGGUCUUUCACCUGAAAUUGCAGCUUUCCUACAGGAUCCUCCUUUAGUAGAAGACUCCAAGAUGAUCCUCUUGUUUCCAAUGCAUCAAUUUCAGGACUUAACUUUUUAACGUCCUUCAACCAAUUGUCAACUUCACUUUUCCUUUUCUUUUUGCCUGACAUUUCUUCCCUAUUGACUUCUUGUUCUACGUCAAAUGCUUUGCAACUCAAUUCUUGCCAAUUCCUUUUUAGCGAUUGCACGUUGUCCAUGUGACUCCUUCCCGUGCAAUUUUCUAAUGCGAACUCUACCGUCUUUUCUAUCACCUUUUCCCCCGUCUUUUCUGCCAGAGCUUUUCCCCAAAAUGGUAGCAUCUAGAAUUUAAAUAUACAUCAAGCUUAGGUGCAUAAAGCAAAUUGAAGCAAAUCCGAAAAUUAAAAUUGAAGAGAAACAUCAAAAGUUGCCAGCGGAACUUAGUCAACACAUAGUUUAGUAAAGAUUAAUAACCAGAAAAAGAAAAUGUUUUUCACUCAAUUCAAUAAUUGUUCAGCUAUUAGCUAAUCUAGAAUUCUGCUGACUGAAUAGUUCAUUCAAUAUUUGAAGAAAUGACAAAAACUUUCGAAGAUUGAUUUUGAAAAAAUUAGAAGAAAAACAAUUUUUUGAAGCACUGAAUUGAUCAUAGAAUAUCUAAACCCACAAAUUUUGGUGUUUCAUUAAUUUCACCGAACACUUCUAUACAUUACCCUACGAAUUCUCAUUUGUCUGUGCUGCUAUUGAGUUAGUAGAAAGUCUCUCCUCAUGUCAUAUUUAAUUCCGAAAAAAAGAAGAAGAAGAAGAAAAUGUCUCAAAACACCCUACCUAGAUAAAAAUAUGUCAACAAUUUUUCCUUUUCUUUUCUUUUGCUUUUUUGAAAAAAAAAUUGAAAGGAAGGAUGCUACAGUACUACACUAGGCUACUCUCCUCAUCUCAUACGUACAUAAACUCAUAACGUGCUCUAAAACAUUUAAUUUGGUAGAACGAAGACCGUAUAAACAUGAAGUUGUCCAAUUAUGCUGAUUCAAUUAAGCAUUUUAGUAAAUGAAACUGAUAUGCAUCUUGUUUUGAUAACAAAAAAAUUGAUAUCCAUUUGAUGUAAGAAAACUUUUAUAAAAAUUUAAGAUUUUCCAUAAAAGCUUCUAAGUUAUAAGACUAAGACCAAGAUCCGUAUAUGUUUCCAUACUCGAUAGGGCUGACCCAUUUGAAUAUCAAUUUAUUCCUAUGGAUCCAUCCUCUGUCUGGGUCUAGUUUUGUUGUGAUUAGUUAGGUCCAGGUUGGGAUCAUCUCAUUCUGCCCACUGCUGGAAAUUCUUGCUAAGAAAUGUGUGAAUUAUGUAGAAAACUUGAACAGAGCACUCCAUGUAUUGAAAGAAGAACAAGUGACCAAGAUGUUUGGGCCUCACAAAGCUAAACAUAAUAUUAUAAAAUGAGAAAUAACUACAAAUAUUUACAAAUUCAAGAUCAAGUGUGAUAUCAUUGCACCUUGAAAUUAGGACAAGUUAUCUUGAAGACUUGAAGAAGCUGAGAACUCUUAAACUCUGCCAAACGACAAAAAGUUAGUAUUAUAUUUUGAUCUCGGUUUUGCUACUACAAGAACUAUGAUAGUUGAGUUUUGAUGAAUAAAUUAUAAUUGAAUCAAGAUGUUGGUGCCAAGCAAAAGGUGAAAUAAGAGAAGAACUCCAACAGUUACUAAGUUCCGAUGGAUAUGAUCUCAUUAUACCUGAAACUGACUAGAAAACUUGAGGAAGCUGAAAACCUUGAGACUGCCAAGAUUAUGUGUUAUGAUUGUUGAGUGUUGAGGAACGGAUGGUAAAAGUUGAACUAACAGCAGAGCAGACCAGGAAUGAUAACGGGCCCUCGUGAAGGAAGUUCCGGGAGUGUCCAGACUCCAGAGAAAGGCUAGUGGAAUUGUACUUGAUUAAAUACCUCGAUUAUCAUCCAAUUUGUAUUUGGCAACCUUGCAAAGCACGAGAUGCAACUCUGGCUACGAGUUAGGAAUCCAACCCAUUACAGAUAUACCCAAAGAAUUGCACAUAUUUUUAUAUCCAAAAAGUAUAUUGCAUCUACUUUUAAAUCCACAAAAAAAAAAAAAAAAACUAUUCAAUACUGCUUAUACCAUAAAAUUGACACCAAAACUUGGAUUUUGACUUAGAUUCAACAAGAUCUAAUAGUAAGCAUCCAAAAAGAAAAUGUUGAAUUAAUACAUUCACAAACAGAUAUGGGAGACUAGGUUAAUUUACACACAUAAGAAUAUUCCUAUAUAUAUAUAUAUAUAUAUAUAUAUAUAUAUAUAUAUGUCCAUUAUGGCCCAGCUCCAGCCCAUAUACAGCCUCUGUUCACAUUUUAUCUUCUCCAAAAUUUGAUAAGAAUUUGCAACUAUGCUAAAAUUCAAUAUUCUUGCCCAAAAAUGCCAACGAUGUGAAAAGCAUGAAGAGAGCAAUCCAUGUUUGAGGAAAAGGAAGCGGUCUAAGUUUUUAUGUGCCUCGUAAAGCUAUAUAUAGCAUGACAGCAAUAAGAAACAACUUCAAUAUUACAAAAUGAAGAUAGAAUAUGAUAUCCUUUUACCUUGAAAUCUUGGACAAGCAAAAGUUCUAGGCCAGGUUAUCUUGAAGAAGCUGAAAACUGCAAGAGUCUGCCGAAAGAAAAAGUGUGUAAUUUAUUCCGUUAGUUUUCACCACUAAGAAGCAAUUCCAAAGAUAUUCAAUUAAGACUCUGCCAAAAGUAUGUGCUUUAUUUUUUUUAUUUCCUACGAGUAUGAUUGUUGAGUACUGAGGAAUACGAUAUUUUUAGACUGCAGCGUUGCCCAUCACAAUGUCUCAGUCAACGUCUUCCUUCCCAGUUCGUACGCAAAGAGUCAAAAGGCUCAAUAUUUUGAUACGGUGUUGGCAUAAUUGUUGUUUGUAUGUUUGUAUGUUUUUUUUUUGUCUAUGCCUUUAUAGCGCAGGAUUAAUUUAGACAAUUUUUGCUAGCGUUGGUAUGAAUAAUUUUUUAAAUGGACUGUUUUUUCGCUAUACUUUUGUAGCACAGGAUUUAGAUUGCUUAAGUUAAAUAAGCCUAUUAUUUUCCUUAAAUUUUAUGGGAAAUUUUGGAAAAAGGGAAUAAGAAGAGUGAAAAUUCAUAAGUAGGGGGUAAGUUUUAGGAAAUUUGUAAAUGGUAUAAGGGUUAUUAUUAAUAUAUUAUAUUAAAAAUUUUGGUUUCAUGAUAAAUUUACAAAUUAACCCUUAUGUGCACAUAAGUACACUUGUAUGUGCAAAUAUAUCAUAUGUGUGUAUUUGAACAAAUACUUAUAUUUAUCAAAACACACAUUAUUAUUCAUUAAUGUGCAUGUUUCUAUUCAACAAGGUGCACAUUGUUAAGAGGGUAAUUCAGUCAUUUAGCAAUAAAAUUAUUACGUAGUUGCUUUAAUUCGUGAGUAAUAAUCCAUGCCCCAGUUACCAAUCUUGUAAAAUUUACAAGCUCCUUAUAGAUUGUUUUCCUAUUCUUUUUUUUUUUUUCAAUUUUCCCAAAUUAUUUUGACGACAUCAUGCUACGCUGCCUGAUCAUGCCAUGCCAUAUGGCCAUUUUGAUGACUCAACGAAAGCUCCUUAAGGAAGCAGGGGAGACAUUUCCAGGAAAUGGUGCGGCAACACUUUGGUGACUAAGGUCUAAGGGGAAGAAUUUCUGAGGCUUGAAAAAGGGGGGGAAAAAAUGGACAAAAUGAUAAGGGUGGAGGGCCGGGGCCAUCUUCUAGAUAUUGUGGAGAAAGGGGCUUGCUAUCUGCUAAAAUGAGCUCCCUGGAAUCAUACAAUCAAUUGGCCAAGAAUGAGCAAAUUUUCUUGGCAAGGGGGCCUACUUGAUCUAGUCAAUCAAGUAGAUACCUAGAAGUUUAGAGGUAGCAAAUCAACCCACUUAACUAAAUUUAUCAAUAACCGCUCAUGAAUAAAUGAGUAUGGGUAUCUUAAAUUUUUGUAUAUGGAUAUAAAUGGGUUACCCAAUAAUACCCAUUUAUUAAAUGGAUAUUAUUGGGUAACCCAUCAAACCCAAUUAACCCAUUUAGAAUUCUCUUCCCCCCAAGUCUCUUCUUUUCCCCUACCCAUUAUUUUUUCAAAAUUUUCAUUUUGUCAUGAUGUUAACUAUUUUUGUUUCAUUAUUAUUAUUAUUAUUAUUAUUAUUUGUUGGUUUUAUCUUAUUAUUUAUUUUCUCUUAGUUUGUUAACUUGCUCAUUUUCAGCAUUACCAACUUAUGAUAAAUUUUAGCCUAUUUUCUUAUCUUUAUAAAAUGAAAUUUUAAAUGUAUAUAUGAAAAAAAUGUUAGGGGUUCAAAAUUUUUGGAUUAAGUUUUUAUAUUAAUUUUUAUAGUACUUAGUUCAAAUUUUUAUAUUCUUAUUAUUCAAUUAUUAAAUAAUAGGUAAUUUUUUGACAUAGAGUAUAAAUGAAAAAAAAUUGGUAAUUAAGUUUAUUGAACAUUAUAAGUAAAUAUUUAAAACUAAUGAUGGGUACAAAGAGUGGUAUAAAUUGAUAACUUAGUUUGCAAAAAUGAAUUUAAAUGAGUUUACAAAAUGUUAAAAUAAAUGGGUUAUAAAUGGGUAAUUGGGUUACUCAAUUCAUUUUUUGACUUACCCAUUUAUACCUAUCUAAUUAAAUGAGUAUAAAUGAGUUGACUCACUUGUACCCAUUACCCAUUUUACCCAACCCAAACCCGUCCAAGUCACCCAUUUUGACACCUCUACCUAGAAGGAGACUAAUGGAAUUGUUGAAGUGCAUAGGGUUCGUUUGGAUUCCUUGUUUUUGCACCUGUUUUUGAAAAACUGUUUUUCACAUUCCAAAUGCUACAGUAAAUGUGUAUUUCAAAAACAAUUCCAAAAACACCCAUAUCCAAACAUUAUAUCAAAAACAACUCCAAAUAUACAAAUUUAAUAUGUAUAUUUAUUUCAAUUAUUUAUAUUAUAUACAUUAUAUUAAUAUAAAUUGAAAUAUACAAAUUGAAAAUUAUAUAUUUAUAUGUUAUACAUGUUAUAUAUUAUAUAUUUUAUAAAUAUUUAUAUACAUUAAUAUUAUACAUAAUAUAAUAUAAUAUACAUAAUAUAAUAUACAUAAUAUGUAAUAUUGUAUACAUAAAUGUAUAAAUAUUUAUACAUAAUAUAUUAUGUACAUUACAUUAUAAUAUAUACAUUAUUAAUGUACUUUCAUUAUUAUGUACAUUAUUGUGUAUAAUAAUGUAUAAUAAUGUUAUGUAUAAUAUAUAAUAUACAUAAUAUGUAAUAAUGUAUAAAUGUAUAUUAUGUAUAAUAUAUUAUAUUAUGUAUAUUAUAUUAUAUAUAUACAAUAUUAUGUAUGUUAUACAAAUUGCAAAAUUUUGUAUUAUAUAUUUAUAUAUUAUAUAAAUAUUUAUAUAAUGAAAUAUACAAUAAAUAUUACAAAUUGAAAUAUUAUAUAAACACCAUAUUUAUUAAUAUUCAAAUAUUUAUAAUUAAUAUUAAUGUAUAUUAUAUAUAUUAAAUAUUUAUAAAUAAUAUAUUUAUUUAUUUAUUUAUUCAUAUUAUAUAUAAUUUAUUUAUUUAAUAUAUAUUUUUAUAUAUUUAUAAUAUAUUUAUAUAAAAAAUAUAUAUAUUAUAAAAUUAUAUAUAAUAUAUUAUAUUAUAUUAUAUAGAUUAUACAUUUAUAUAAAUGUACAUUUAUACAUAAUAUAUAUAUUUAUGUAUAUUUAUAAUAUACAUUUAUAUUAUGUAUUAUAUAUAAUAUAAUACAUUUAUAAUACAUUUAUAUUAAUAUACAUAAUAUAUUAAUUUUAUAUUUAUACAUAAUAUUAAUACAUUUAUAUAUUUAUAUUAAUUAUAUUAAUACAUUGAUACAUAAUAUUAAUAUAUAUUUAUGAUAUAUUAAUUUAUACAUUUAUAUAAUAUUCAUUUAUAAUUUAUAUAUUUAUAAUAAUAUACACUUAUACAUUUUUAAAUAUAUUUAUAUUAUGUAUUAUAUAUAAUAUAAUACAUUUAUUUAUUUUUAUAUAAAUAUAUAAAUAUAUUUAUUUAUAAAUAUUUAUAAAUGUAUUAUAAAUGCAUAAAUAUAUAUUUAUAUAAAAAUAUAAAAUUUAUAAUUUAUAAUUUUUACAUUUAUGUAAUAUUCAUUUAUAAUUUAUACAUUUAUAAUAAUAUACAUUUAUACAUUUAUAAAUAUAUUUAUAUUAUGUAUUAUGUAUAAUAUAAUACAUUUAUAAUAUAUUGAUAUAUUUUUAUAUAAAUAUAUAAAUAUAUUUAUUUAUAAAUAUUUAUAAAUGCAUAAAUGUAUAUAAAUAUAAAAAUUAUAAAUUAUAAAAUACUCAAAAAUAUGUUUUAAAAUACCUCUAAAAAUAAUCCAAAAAACAUCUAUAGUAAAAGUUUUUCAUAUAGUUUUUGAAAAACAACCUCAAAAACAACUAAUCCAAACGGACUUGUAUUUCAAAAAUGAAAUGCUACAGUAUUAUUUUUGAAAAACAACCCCAAAAACAGCUAAUCCAAACAGCUAAUCAAAAAUGAAAUGCUACAGUAUUAUUUUUGAAAUGCUACAGUAUUCUGUUUCACAGUUUGUUUUCGGUAGGGUCUGAGUAAUUACUUGUAUGGUUCCUAUUUUCGUAGAGAUACUUUUCUUAUGUAAUAUUUAUUUCCGAAAUACUUUUCCUGUGUAAUGUUUUAUUCCAAACUUUAUGGGAUUCUGAAGAAGAGUUGGCAUAUAUUGUUAGGUAAAAACCAAGGUCUAAGCCCACAUCACAGGUACAAAAGAUCUCUAUGAACCAUUAAUUUUGUGGUGUAACUUUAACCCACUUGAUGCAGAUAACUAUUUUUUUUUUUAAGUGCGUGAUUCGUCAGUUAAAAAAUAAAAUUCAUCAAGAAAAUGGAUGUUCUUCGUUUGUCCAAAAAAAUAAAACAAAGGAAAAGACAAGAAGAAUUGUGCACGAAAACCUACUUCAUUAGUCCUUGAGCUAGAUACCUUGUGUAAUUUUUUAUUUCAUUAUUUUUAAUUUUGAGUAUAUCAAAUGAAAGAUCUAAACAGAAUAGGUAAUAGGAGCUGUACCCUAAAUAUGUCACGAUAAAAAUGGCUCAAACACAGUAUCUUUUUUUUCUCCAAGAAAAGAAGAAGAAGAAAAUGUCUCAAAACAUCCAUUUUCUUUAAAUGGAUAGUUUAAAUUAAAUCUACUCCUUUUUUAUUUUUUUAAGUCAAAAAUUUUAAAUUUUAAAUUUUUUAUUUAUAAUUCCUCUCACCCUACCUCGUCUCGAUUAAACCUCCUCCAUUAUUAGACGUCCAAAAAUUAUUUUAAACAAAAUUUAUUUUUUAAAAAAAGCAGGCCAAAAAUAGGCCAUCAAAACAGGAGCCCGUAGCCCAAUAUGUGCCUCAAGGGCCAAUGGACAACCAGUACUAGUAGUGAACCAGCACUGAAAGGAAAUGACUUGGCCGUUGACAACAAGUCAACAACGACAACAGGAAACUUCCAGGAAAUUGCGAGGAAGGCUUUUCAAGGUGAUGGUUAGACUGGUGAACCGAGAAAUUUGAGUAAAACAAAAACAUCUCGCACGCGUGAUUAUUAUGUCCAAGUCUGGAUUGCAUGGGAUUUUUUUUUUUUAUAAAAAGUUAUUAUAACUAUUUUAUACAUGUGAAAUAAAAAAAUAAUUAAAAAUAUGUUCAUAAAAAAUAUAACAAUUUUUCUUUGAAAAAUGGCAAUCCAAACACAUAGGGUUUAGUAUUCUAGAUUGAUGUCAAGUUGCUGCAAAAUUACCUGUACUAGACAAAUGAGUUCCUCCUUUGGUCUAGUCUAAAAUUGAUCUGCAAAAUUUUCUUACCUGAGCAAAUAAAAGACAUGGACAUGCCUUGACUUUUUUUCAAUUAAAGUUCCAAUACUCUUUUAUGGUAUCGACAUCAUACGAUUAAAAUUUCCUCACCUCACCUACACCAAGUUCUUGGGAAAAUAUAAAAUUUGGAUUGUCAUUUUCUAAAAUUUUUGUAAAAAAAUAUAUUAUAAGAAUUUGAUAUAUGUAAACUUAAAAGAUAAUUAAUAAAUAUGUUUAUAAAAAAACAUAAAAUUUUUUUGAGAAAAAUAGCAACCAAGUAAGGCGCCUUUCGAUGAAUUUCUUUUGGAAAAAUGACUUGGCCGUUGACAACAAGUCAACAACGACUAAAGGAUUAGUGAUGAUAUUAACUUUGACUAAAUGGCAUCUUUGACUGAUGAUAUUAACAGCCUAAGAGUUUUAUUCCAGAAAUGCUCCUUUUGUUUAGAUAGCAAGUUAGAUUCAAGAUGUGAAUGGAUUAGUGAUUAUGCUUUAGGCAUAUCUCAAGAUGAGAAAUGGAUCAAUCUUUAGUGUGUAUAAUAUUUUUUGUAUAGAACCAGUUGAGCCUUUGCUCAGAUAAAUGUAUAUUUUUGCCAAUCAAUAUAUAACCUACCGUUGCAGAAAAAAAAAAAAAACAACGACUAAAGGAAACUCCCAGGAAAAUGGUUGCUGCAUCAAAGAUUGAUCACUGUUCCCCUUUCCUCAUCUAUAGUGGUUCAGUUUGAAUUAGCUGUUUUUGAAGGUAUUUUUGAAAAAUUUUGUUGUAGCAAAGUUUUUAGAUUAUAUUUUGGGAUAUUUUCAAAAAAUAUUUUGAGAUAUUUAAGAAUAGAAGAGUUUCUAAAAUAUAUUUUGAGAUAUUUUAAAAAAUUUUAAAAAAUUUAAACUAAUUUUUAGAUUACCUUUUAGAGUACUUUUUAAAAAAUUUUAUUAUAUUUAAAAAACUAGUUUUUAAAAAACAGUCCCGUCUUCAAAGCAUAAUGCAAAUGAAGGCUUCUUUUGAUCAUCAAUUCACAAUUAAACUGAAAACACUAAUCAAUUGAAUUGGUGUAAGCUUUGGGAUGUCCAUUCAUCUAUAACAUCCCAAUGUUUAUGCGAUUGGACUGCAAUCAUUUCCUUUUAAUGGUUGAGGACUAUUGUCACAAUUCACAAGAAAUGUUAUUGUACUGUUAUUAUCUGAAUAACACGCCUAUUUGAACUCUUAUUCUUCCGCUCUAAAAAAAUCUGUGGCGGGGAUAUGAAUUUAUUGCAAUAGUAUUCAUGACUUGCUAAAGUCAGUCAAUGUAAAAGUCGCGUAACUAGCAAAAAGAUGCUAUAAGCUUUGUGGCCAUCAAACACGCCAAAAAAAGGUGGCAGAGUCAUCUCCCACAUUAAGCCAUCUAAUGCUCUGCUUCACCUUCCAGCCGCCUUCAUGCUGAAUAAUGACCUCCAAACAAUUCAAAUUCAUAAUUGCUACCAUUUACAAGAAUUUUGAUAUACUAAAAGUUUGUUUUGGAAGUUUAUUCUUGUAAAGUCUCUAAAUUCAAAUAGAGAAAACUAUUUUCACUUUAUAAUUUGAGUAAAUUAUGAACUAAAAAGCAUAUUAAACUUAGAAAAGAGAAAGUAUAUUAAAUAUUCAUUGGUUUUAAUUAUACUACUACUACAUGCCAUCUGCUGUCAUAGAUUAACCCCCCUUAGAAAUAUAUUUCACGUAAUGUUUUGAGCAUUUUCAUAUAUUUUGAGACUUGAUUGUAAUUAGAGCUGGCAAAAAAAUUCAAAACCCAACAACCCGCUCAACCCGUCCAUUAAUUUUAAAUGAUGGGUUGGGUCAAUUGGGUUACGGCUUACCCAACCCAACUUAUUCAUUGGGCGGGUUGAGUUUUUUAUUUGGGUACUCAAUACCCAACUUGUUUAAAAGUAAUUCAAAAUAAUAAAUAUAAAAUUUAAUACACAUAUGCUCAACUAUUUGUAUUUGGACAUAUGUUAAUAAUGUAUUGAUUAAUUUGUAUUCACAAUUCUCUUAUAUAUAUUUUCAAUCAAUUUUUUAAUUUUUAUUUAAAAGAAACAAAAAUUUGAAAUAAAAACUCAUGCUUAUUUUACCUUUUUAACAGUAGUUUGCAGUGAGAUCAGUGAUGAUAUUAAAUAACCAAUGGAAGUACAGUGAUGAGCAAGAAAAAAUCAAUUUGCAUGAGGCAAUUGAAUUCAUCGUUUGACUGCUGGCGGCUAUGAUUUUUUGUCAAGACAUUAGAUCAAUAUCUGCAGAAAGAAACUAAGAAAAACAAUUCGAAAUGACAUUUUUUUUAUUGAUAACUAGGUAUAUUUGCCAUAUUCACAAGAAAGUAACUCUUUGGUUGAUGAGCAAGACUUAUGAGAGACAAUUGAAAUAUAUGUCCAACCAUGACCGUAAAAAAUCUUUAAUUUCAUUGAAUUAAAGAAGUAAUGAGGUGAAUUUGACUAUUGUUUCAUUGAAUUCUGUCAUAGUUUUUACUUUAAUUAUCUGUGCAAUUAGUCAUUAAAGAUUUUGGGAUGGCAGACUUCAAAUAUAAUACUCCUACAUAAUAGUUAGACUAAGCAUAAGGCAUUCUUCUUGUCUUAAAAUAUGUAACUACUGUUGACCAAUUUAGCAUUGGACAGCAGCCAAUUAAUUGUGGUUUCUGUAUCUUUGGGUUUUAAAUGUGGAACUUAUUAACACAUUUAAAAUUUUUGAGAAUAUAAGGACUAAAGUACAAACUUAUUUUCUAUAAUUUCAAUAUUAAUAUACAACAAAUUAUAUGCCUCUUACUUACAUUUUCAAGUAUAACAUAAUCUAGCAUUCAAUACUUUAAAUACAUAGAAUAUUACAAUUUACAAUAAAGCAGAUAUAAAUAGUAAAAGUGUUAAUAAGUUUUGACAAAAAUAAGUUUCAAUCAAUUAGUAGUAUUAAAAAGUAUAAGUUAAACAAUUUUUUUAGCUAAUCUAUUUAAAUGUACAAUUUAUUAUCUAAAAUUCACAAUACAAGCAAUAUAAAAUAUUAUUCUAUUUAUGAUGUGUUUUCAAGUAACUUAAGAAGUGAGUGUGUGUUUGUGUGUGUGAAAAUGUGUUUAUAUGUGUGAAAAAAUCUUUUUUGUAUGUUAAAAUGUAUGUGAAAAAGUUUAUGUAUUAAAAUGCAUUAAUUAAUAUGUUGGGUCAUAUUUGGAUAAUGGGUUUAAGAUAACCCACUAUAAUCCAACCCAAAAUCAACUCAAUCUAAAGUUGGACGGGUUGAGUAUAACCCGUUUAAGUAAAAACCCAAUAUUAACCCAAUAUUAACCCGCCCAAUUGCAGAGGUAUAAUUGUAAUCAGACAAUGGUUGCUUUUGGCGUAAGCGUGACAUAUGACUGCGUACAAACAAAGAAAAACUAAAGAUAUUUUUUGUUAAGAGAAAAUAAUCACAGAAUUGUUCACAAACAAAUCACAUAAUUCUUUAAACAAAGAAUCUUUCUGCAUCUCUUUUCUCCAAUCCCGUGCUGAAUUUUCCCUUCUUUUUUAUGAAACAAAAAAUUUGGUGAGCUGGCCAUAACAUGGAGUCUGAUGAUAUUUGAUAAUGCGUCUCUUUUCCCUUUUGGUUGUUUCGACGAAAGAAAGAAAUGGGGAAGGCAAAGGUAGAAGAAAUAAAGAGCUUAAUAUUCUAAUUUACGUUGCGCGGGAAAGGAGGAAACCUCCAGAGAAGUACGUGCCCCACUGGCCAAAGAAAUUUGUCAAUUUAUGCCAGGGUGCUUUUCUAAAAAUUUAUUAUUACCCCACUAAAUUGUAAACAGGCCUUCAUUGGCCAAAAAAAAAAAAAUCUGCUGGGUGUAGAAAAAUCUUAUUUCUAUACACGUUAAUUUGUGAGAAGUAAAUAUAUACAUACACCCACUUUUAGCUUGAUAACAAUUGUAAUUAAAAAUAAACAAGUAAAAAAGAUAAUCCAUUGAGUACGAGUCCAAACUCAAUACAUCCGUUUGGAUUAGUUAUUUUUGGGGGUGUUUUUGAAAAAUUUUGCUGUAGUAGAGUUUUUAGAUUAUAUUUUGAGAUAUUUUUAGAAAAGUUUUUGGGAUAUUUAAGAGUAGAAAAGUUUCUAGAAUAUAUUUUGAGAUAUUUUAAAAAAUUUUAAACUAAUUUUUAUAUUACCUUUUAGAGUAUUUUUUAAAAUUUUUUAUUGUAUUUCAAAAACUAGUUUUUGAAAAACACUCCCAAUGUCCUGGGAGUUGUUGUCCACUGCAAGAUACUUUACACAACCAAAAUAUAUAUAUACGUGUUUUAUUGAGUUGUAUGACAUUUGUGAACUUUUUAUUUAUUUAUUUAUCUUUGCAUGUUACUUAUUAAAUUCAUGAUUCACUUCUUUCCAUGUGGAUUUUAUUAUUGCUAGUUAUUGUUUACAAUUAUAUGAACUUUUUAAUAAUUACUAGUCUAGUAGCACAUGCUACGUACGUCGACUAAAAAUUUUGCUAUUGAUUCAAGUGAUUAAUUUAGAAAUUUAUAAUAAUUUUGUUGCAAUGUAAAUUUCGAAUAGAAUAAGAUUGCAGAAAGAAUACUUCAGAUGUAAAAAUCUAGAUAUAUUACUACCCAUUAUUGUUUUUGCACUAUUCAUACUGUUUUUGUUUUCUCGACUUCUUUGUUUUCUUUAGAACUCAAUAUUUUGCGGACCAACUCAAUAUUUUCAUGUAUACUGGAGAUUAGCAGUCUAACUAAUAUAUUGAAUGAGACAAAUUUCCUGAAUGGGAGUGUUCCGAUAACAUUUUUGAGGAGUUAAAGCAAGAAGUUUAUGUAAGUAUUAAAAGCUCGAAAGGAACAAUUGAGAAAUUUCCUUACGAAACUCCAUGGCAAGUGCAAAUACGGAUAUUUAUGUAGUAGAGACCAUAAUAUAAUUAUUCUGAUUUUAUUGUAGUGGAUACCAAUAGACAAAAUAAACAAUUAGUUCGGCUAAAUAAGACCCUUCCAUGAACUCUUCACAUGAACUCCAACCAAGAAACGUUUCCAAUGCCUCUCUAAAUAAGACCCUUCUUUGCAACGCAAUGAAUUCAUUCUCUAAAUUCUCCAGCCAAUGUUUAACCUCUGUUUUCCUAUUCUUUCGCCUGUAUAGUUCGGCUCUCUCCACUGUCUCCUUUAUGUCAGAUGCUCGGCUACUCAAUGCCUUCAGAAGUAACUUGUCCCUGGAUUCACCGGUAGCUCUACAGCCCUUUCUGCGGCAUCAUAUUUAUGGCCUUCCAACACAUAUUUGUCAUCUGUCAAGAACAGAGCAAACAAUUCUCGAAUUAGGUGCAAAUUUGCAGCAAACUAGACCCCUCAAUCGAAUUGUUUACUAUAACAUAUUCCUACAUCAUUGUUAAUUGGACAAGGAGAGGAGGAGGAUGUUACCAGUUUUCGUACCCUAUCAUCCUCCUGUUCUUUCGUAAACUCCUGGGUACUUCUAUUUCCUAGCCCUGAGGUUCUAAGUGCCUUUAGAAGCACCUCUUCGGAUUGGAUCCUACUCUUCUCCCUCUCCACCAUUUCUCCAUUCUGAAACUUCUAGUAUCUUUUAUCCUUCACCGUAUCAUCCCUUACCACUCUUUCCUUUGCAGGGCUUCUGUUAAUCCCAGCACGCAUCCAUGGGUUGUAUUGGUUCUCUAGAAGACCUCCUGGAACAGUUAUGCGUUCUUUGCAAGUCCGUUCCCCAUGUCCUACUAUUCCACACUUAUAACAGAAAUCCGGGCACCUUUCAUACUUAAAAGCAACCCACUUGAGUGACCCUGCUACCUACACCAAUGUUCCUCUGAGCAGGGGUUUUGACAGAUCAAUAUGUACUAAAACUUUCAAGUGCCUACCUUCUUUUCCCCCUAUAUGAGAGAUAACAACGUCCUUUAUAUCUUUAAACACUGCUCCUAUUUUUCUGCCCACCUCUUUGGAGAGCCAAUGCACGGGAAGGUUCCAAAUCUGAACCCAUAAAGGAGUAGUAACAAAAGCACCAUAGUUCUCUUCUAUCCCUUCUGACCAUCUGUUCAACACUAAGAUUUGAUUAUCCAUUAACCAAGGACCCCCUGUCAAUAUUCUUUCUUUAUCUUCUUUGUGGCGGCCCCACUUCUCCCUAAGGCGAACCAAAGGGUUGGCGGGUCGCCUGCCUAGCUCUCGCUAGGACUCACGCACUCUAGUAACUAAUUUCAUCAAAUAUAAAUCGAAAAUAAACCUUACUUCUCGAGCAAGUCACGUACUUAAAUAAUUCAUACAAUUCAACUUAUACAGUCCAAAACACAAUUCCAAGUACCAACGAAAACGUCGAGCUUAGUAUACUUAAAUUCAACUUAAUUUACAAUUUAAAGUUCCUAAUCCAGGGCACAGAAGCACCACAGGAUUCAUAUUCUCCCAAAAACACAAAAAUCAUCCAAAAGAUACUAACAUUUCCAAAAGUACAAUUACAAAAGUGGGCAUUCAAAAUAUAACAUUUCUGUUCUAGUUCUCCAAGACUUCAUGCAUUUCAGAACCUGUCAAAGAAAACAAUUUGGAAGGGAUGAGCCAAUAGCUCAGUGGUGCCUCGAAACAUGCAAUUCACAUAAGGCAAUUUAACAAGUACAAAUAGACAAGUAAGCACUUAACAAUUUAAGAAAGCGAAAUAACAUGACAAGAAAAGGAUACGGGGCUCUCAGGAGCCAAAGUCCACGCACUUGAUCAGAAAAUUUAUAGUAGUUGACACUCCGUCAACUUUCACUACCUAAACUCCAUAUAGACAUUUUCCCUAAUCUACACAUCUCCUAGCAACGUUUUCCCCCUUAUUUUCGGGCCCGAUUCCAACACGAAUAUUGCAAGCACUUUUACCAAGAUGGUAGAGAGGUACCUCCCACUCUAAUAGAGCGUGGUACGUGCAUCCGUUUGGUUUAUUUAGUCGACGAGACCACGCUCCAAUCGACAUUGCAACACUUGUACUUGUGGCAUUUCACGCAAUCACAUAGCAUAUAACAUUUCAUGAUAUCUCUAGCAAGUACUUUUAACAAGUAGUUCAACUAGCAGUUAAACACGAUUCAUGCAAGAGACACUCACCUCAAGUGAAGUGUCUAGAAUUCCAAACUUUGAUCGAGAUUGUGCUCUUCACCAACUCCUAAAAUCAUACAAAUAAUUCACAUAAAUUUCCACUUUUGAGUUGGAGAAUUUAACUCGAGUCAACUAGCAUUUAAUUUCACUCAAAAAUCCCAAACUUGUAUUAAUCGUUUUCUCAAAGUGAAAUCCACAAAUCGAGUGAAAUUAAAUUUUGAGGUUUCUUUAAAACCCAAAAACUUGCUAAAUUCGUCAAAUAUUCCAACAUCCAAGUUCUAGAAUCAUAUAAGCCAUUUAACACCAAUUUGGUGUCACAAGUUGAGAAAAUCACAUUUAAACCAUUUAGAGGAAUUUUCCCCUCAAAUAUUUCCCAAACAUAUCUUGGGAAAUUCCUUUAAGAGGCAAUCAUAUAAACCAAGUAAAACUAGUCGUUAGAAUUUCUAUAAAAUAGAAACUCCUUAAGUUUGCCAAAUUCCACGACCAACUUAGUCCAAUGAUUUUCAUGAAGGCAAAAACUUGAGUUUUUAGGAAAAUUUCCAGAUUUGACAAAUUCCUCAAAAUAGGGCAUUUGGUCUAAUAAAAUUCAAGGUUAUCAACUCAAAGUGGACCUAGUAACAACGGUUAAUGCUAGAAAACAUUUUCGGGACAAUUUUGGUCCACAUUUACCCACAAUGAAAUCCAAACAUCAAACCAUUUCUAAUUUCAAACAAAAAUUCUGUUUUGGUAUCUUCUUGAAGAAUAAGAUUUUGGUCCACUUUUUGGACGUAACCUCUACUAGAUUUUUGUCCCAAAUUGAGCUAUACAAACCCCUUAAUUAAUACACAAAUCAUUUGAGCUCAAGUUAUCGUGAAAACAGUUCACAAUUAUCAUUCAAAGCUGGAAAAAUUUCAGGUGCAUUCGGUAGCAAGUAGUCCAUUUCCCCUUCAAUUUAUCCAAAAUUUUUCAACUACCCAAAAGCUACAUUUUCACCCAAAAAAUACUACCCAUAUAGUUUAACAUGUAUACAGCCCAAGUAGUUCAAAAAUUUGUCAAAAUUGACCCCCAAAAUGCGACUAAAAUCUGGAAAAUUUCCAGAAUUUUUUGGACAGCAUAUACCUUCCUUUUCCUUCAAUUCCUCAACAUCAUUUCAACUACGAAAGUGGUGCAUUUUCCCUCAAAUGACCAUAGACAUUCAGCUUAACAUUUACACAAUCCAUGAAGCUCAAUUUCUUGUCAAGAAUCAGAUCAGAAACUCGAACACAAACUGGGAAAAUUUGGACAGUUUGGUUCAAUAGCAGAGCAGUUUUCGUAUUUUGGUCACAUCUCAUUCAAUUCAACUUAGAUUUGAGCAUGGUUGGUAGCGUUGGAAACUACACUCAUAGGGAUACAAUUUUUCAGAAGAAAUCGUUUUAAAAUUCUACUCAUAACUAGCUCGAAAUCUGGCAACAAAACGCAGCUCAUAUCCUGGCUUCCAGUGAACCAGUGGAGCAGGACAGGUGACUUUAAAGACUGCCACGGUUCACUCAGGUGGAACCAGGACGUGAAUUUUACACCGUUGGAAAGCUGGAAGAGUCUAGUUUCUAAUGGCGCUAAUGGCACUCAAUUUCGAUGUCGGAGGGCAGAGUUAUGAUCGAAACAAAAUGGCUGCCUGAGCCAUACGGGAAAAAUUUCCAGAUUUUGCUGGUUUUGGAAUUCAUCACCUUUGGUCAACCAAACCUCAAUAUCUUUCAAUGAAACUUUACACACAACUCCAACAACACAUAAACAUCAAAUACAAGCCUUUAAAACCUCAGAAUUUCGCAUGAAAAAGGUCGGUCUUGGCAGGGGCAGAAUCAGAACUUUUUGCUUCAAGAGCUCAAUGAAGUUUCUAGCAAUAAUGCACCUUUAAUCUACUUCCUUAAGCACUAAUUCAACAAUAAAACCAUCAUCAAACAUCAUCACAGCCAUCAACUCAAAGUGGGAGUUCAUAGAGCCCACAUUCAACAAUUUCCAACAAUAAUAAGCUACCCAUAAGCAUAAUCAAGCUCUUAAGUGUGAGUUGGCCUUCAUUGAACAAGAAUUGAAGAGUGGAUCAUGGUUACCUUACUUGUGUGCUAAAAGGUCAGAUUUUGGUGUCCCAAAAGCCCCAAGAAAAUCCGUGAAUGUGCAGCUCCUUCUUUGUCCAAGGGAUUGUCCAAGUUGUCUUGAGCUUGUGUGGUGAAUUUGGUGUGAAUUGGAGCAAGAAAAUGGUGGAGGAAAAAUUGUGAAAUUUGGAGUGUGAGAGAGAGUAGAGACCGGCGGUUAUGGUGAGGGGAAAGGGAGGGAAAAAUCUGAAAUGGAAAGCUUCCUUGAGAAGCUUGAGUGUGGUACAACUUUUGUGCUCCCAAGUCAACCGUGAACAGUGUAUCGCGCGCGCGUUUCGCGCCCGUUUCCUCUAAGGUUUGUUUUAACUGUGCACUAAACCUCUAAUGCACAUAUAUUCAUGUAAUUAUCAUUCACUCUUAAUGACCUCAAAAUAAGGUUCUAAAGUCCUUCAAAUAAAUCGCGCGCGUAAAACGCGUAUUUCCCACUUAUGCGCGAUAAGGUGAAAUUUUUAAGAAAUUCUUAUAACGAUGGCAUUUCUAACUAAUACAUGGAUAUUUAGGCAUAAAAAUACCUAUUUUAAGACUAGGGUAUAAAUCUCCCAUUAUUCGGGCUCAUGAACUCUCGAGUCAGUUACUAUUCCUGAGCCUACGGGCACUAUUCACACUUGACAACUUUCAAGACUUGAAUUGCGAACUAAUUGCCUUAAAAUUACUCAUGAGCUAUAAUGCUAUAGAAUUGGGUCCAAUAGGGCUAAAAAAUAAUAUUCGAAAUAAUUGAACAAUUAACUAAUUAAAUAACCUCAGAAUAGGAAUUUAAAAGAAAUAAAUUGCGAGUCCUCACAUUCCUCAUCUAACAUUUCUCCAACUUAAUUAUACCUUUUUAUAGCCUCUACAUAUACUACAUUUCAACUUAGGACUAAUUCGCGCGUCGGUGCACGAAAAUUCAACUUAGGGCUUUGCCGAACGCGAAUCGUCAAUUAAAUCUUAAAAAUUCAAAUAAAUUGAAAUGUAACAUUUGAAUGAUUGAAAACAAUAUUAUUUAAAUAUAAAUACAUAUUAUUGGAUAAUUUUAAUAUUUUCAAUAAUAUUUUGAUUUAAUUUUCCAGAGGAUAAUGAAAUUUUUGAGGUCUUCACAUUCUUGGUUUGGGAUAUUAAAUUGGAACAAAUUUGGUCCCAAUUCCAUGACUGUCAGAUUCUUGGGGUAACUCCAUGCUGCAGUCACAAAAUUCUUCACCCCGAUAAAGUUAGCUAUUUUCUCACCCAUGGUUCUUCCUAUCAGACUUCCUUUAUAGUCCUUUACUCCACUGCUCAGGUCCUCCAACUCCAGUUUAGCUCCAGAGAUCUCAUUCCCCUCCAGCGAAAAUCUUUGUAAUAAUUUAGUUAAGUCACCCUCCAUAGAUAUAUUCUGAGAUGCUAGCGGGUAUAAUCUCUCUGAACUUAGAAGUUACGCCUUUUCAACUACCAGCCAAGUUUUAGUAAAAGAGAAGACACAAAGAGUAGCUAAGAAGUAAAGAAGCGAAAAAAGCAGGGGACAAAAAACAAGCACAUCUAGACCAAACUAACACAGUAAAUAGGACCAGCCAGGCUUACGACAAGAGAAACAGAUUACACAGACAAAUAAUAAACGCUGUAAAAACUAAUGCACAUGUACAGGCCCUACCUCUGAAACGGGAGCAAGGAAAGGAGAUAAUCAAGUUUUACCUUGCUUUCAGCUGUUCAUAAAGUGUAGGACUCAGACUACCUUGUGUUCCCCCUGGAGAGACAUCCUUGAAUUUCCUUGAGUACGAUGGUUUAAGCUGCAUUAAUCUAACCUUGGUAACAGAAUCAGAUUGGUAGUGGUGGUGGUUGGAAUAUCUUGGGAAGAAAGUGCGGGAUAGUGUAAAUUUUGAAAAGGUUUGAAAACAUGCUGAAACUCCCACCAAAGGGAGGUUGGCUCUUACCCCAAGAGAGAGCUUCCUCUACACUAGAGAGAGGAUGAAACUUUGAGUUAGUAUUACUCCUUAAAAAAAUUAUUUGCCCCUGAAGUGAAGAUUAGCGUUCAGAGUCUUUAGACACUUUCGGUCAAAAAUUGGAAAUUUUGUCAAAUUUUACUCAAAAAUUGGAAAAUCGCGGUUCACGGUACGAGUCGGUUUAAUGGUUUGAACGGUUUUUUAACGAGUUUGACCAGUUCUUGAUCCAAGUCAACUUAAGUUAUGAAUCGGACCGAACACAUGACCGGUUCGCGGUCGAAUCGAUCGAACCGGCCUAUCUGAUCCGGGUUUAAAAACAUUGGGUACAGUCGGUUAGUUCGGAUACAUUGUUGCUCAUUGGUGCGCAUCGAUUUCCUUUGUCAGUUAUAAAAAGCAAUUGGAUUCUGACAACUGAAGUUGGUGGUGGGCCACUAGAAUCUCCAAUGAACCAACAAGUUCCGUAGGCAAAAGCUCAUGUGUCAUUUGAAUAUGACUUGAAUUAUUAUUAUUAGCUUGCUUGUUAGUUGAUUACAUUUGAUUUAAAAGAUUACUAUUACAUCAAUAGUUUAUUACAUUUAAUUAGUGUUAAUUUAUUACAUUUGAUUAGUAUUUGAAUUAGUUUAAUUAGCAAUAAUUUAUUAAUUAAUAGUGUUAUUAGUAUUAACUGUAUUAUAUCUGCCUGUUCAGUACAAGUACUAUUUAAUACACGUUAUUGCAUCUUCUUGUUUAGGGUUUACAAGUAUUUAAGGUUUCUGUUGCUAUUUAGUGCAAGUAGUUACUAUUAAUUAUAUUUAAUAUCUUCUUGUUUAGGAUCGAUUGAUUGAAUGUCAUACUAGAAAUAGUACCACCACAAAGCAAUAAUACAAGUACUAUUUAACAAAUAGUAAUAGUAACAGUAAAAGUAAACAGUACUAACAAAAAUAAUAGUAGUAAAUAUUAACCAUAAAGAAAAGUCACGGUAAUAAUAAUAAUAAAGUAAAUAGUAAUAUUAAAAAUAAAUAGUUAAUAAUAGAAAAGGCAAAUGGUGAAUAGUAAAAGUAAAUAGUAAAUAGUAAAAGUAAUUACUCAGUAAUAGUAAUAGUGAACAAAAAAUUGUGAUAAAAGUUUCAUUAAUAAAAAAGUAGUAAGUAGUAGUAAUUACUUAGUAAUAGUAAUACUAGGAAUAGUGAAUAAAAAAUAGUAAUAAGUAUUUCAUUAAUACUAAUUAGGAAUCAUUAAAUUAUAACAUAGGAAUAGCAUAAGUUACCGUUAAUUUUAUGUUUAAGGACAAAUUUGUGCUUGUCUAAUUAUUCUAUUACUUAUUACUAGUGAAUAAUAAUUUGUGAUUGUUUUAUUAUGGAUGUGAUUAAUUUAGUAUAGUUAAUGUAAAUUCAUGUUUGGAAUCACGUAAGUGCUUGAAUAUAAAAUAAAUAAUAUUCACAAUAUUAAGUAAAAAAUGUCAAUAUACCUUGCAUUGGUGAUUCAGUUUUAUUGGAGAGACAAAAUAGUGGAGACCUGAGGAUCACUUUCAUAUGAUCCACUGAGGUGCAAAACCAUAUUAGUACUAAAUUUCCCAUCGCAGAGAACACUAGUACCAGAUUAACUAGCAGAUUGUGAUUCAUUUUGCAGUACAAUAUUAUCAAUUAUUUCCUGACUUUCAUUGUUUAAGAUUCAUGAGAAAUUUACCUCCAGUUCAAUCCUUUUCCAAUUUACCCAACUAUCCAGAGUUAACAGAUUCAGAAGUAGAACUCAGCCACCAAAAAUAAAAAAUAAAUUAAAGAAAGCCAUUCAUGUCCAAUUAACAAAUGGCAUCAAGGGUGGAAUCGCAUUGAUUUUAGGUGGACUGCCUAAAAGCAAUUCGUACCAAAAAAUUCUGUUGAUAACAAUUCCAUACAUAAUUUAUAAAGUCGUUACCCUGAUAUUACAAGGAAUGCUGCUCCUUGAUUUUAUAAAUUCUCGUCCAACAUAUAAUUACGCACUAAAAUCUACUCAUCAUUGCUAUAUCCUUGAAUUUGCAGCAGGAAACACAAAAGGAUUUUCCUGUUCAAAUUUUCAGUAUAGCAAAAAAGACGAGUACUUUAUUGUUUCAUAUGUAGAUUCUAAAUCUCUGUGGAUGCAUGUAACGUCAGUCAGAGAGGCUUGGUACAUAUAGGGGUUUGGAAAACAUAUUUUCAAUAGGCACUGCUACCAACUCUCGAUGUUCCUCAUCAUGUUUCGGGCGAUAUUCAAAGUGCAGCAGAAGAGUCCAAAAAGUUCUUCUCCUUCAAGCUUUCAACUGUUUCCUUGAUGCUUUGCUCAAGGGGAAUGAAUUCAAGACCUAAGCUUUUUGCCUUCUCCUUGGAAACCUGGUACGUCGGCACAAAUGGCUUGUCAUCAGCGCACCUACAAAGGUUAUUCACCAAAAAACAUCAAAGGCUUGAUAAAAAUAAUAAAUAGUGUUGAAUUGGGGCAAUAGUCAAGUAAAAGUUCGCUCAUAGAAGUGAUGUUUUUUACUUCCUCAUCAGUCUUUGAUGAGCCAAAUUAAAUGAACAGCAGGUGAUGGACAGGAAAAUUCAUUGCCAUUAGUACAGGAUAUGUACUGCUGUAAGCAUAAUGCUUGAAUAAAGGUUAACGAUACUCACACACCCUUUUUAGCUUGCACACCCCUUCUACAUUCUCUAGGCUAUAUUGAAAGGCAUAGUAGCCAAAAUACAUAGUAGGGGAUGCACAAGAUGUUAAAAAGGGUGCGUGAAUCUCAUUAACCUUAAAGGAAUUACUACAAGGCAUGACAUCUUCAUGUACAAAUCAUAUGAAGAAUGUUUAUCCACUCAAUGCAACAUCAAAUAAAGCACUAAAGGAAAAAAAUGCAGUAAAAUUUUGCUCAACUUCACAUAUUAUGUAUAUAUCUCACCAUUUAGACAUGAUUCCAAGUAAGGUACGGUCACAAGGGUAAAAAAUCUGAUUGCAAUGAAGAAAGGUCAAAACUUGCACAUCAACAAUUUAAACUGACCAUCCAUCAUGUCUUUUGCCACCUCAAAAAUUUCCCUGAUGUUCAAUAACACAUCUAUCUGCCAUCCUACCAAAUCAGGUCGCCAGGCAUAGACGCUUUUCUUGGUUCAACAAUUAGUAGAAAACCAGUAUACUAGCUUAGUGCAUAUGCAGAUUGGUGUUCAAGGAAUUCUGAAUAUUUGUGAAUAACUAAUGCAUGCUCUUACCACGAGUGGGCAAAAACUAUAAUGAUGUCAUGGUAGUCAUGUACACAUUAUCAAUUCACAGGACUUCUAGUAAGAAUCUAUCUAGACUAGAAGUCUUCAUGAAAGGCAAAGUAUUGAGCUGAUUUCAUCGUAUUGAUUUGGGAAUGAAUAUGCACAUUUAAGACAGAAAAGCCACAAGUUUGGGGAGAAGAUCGUGCCAAUAAAGAACAGGUCUCAGGAGUUAAGCAAGAGGAAAUUUUAGAAUGCAACCUACAUCAGAGUAGGUUAUCAAACAGCCAAUUGCAAGCUAAAUGAAAAUUCCAACAUGAUCAUGUGACCUGAUAUGCUCAAUCCAAAAGAUUUUCUAAUAUCUGAAAGACAUAUCCGUAGAGCGAAGGUUCCAAGAACUAAACCAGAAAUACGAGGAUUAGAUUUCUUAGUUGAAGUACUUAAUAAAUUGACUAUCUAGUUACUGUUAACUUUCCUGAACGUUCUGAAACUGAAUUCGAUUUCAAAUAGCAAAAGCUUCAAAAACUUGUCAAUUCAACAUACAGAACCCUUGACAAGAACUUCCAAAACACAAUUGGCGGUAAGUUCAGGUAUUUAAGCUUUUACGAAACACUGAACUUAUCCAGAUAAUGCAAACAAUGUUAAUUGAAAUACUUAUCCACGGAAAAAGUUUCCUAAAAUAUAUUCUGCCAUUAGUUGCAGACACCUGAUGUAUCACAGUUAGGAGUCCCAAACAUGAUUUAUGCAAGGGGCCAAAUCAUGAAAGGCAUAAUAGAUCCUGACAGAAAAAUCUGAGACGCACAUGGACAUGCAUGAAAUUUCCAAAUAUAAUCCUAUGUCACAAAUGUAAAUCUCUAAAUGCACAGUCAAAUCUAAAUUACAGAGCUUGAACUUACUUUUCUGGAAGUUUUGAGGAAGGAUAAAUUUCACGCAAGAUCUUCACAACUUCAGAGUAGUGUACCACUCUUUCGACCAGGCAGUAUCGUCCACUAGCAGAUGGAUUUUCAAAAGCUAUAGUAUAUGUGCAUUAGCAACAUCUUUGACAUCAACCCAGCCCAUAGAAGAAUUUGGAAAUGUUUCUGCACCUGCAUUCAGCAUAGAAGAAAACAAUCAACAAAACAGACUGAUAAAUUAAAAAAACUAAAGGAAGAAAGAAAAUUACAUGAAGUAUUCAAUGACAGUCAAUACAUGAAUCAGUCUAAGAUUAGAAUGCACAGAAUAUCAAUCACACAAAAGAAAUGUUUCAUAUCACCAUCUCUUCUCUCUCUACAAAUGAACAUAAUCAAGCAAAGAGAAAAAUAGAAGGAAAAACAUUUGCUCAAAGCAUACCCAUGUCUAUACUGAUUACUUAAUAUUUCAUGUAUUUCAAUACUUGAUUAAGAAAGCAUCAGGAAUUCUAAACAAUGUAAAACAUCAUUACAAGGCAAUUGUAAAACAUCCCUUCAAGAAAACUAGCCAAUUGAAACAAACAUUUUCAAGAAACAAAAAAGAACCAAAAUUUUUCAACCAGAAAAGCAACAACAAAUAAAGAUCAACAAAAUGAGCAUAUACACAGACAUAUAUCAUUUUAGAAACACCUUCUGCUGCGCACAAAAACAUAUUAGACUCUAGUUAACCUCCAAAUGACCAUGACAUCUACCUUGGGAAACUCGACUUCAUGAGAGAAGCAGAAAGCUCAUGAAAGGCUUUGCAAUAUAGCAAAACUCCAUAUCACAUUAAUCUUAAGUACAUAAGUAGGCCACCUCAAGGGUGCUUUGGCCCUUUACAUAAAUUCUCAAGUUCAUUUCAAUUGAAUCAGAGAUUUAGAAGUUCUAUCUUGAUUAAAAUUGUCCCCACACUCUCAUAUAUAUCUAAGGCACUCCUUGUAGUUAGCUAACUAGUUGCUGGUAUGGUAAACUUUCACAGCAUGGAUACAUAAAACUCUACUAGGCCAUAGAAUGCUCAACCAAUAUUAUCAAAAGUACUCCGCUACUAUUAAUUAAUUAUUAUCCAGAAUGUUACCAUCACCUCUUUAUUUUUUAUGUGUUUUAAUUUUUUUUAUUCAACUUAGACUCAAAUGUAAGAAAAUAUGUUUUCUAGGCUGUAGAUAUGAGUAAGUAUAGGCAGAGAAAGUAAAGAUAAGUUAUACGGCUAAGUUAAAAACUCAGAAAAAAAAAAGGAAAAGAGAAAGAAGAAGAAGAAGAAGAACAAAAAAGUCAGUUUCUAUGUUCUGAGAACAUCUGUAUCUGCAUUAUUUUCACCACCAUCUGCAAAGUGGCAUCAUUAGCACCAUAAAGGUCAGCUUUAAAGCCUUUUUCCAAUCCACUCACUUGCCCUUAAAAGCAUAAUCAAGGAAUAAAAGAUCAAAAGAUGACCAACAGAAUAUCAUACACAUCUGUAACACCAAAAAAUAAAUAAGCACUGAUCCAACAAAAAGAACAUAUACCAAGAAAUUAAUUGAGUUCAUAAUUUCAUGAUGUCCAUACCGUUUAUUAAAUUCAAAAUUGCAGCAGCACUGGUGUUAAGUGUUGGCUGUAACAGAGGCCCAAUCACCAUAGCUGGGUUUAUCGUUACCAUGUCUAAACCUUUCUCUUUUACAAACUUCCAGGCAGCAUCCUCAGCCAAUGUCUUUGAGAGAACAUACCAUAACUGGAAGAAAAUAAUAAGAAAAAAUACCGGCAUCAAAUAUAAUGUUUAGUAUGAAUAUUAAAUCACACCAAAAGCCAUGUUAACUACUUGGACUGUCUAGCUAACAGUUACUCAAUUAUAUGUCUCUAUCAAUUUAGGAGGCAUCAUGAGCAAAUUGUCUUCAAAUCUCAUGAAAAUUUUAACUUGGGUUUCUCUGAUGAGUUUGUGCAGCACAGAGAACUGGUACUUGUCUAAAAUGCUUUAACAGGCCAGUGGUAAAAGAUGCUAUUCUGGUAUAGUAUUUGGACAUGAAAACAAAAUUACAACAGUUACUAAAUGGUAAUGGAAGAUAACCAAGUAAUUAUCUAAGACUAAUUCAUUAAUCAAUAAAAGCAUAUCAUUAGACAUACAAAAAAUUUCUUCCUUUACAUCUUGCCUUAAUAUUACAAUACCAUGCAGACACAAAUGGGACAAAAUGAGUGCACCAAUUAAAGCUCCAUUCAAGCAAACAUAGACUUGUCUGACAAGACAAUAUAACAUGACUAUAGCCAAAGCCAAGGUGAGGCAUUCAGCUGUAAUCUAGUUUCCAAGUUCCAUUCUAUGAAACCCAGAAUCCAGAAGAUGAGCGCUUUCUCUCCUUUCUUACAUAAAUUUUGUGGAACGCUUAUCGGAGUACUUCAAUUGAAAAAUUGUAAUAUUGAGCUUCUGGCAUCACAUAGUAUUAGUCUGGCAACCAUACAAGGACAGAAAUUUCAGGUAGUUAAUAAUCUGGGACACAAGUCCUUCAAUCAGGAAAAGGUUCCUUUCAACUAAAAGUUCGAAAAUUUAUGUAGACACUUUAGCCAUGGGUUCAAUGUCAACAUGCAUCAAGAAGCUAUUUUGAUACAAAGUGCAUGUUGUUAGAAGUAAUAAGGGUAUUUAGGCCAAUAAGUAAAUCUGUCUCUUCCUAGGGAUCUGAAUGAUAAGUUAUCACAGCUCUUCUAUUUUUGCUGUUCCCCCCUUUUCUCCCUUCUACUUCUUUCACAAUUCUCUAUUACUUUCCUGGUAUCAGAGCUAAAGAUGACAAAACAGUAGAUUUACCUUGUUGGGCAAAGUAAACAAUAGGAACUUCUUGUUCUGAUACAGAGAAAUAUAGGAGAAUGAUUCGAAGGGUUGAACUAGACAAUUAUUUCAUGGAAACAGGUACCUUUUUUAAUGCUUUAUACCAGUAUUGACUAAAGCAGAGGCAAAAUUAAGAUGCUUUAUACCAGCAUUCAUUGGUUUUUCUUCCUCUUUUUUAUGACAGGUACCCUUUCCUAUUGGAAUUAUCAAACCACCAGUAGAGAUGAUUGCUUUUUUAUUUAAGGAUGACAACUCCGGAGGAGAUCCAGAAAAAAUAUGGGAAACAUCGUCCAUUUCAAUCCUAUUCCUGUUAGCCAUCAGACAGAAAAAGCAUCUGAUCUGGCAAACUAAAUUUGGAACACUUUUUGGGAAAUGACAUUUAUAGUACAAUCCAAUAACUAUAACAACAGCAAAAACUAGGCCACUAGGAAAGAUAAUAAUAAGAAUUCCACACACAAAACGAGUUCUGAACUCUCUUCCUAUACAAACGUGAACCUUAAGCUCCCAAGCAGUGGGACGAACACAGGGCUCUGACUGUGUGCCUGUUUCUCAAUUGCAUUUACAUCAAAGAAGGUUCCCCCAAAAGAGGUUCCUUAAGUUAGUCAGUGUUCAUACGCAGAGAGAUAGAGAGAGAGAGAGGCCACCUCAAAUAUCUAAAACUUCUCGUUGAUGAUAUUCAAGACAUAGUGGAAGCAGCUAGAAGAGAGCAGUAAAAGUAAUUUUCAAUUACUUAUCCAUAACUAGGACACUAAAGUAGGGCAAAUGACCCUACCAUAAUGAGCUCAAAAUCACAAUGAUGGAAAAUCUAAACAGAGUUGAAUAAGGAACAUGUAUACAAUUGGAUGCUAAGGGUUAUAUAGAUUUACUUAUUUCAGGGUCUGGUUGUAAAAUUUACAGCUUUAGAUACUUAAAAAUUUGCUAUAACCUAGGGAAUCUGAAAAUCCUUUUUGGGUUUCCUCCAGAAAUUUCACCUUUUGGCUUUUCACUAGCUCAGCCUAAGUUACGUGUCUGGGAGUUUUGAUAUCUUUUAGUUCAUUUGUAGCUUACACGGUUCAGUUCUUCCUGUCAACAGAUUUUUCUGGUUCUAGACUGCCACCAUACGCUGCUCAGUUUUCAGUAAAAUCUUUAAUUAAUAGUAGUUUAUAGUGUGCCCAAGCUUAAUAUCAUCCAAUCGCCUAUCCUUUGGAGGGCAGAAAGAACACCCAACAUAGAACUGAAGAAAUUUUCCUCCAUCAUUUUUGAUUGGCCAUGUACCUUUUACACGGUUCAAGAAAACAGCCUGCCAUAACAGGUGAAAUAUCACCAAUUACCAAAUUCCUUGAAAUAUCCAUUUUUUGCUUUCACGUGUGUGCUUUGUCUCGAGACUUUUAAUUCCGAGGUUUAUACAAAAGUCACAGAUAUUAAUGCAUUAACUAGAUGUCCAGUUAACUACACCUCCAGUUAAAAUGGACAAUUGCAAACAGGAUGGAGUAAUUAUCCUGAAACCUUGACAAAUGAAUAUUGUGGCACCAGCCUUAAAUGUCUUAAGGUAAGAAUCCAUCAGAUGUCAUGAAAACACGGCCUUUUAUCAAUGGUUGUUAAAAGGUUUAAAAAGUAUCUGAUUUAAAGCAAAUAGACUCUCCAAUGCUGAAAGCGCCCUACAUCUCAACUUCUCAUAUAACAGAAAUAAAGAAACCACACAAGCAGAAUUGUUUCAGUUGAUGCAUAUUUGAAUAUUUUUCAGUGGCAUUAUGAUGUGAUACAUGUAAGCCUAUUUUAGUGACAUGCACUUUAUCUACAGAGAGUUUAUGAGCAUUUGCUACUCAAGUAUCUUAUAUUCUGAGCCAUAUCUAUAGUUUAGGCCAACAGGAAAGUAAAACAAAAGCUUAUGGAACACAGUGCAAUGGUGUUUGCUAUACAUGACAGCAGACAUGCCAGUAUAUCAAGAGUAAUUGUUUAAGUUCAUGCAAGAGAAAGUGACAUUUACAGACCUUCGUUUGCUUGCAAAAUUCAGGAAGAGACCACCAAGUCUCAUCAACCACCACGUCUGGAGUACGAGGCUUGCCGUUGAAGGCAACUGCAGCUAUAGAGGAUGUUAAACCACUCUUUUAACAGAUGGAGAUUUUGCACAUGAUCCCAGAACAUUAAGAGUCCCUUUUAGAGCAGGAUCAAUCAAUUCAGCCUGUCAACAAAGAAUUCCUUAUGGUGACUCACAGCCAUAACAAAUCACUCACCUUGCUAAGAUGAAGUAAUAGAAAACCCAUUAGCAGAGAUAUUUAAAUUUAAAAAAAAAACUAACUUCAAUUUCAAGGAAUAGUGCUAAUUUGAUACUUAAUUCAUUAACCAUGCAAUAAGUCAAGAGGACAAAGGGCUCAUUAACCAUGCAAUAAGUCAAGAGGACAAAAGGCUCAACAGUAAGUGAGGCUCCUUUAGCAAAUAUACCCUGCUUCUAUCAGGGUUUAAGAAAGAUUUGCACCAGUUAAAACAAUUAUUCGUCUACUUUUAGGUCGGACAAUGGUUUCACAUAACUUAAAAUAAGGACUACUAAUAAAGUUAAUACAAGCAACACGGUGUUUACUUUUGAGUCCACAUAUAUGAAUUGGUCAACAGACAUUUUGCAGACAUCAAAUAUUGGUUUUCACCUCAAAGUCAUCACCUACAGAGUUGACAUACUGAAGGAAAACUCAAGACAAAGACAUUUAAAAUUAGCUUCUGCCAAAAUGAAGCUCUUCAAGCAUACUUGUAUGUCUGAUAUUAACAUUUCCUUAGCAUGGCACUUCUAUUUAUUUGCAUUUUGGCCCUUCUUGAGGUAUCUAUUAGCUUUCAAAAAAUACAAGAGCCCUGAAGCUACAAUUUAACUGCCAGCCCAGCAAUACCCAUUCGGUAACAAGUUCCAAGCCUAAGUUCAUACUUACUACGAAUUAGUUCAAAGAAAAAUUCCUCUUAAAAGAAUACAGCAGACAUGCUUUCAAUCCUUAGUCAAAUAAGGGACGAUCUGAACAUAGGGCUGAACAUGAUUUGAAAGCAAACUCAAUGAAUAGAAAGAGUCAACAGUACAACAGACAGCACUGAAGUGUUGCCUACAUGACAUGGAAAAACAUUGCUAAUUGACUGAAGUCAGCAAGGGAAGGCUCUGAAAGACUAUCUGGGGUAUCCUGUGGUUAUGGUACAAAUGAGUCCAAUCAAGGGAAGGGAGAGAGAGAGAUCACCCAAUGCAUAGAACCUGUACCCUUAGAACAUCAAGGCAGCACACUAAGCAGUUCAUGGAACUACCCACCACCUCUUUUUUAGCUUCCCUCAAAUAGCUUGAGCAUCUUUGAGAUCGACAAUCAUACAUUUCUCAACGACGCAUCAACUGUUACUUAUUUCUUGUUUUAAAUAGACAGACAGAACAAAUUAGGGCCAUAGACAUGCAUUAGUUUGGUGAAGCAAGGAACCAUAUCGAGUAUCUUCUUUUGUAAGAUAAGUAGGAUGCUCUUUUCUCUUUUCCUAAAUGUUGAAAAGGAGAUUGAUGACAACAGUUAGCACCAUCUAACCAGCUGCCCAAAAAAAAAAAAAAGGAUGGCUUCAAAAAAAAGUUAUUUACCUAAAAGCAGAGAACACAAUAUUGAAACUAUACUGAAAAGGGUGCAACAAAUGAGUAAUUUCAAAUGUGCAUACAGAAAAAGAGAGAAGAUUUUCGAAAAACUGCACAAAUGUAAAAGAUAACAAGAAAAAGCACUGAAGUAGCAUACAUUUGACCAAAUUUUUGUCACUGAAGAAUUUAUUAGACUUUAGAGUCAUCAUUCCUGAACCCUCAUAAGUCAAAUUCUGGAAUUCUAACACUAAAUGAGCAACCCUCACAGAUUGACAAGAUUGCCUGCUCGGAUUAAUCAUGUCAGAAAACAUAACCUACUCAAUAUUCACAAAUUGUAUGUCCCUUCCUGGUCAGAGUGUUAAUAUCCAAACUCCCAGCAGAACAAACCUCAGAUGUUCUCAAAAUUGAUAUUUUGAAUCCUAGCAGCCAGCAAUUUUAAAUUCAGUAUUGAGCUUCUGAGGGCAUCUAAUGAGUGAAGAACUCAGUCCCAAGCUUCUUUCUAGAAAAGCUAAUGUCUUUAUACUAAGAUUUUAUACUUCAUACUCAACUACAACUGGCUAUCUUCCUUGGUAUUGAGCUUCUGCUGGUGUCUGAUGAUUAAAGACCUUAGUCCCAGUCUUUUUUGUGGAAAAAGUAACUUCAAUAAACCAAGAUUUUCUACUUCAUAUCCAACUACAACCGGGAAUUUUCUUGAGUCCUUUCUCCCUAAUUUUGAGCCUCAAAAGUGAAACAUCCAACCAUUUAUUUGCAGCAGCAUAGAUGUCUGAUAACAACACAUAAUUCCCAGCAUUUAAGGGCUCAAGCUCAAUUAGUCUACAUGCUACCUCCUCCCCCAAUUCAAGGUCACAAUGAAGCUUGCAAGCGCCAAGAAGUGCACCCCAAGCACCAGCAUGAGGCUUUACGGGCAUUGACUUAAGAAUGUCGUAAGCAUCUUUAAGCUUUCCUGAUCGACCAAGAAGGUCAAUGAGGCAUGCAUACUGAUCCGGAGAAGGCUCAAGAGAGAAUUCAUUAACCAUAGAGUCAAAAUAAUGGCAACCUUCCUUAAUGAGACCAGCAUGACUGCAAGCUGUUAGAAUUACCGUAAAGGCUGUAGUAUCAGGCACAAGUCCUUCCUUUAGCAUCCUUUCAAACAGUGCCACAGCCUGUGGACCACUCCCAUGAAUGGAUAGACCCUGUAUCAUUGAGCAGUAUGAGAUCACAUCAUGCGUGGGCAUUUGCUCAAACAAGGUUGAUGCUCUGUCCAUGUUCCCACACUUGGCAUUCAUAUCUAUGAGAGCUGCAGCAACUUGAACACGCUUGAGAUCAAAUGAGCUUUGAUGCAUAUAAGAAUCAAUUAUUUUUGCUAAUUCCAAACAACCCAAUUGGGAACAAGCAGACAUCAAGCUCACCAUAGUGAACUCAUCCGAUUUGACGCUCCUACACUGCAUCCUGUAAAACAUCUGUAUCGCCUCGCUGGGCUGUCCAUUCUGGGCAUACCCGGAUAUCAAGGCAGACCAGGAUACAAUAUCUUUUUCAUCUGAUUGCUCGAAUAACAUUCUUGCAGACACCAUGGCACCGGCCUUGGCAUACCCAUUAAUCAUAGUGGUAUAGGAAAUUGCAUUCUUCACGGGCAUCUCAUUGAAUAAUUCCCUAGCACUCCUCAAAUCACUGAAUCUAACAAAGCCACUAAUCAUCGCAUUCCAGGAUGCUAAAUUCCUAUUAGUCAUUUUAUCAAACAAGUUCUUCGCCUCCAAUGCCUCUCCGACAUUCAGAUAGCCAACAAGCAUAGCCGUCCAAGAGACUUCGUUUCUAACGGGCAUAAUAUCAAACAUCUUCCGGGAGCACUCGAUCUCCUUGCACUUGCCAUAGAAGUCAACUAAGCUGGAACCCACGUACACAUCAGUUUCAAUACCACACCUUACUAUUGACCCGUGGAGAAUCCGCCCUUCCCUCAAUGCCAAAACAUUAGCACACUUGUUGAUCAACGGCGGGAAAGUAUACUUAUCCGGGCUUGCAUUCGUAGACUUUUUCAUCCGAUUGAAAAGCGAAAAUGAAUUGACCAAAGAGGAAUGUCUACAGUAGCCCUUGAGUAGGGUGUUCCAAAGAUAAAUAUUAGGCUGAAUGGCGCGUUCGAAAACAGCGGUAGGGUAGGAGAGGUCAGAAGAGAGAGCGAUGCAGAGGGACAGAAAUUGGGUAAUCAAAAAGGGAUCCUGCUCGCAGCCCUUGUGGAUGAUGUGAGGGUGGACUUGCUCUAAGCUUCGGAUGGUCUUGCACCGUUUUAAAAGUGAUAAGAUUGAUGCCGUAUAAGCAGAUGAUAAUGUUGAUGGUAAGGGGUCGAGACAAGCGGAUGAGUAUCGGCGGAUCAAAUUCAUAUGAGCAUCGGUUGUGACUUUGUGAAUCAUAGUGGCGGAACAGCCGAGCAGACAGUGCUGGAGCUGCAGUGUCAGGAUCCUGAUGGACCAGUUUUGGAAUUGGGAGGGAAAUUAGAAAAGUAGAAGAAGAAGAUUCAGAGAAUUGCAAUGUUUUAAAACCCGGACCGUCAAUUGAACCUGUGAAGUGAAAGGGUCGAGGUUCAACCGGUCGGACCGGUUCAACCCCAGUUCAAUAAAUAAAUAAACAAAUAAAUAUAUAUAUAUAUAUAUAUAUAUAUAUAGACACACACCUAUGCACAGAACAAGAUAUAAAUGCUAAACCACAAUUAACAUAAGAGCAAUAUCAAACAAUUAACACACACACAAUUAACAUAGUUAUCAAACUUAAGACUAUUCGUUUGUGGUUUUUACUCCUGCAAUGCAACCGAAGUAAAUAUCUUCUGUUUGUGGUUUUGUUCUUGAUAAUCUACACACGUAUUGAAAAUACUCCUAUUUACUUGUUUGUCCUUGAAAGAAUUUUUGACAAUUUUCUCAAAGAUAAGCUAAAAAAGAAAGCAAAUAGCCAUCUGUCCCAUGUUUCUUUGGUUUAAGACUUGCAUCCGUUUUUGGGUGUGUUGGCUUCAAAUGACAUCAGAAAAAGGAUACCCCUUUUUGAAAAAACUAGCAGAAGAGCACCGUGCGCAAUUUAAGUGAUGCGCACAAUGAGUUGAUAUUCAUGUAAUUUAUGGAUUUUUGUGUUUUGUAUAAUUAGGGGUGCAAACGAGCCGAACCGAGUCAAACAUUGAACUUAUCGAGUCAGGCUUGAUUACUGUACACGAGCUCGAGAAAAUUGAGCUCGAGCUCGACUCGAAUAAGUAAGAAGCUGGCUCAAGUUCGACUCAAUAAGGCUUGAUUUACUCAACUCAACAAGAGCUCAAAUUGGCUCGAAAAUUUCUGUCACUAAGCACAUAAUUUUUAAACGCAAUCCAUCCAGCUUGCAUUUUCUAACAGGACAAGCUAAAAAUUACCCCAGAAUGAGAAAAUAAAAAGUGAACAAUCAAAAACUACAAACCAAAAAUAUUUCAAUCAAACAGAAGGUAUAUUCCAUGAAAAUGUAUGUAAGAAGUUAAGAAAAGAAACCCAAUAUUCUUACCAAUCUUCAAAAAACAGUCCCUAAUAAUAAUAACAGAUCCAAAUUCAAAAAAAAAAGGAGAAAAAGUACAUUGACAGAAAGCCUUCUUCCAAUCAAUAAUCAGUACAAUCUCAAUUCACCGAUCAUGAUAUAGAAAACAAUUCAAUACAUGCGAAAGUCCAAAUAAAUUCUAAAUAAAUUGAGAGAAAUUGGGGAUCGAAAUGGGAAAGAAGAGGCGAUCUAAUUCUAACGAAAGCUCUGUCGCCAUUAACAGGAAAGAGGAAAUUAAUCAGGGAAGAAGAGAAAGGGCAACCUGUUCGCUUUGCCUGUUCGCGAGGCCCUCCACCAAUAGAGCUGAUGAAAUGGGCGUUGGAGAGGGCGGCAGUGGUGGGAGUCGGAGAUUGUUCGCUUUGCCUACCGUAGCUUCUAACUGGGAGUCGGAGAGAAAUGGCGGCAGUGGUGGCAGAAGUGGCCAACAAACUGGGAGUCGGAAAGAAAGGGCUCUUCAAUUGAAGGCCGGCAGUGGUGGUGGCAGAAGUGGCUUGAGCCUUGAAGACAGUGGUAGCGGCGGCUACGGCUUGCUUUUGAUUUGGGGAAAGAAGAAUGCCGACAGCAGAAUAGCCGAGUGGGAAGAAGGAGAUGUGUUUGUGACUUUGGGUCCACCGUCCUCCACUGUCUUGGUCCUUGGAGAAAUUUUGUUAUCUAGUUUCUAAUUAGUAAUUAGUUAUAUAAGUAGAGAUAUUUAUGUAAUUUCCUACUGCUCGUGAGCCGCUCGGACUUUCAUACACAUGACUCGAACUCGACUCGUGUUAUAAACGAGCUGCUCGAGCUCGACUCGAACGUUGACCGAGCUGCUCGCGCGAGCAGAUCAAUUCGUUUGUAUCCCUAUGUAUAAUGAAUGCAACUAAGGUGAUAUAAUUAUUAAAUAUAUAAUAAAUAGGGUUUCAAAUCUUUAGGGCUAAUACAUGGAACUACGGCGGUAUAGUACUAUAGUGUCAUAAUAAAAAAGAGUGAAUGGCAUAGUAAUGGAUAAGAAGGAGUUUCAUUAAAAAGGAUGCAAAUUUCAUCUGUGCGGAUAUUAUUUUUUGGAUGGAGAUACUUAUUAAAUCAUUUGUUGAAAUGAGGUAUAAAAAUUGGAUUAGUUAUUUUGUAAUAUAUAUUUGGAUUUACUAAUAUGCGUAUUUGGUUAUGCCUAUAUGUAUAUUGUGUGGGUCAGAAUAAUUGGAUAUUUGAUUUAUAUUUAAUUUCUAAAUUUUGUUUGAAAGAACUAUAAGGGAAGAACUAAAUUUACACACUUAUAUACUAAAUCCACAUUCUAUCGGCUUAUUAUAUAAAGACUUUUAAAGUAUUUAAUUAGUUGUUCACAUAACAGAAAGAAGAAUAGUAUUAUGUUUUCUUGCAUCGGGAUACUCAGUUCAUGCGCGCAUCAAUAGCUACUAAUUAGUAACUACUUUAAAAAAAAGAAAACUUUGGGUAAAAAAAGAGAAUAAAAGAAGGGAAAAAAAGGGAAGAAGGGAAAAAAAGGGAAAGGAUACUCUAUUAUAAUAAUAACUAUAAAAAAAGGGAAAGGAUACUCUAUUAUACAGUAUCCUUUCCCUUUUUUUCCCUUCUUUUAUUCUCUUUUUUUACCCAAAGUUUUCUUUUUUUUUAAGUAGUUACUAAUUAGUAGCUAUUGAUGCGUGCAUGAACUGAGUAUCCCGAUGCAAGAAAACAUAAUAAAGAAAAUACUGUAAAAAAAGCAAUAUUAUAAAAAAGCAACAACCUUGUAAAAAAAGAAAAUACUGUAGUUUAAAAAAAAAAGAAAUCGGCAAGUGUUUUUCUUUCCCUAGAAAUACUUAAUUUCUACAGCGUUAUUUUUCAUUAAUUAGCUACUAAUAAAGAAAAAGCGAAGAAACAACAUAACAACACAAUUUUAUAUUCUACUAUAAUAAUAGUAUUAUUAUUGUUGAAAAAAACGGCAACUUUGGGAAAAUUACUGUAAGUGAAAAAAUAUCGUUAGUAUAAAAAAAUGUAAGCCUGGGAUUUGAAUUUAGGAAACUUAAUUCCUGCAGCCUUAUCAAUAACUACUAAUUAAUAACAAUUUAUUAAACACAACAGCACUAUUCCAUAAUCUACUAUAGUAAUAUUAUUAUUAGUAUAAAGAAACUGAAACCCUAGGAAAAUAACAAAUAUUUUAAGUAAAAAAAAAAAAGAAAAAAAAUUGGCAUUGGAUUCGACGUCAAGUUAGCUAAUUUAUGUGACAUUAUCAGCAAGUAUUAAAAAAAAUAAUAACCACUUAAAAAAAAAGAAGAAGGAAACAAUGUGAUGGAAAGAAAACACCAAAUAUUGUUAGUACCAAAAAAAAAUAAAAAGUAAGCAUGGCAUUUGAAUUCUGGAGAGUUAAUUCCAGCAGCCUUAUCAAUAACUACUAAUUAAUAACUAUUUAUAAAAAAUUGUUAGCUAAAAAAAAAAAGAGUAGACAUGGGAUUUGAAUUUCAGAAUGCUUAAUUCCUAAGAUUGAGUAAAAGAAAGGGGAAAAAAAAGGAAAGGAAAUAUAAAAAUAGCAAUCUUGGGAUAAAAAUUAAGGAUGAUGUUAGAACCAAACCUUAUAUUAUAUUAUAAAAAUUAAGGAUGAUGUUAUCUAAUAGUGUGAUAUAUUGUUGAAACCAAAAACUUGAUAAUCCAAGAAACACAUAAUUUAGAUGAAAAUGAUAGAACUCUCAUAGAAAACAAAUACAACAAAGGAAUGAUCAAAUAAGUAAAGAGACCAAUCAAUCUUUAGGCCAUUGUUGCUGCUCUCUAUACAUUUGCGUGAGCAUUGUUUAUUUUACUUCUACCAUGAAUGACAAAGCCUUGACCGCAGAUGUGCAGAUACUUGGAGCCUGCUUCAAAAGAUAUAUUUUGGAUUUGUUACUAGGCAGAUUGUUUACCAUUAAGAUUCUAGCUCUUUUUCCAUUCGGUUUUACAACGUAUUUUUUACCAUUAUUAAGUUCAAAAAGAUUAUAAUUCCUUUUUCAUUAGAUUUUUUGACAAUUUUAUUUUUAUUAUUUUUUUUGGAUUGUUAUUGGAUCACAUAUUUCUCAUGUAUUCAUAUAUACAUAUAGUGCAUCAAGAGAUAAGUGAUGUAGCAGUAUAUCAUAAUACUUGCUUUCAUAUCAUAGUUACUAUUUUUGAAUUAACAUCAAUUUGAGUAGCAAUUGUUCUUUAACUGAGCGAAUUUAAAAAAUUGAAGCAGUUCGGGUUUUGUUAACCGCCUGUACCAGUGUGGAUUUAUCACCAUCUUUGGUGCUUCUCUUUGUGCACGCUUCCAUUGUCAUGCUUGAAGGCUGGAAACAAAGGAAAAAUGGAGACUUUAAGCAGGGAUUCUCUUUAAGAAUUGAGAAAAUAAAAGACCCACAAAAGAAAGACAACUAUAAAUCACACUUAGCAACUAUAAUCUUCUCCACGUCACAAUAUAAGAGAUUGAAAAUUCCUGGAAAGUUCUAAUAUUUUGCCAACUUCAUAAAAAUCAUAAAAGGCUUGUUGCCUAGAGAAAGGUCCUGUUUAUCAAGUGAUGCUAAAGCCAGCCAAAAUCCUUUCAAUUCAAAGAACUAUGAAACAACAUUAAAAAAAUAAAAUUUAAAAAAAUUCCAGGUUUAGAAACAUUAUUAUCAGCGGACCAGCUCAGUUAGAUUAUAACAAACGGUUUGAAUAGAUUCAUUAGGCAUCUCAAAAAACUGAUGGAAUUUCAAAAAAAGAUUCAACGGUCAAAAGGGUAAGAAGCAUCCAUUAAUCAACCUAAACAGUACAAUAAUACAAUCCCAUAAUUUACUGCAAAAAUAAAUGUUAGAGCUCUCUUGGAGCAUCUGAGAGUGACAAAUAUCAGCAAAAGGCAAUAUUAUGUUAUCUUCAGAAAAUGACAUCAAAAGUAAUCUCCAAGUAUCAUAAAUGUUCCCCAGCAUAGAAUAGACUAUUCUUGGAUGAGUUAUACUAUAAUAUACAGGUAAGACACAAGAUGCAAGUAUCUUAGGGAAGGAAUUCCAUUGACUUCUCAAGCAUGCUACUCUUACUUAUAGCAAUAUGGUAAUGCAAAUAUAGCUAUUUUAUUAGUUCCAUUUUUCUAUAUGGUUAGACAGAAUCAAUAAUCAGAGACUCAUGGCACUUAAAAACAGGAGUUGCAAACAUAUUUUUUAAGCUUGCACAGAUUUUGUUUAAUCAAUCGCAAAUUGCCAAUGGCUUAAAUGGAUGUUCAAACAUCUAGGCAUUAACGCAAGGCAAAUAUUAAAACACUAAAUAAGUAGAUCAUUUACCAUGAAUUAAUUCCCGUUACCUGCCUAAAACAACUCUAACAAUUUUAGUCCAUCCAUUGCCAAGUAUAUUCCACGCCUGCAUACGAUUUCUAAAUUUCAGAUUAUCCCAUCCAAUAAGAAAAAAUUUGACCAUCCAAAUUGAAACAAUCAGAUCAGUAAAAUUAUGCUAGUCCUUGUAAUUUAGUGAAAAUUGACAUAGGGUUGAAAGCAAUUGGUUAGCUUGUACAGUUCAGAUUCAUGAAAUAUAUAACUAAGAAGUUUUACCAAGAGAUUUAUUGCAUUUUGUACUACUAAACUGUACCAUGAAAGCCAGCCAAAAGGUACGAAGAAGGGAAGAAAAAAGCUCCAUUGACAAUAAAAAAAAACCUCUUGAAUGGCAGGAAAGAAGAGAAGAAAAGCCAUUUUGGUGGUGAACUAACUUUAAUAUAAUUUAUAUUAUAUCCUCAAAAUGUCAUCCUAUCAGAUACACAAGCCAAUCCCCUCAGAACAAAAUUAGCAAAAUUUUAAUGAAAAACUUGUACUCUAGCAAAAGAAAAAUGAAAAGGCAAAAUUUAUGCAAAGACAUGAGGAAAAGGCACUUAGAAACAAUAAUCUAAAAUAAUGGAAAUCCUUGAUGACUUACAAUGCUUUGGUCAUUUGUGGCUGGAAACCCAGCAACUAAAUACACACAAAACUAUCAAAAACAGAUCCAACAUUUAAUGGCAUAGAGAUGCAAAGCAAAUAAAGAAAUCAGGCAUUCUCCUUAAUGAAUGGAAAAGGAAGCUCAUGAAAGAGCAUCCAAGUAAUGAAUAACCAGGAAAAUCACAAUCAAAACUUGAUUAAAAAAUAUAAAAAAUCACAGUGCAUUAAAGUAAACUUUUUAUUAGUGCAUGAAAUAAAAUAUACCAUAUCUUAGAGCAUUGCAGCAAUGUUGAAGAGGAAAAAGCCCAACUUUCUCCACCUGCAAUCACAAAAAAAAAGUAAAUUUUAGAUGAGUAAAAGGGGAAGAAAACAAUGAAGAGAAAAUCAAAUAUACAAAAAAAAAAAGUUCACAAUGCAUAAGCAGCGACUUUUGAACUAUCGAUAGAUGAUAACGAUCAUGAUGUCUGCAAAACACGACACAGAAACUAUUAGACACCCAAUUUCCAAAUUGAAAGUAUCUAGGUUCUUAACCUUCCCCAUUGGAGAAAUUUAUCAAAUAACACAAUCAUCCACAAUGUUAAAACAGUUAGGCAGAUAAAAUAUUGAGAAAUUUAUCCGAAUAAUAAAAAAUAAUUGCACAGCAAAAACAUAGUGAGGCAAACAAAAGAUUAAACAGAUUACACCAAUUACUCCAACAUCGUAACUCGUUAGAUUCAGUUCCACUGCCAGCUUAACAUAAACUUUCACAUUAUCAACUGAAUUUCAGAAACAUUCAAUUGAACUUGCUCCAAUCAAUAAAGUGAAAAAUUCAUGCUUUUAAAAUUUCAAUUGCCCUGUUUCCCGUAACUACUACAUCCAACCAUCCAACCUAAGCAAAAAUUUUCAGCUUUCAACACCCAAUUUGAUGACAUCAACAAUUAGUAAUAUAGGAAACAUCUCUUUAUAGUUAUUGUAGAAAUAGCUAUGGAAUUUGAUUAAAACUUAAAUCAUAAAGAGGGAAAAUGGGAUAAGUAGGAGGCGUAGUAGUAAAAGUAAAGAUUAAAAAACCCCAAGUUUUGGAGUUUAAAAAAAAAAGGGGACAAAUCAAGGGCAAAAAAAAAUAGCACUGAUAUAAAAGACAAAGUAUUACCUCUUCAUGUGCUAAUUCCACUGUCAAAGUUUAUGAGCAGGAAGGCGGAAACACCCAAAUGGAUUUUGUGGUUCACUGGCAUAUCAUUAAUAUAACACAUCAUAAAAAAUGAAAGAUAAAGUAAUAAUACGGAUUUCUUUUUACUUCUAGCCAAAACAAACGGAAAACAUUAGACACAAAAAAAUAAAAGAAACAAAAUAAGGGUUUUCUAACAAAAAAUAAAAGAGAAAUAUUCAAUAACAAUAAAAUGGAACAAAAUAAGAAAAUUUCAACAAAAACAACCAUGCAACAGUCAGAAACUUGUGAAUGGGAAACAGGAGAUGAAUCUGAGGAAGAAGAGUACAAUGGGGAACAGAGGUCUUCUAGAAGUGCAAAAAAAAUUUUAAAAAAAUUUAAUGCAAAUCUGCAAAGAAAAAAAGAUUACCUUAUUAGUCUUGCUGCUUGAGGAAGAGGAAGAUGACAGAGGAAAAGAAAAAGAGAGAGAAUGACGAAAAAAGGAAGAAAUGAAAAGAGAACCAGAAGAGACUGAGGGGGAAGAGAGAGAUAAAAGCACAUGUUUUCCAGCACAGGGUUUCAGGUGGUUUGGAAAAUAAAAGGGAACGAAACCGGUACAAGAAUUCCAGGACCAACAAGUCAACAACCACGGUGCACGUGAUUUCCACAUGAAGAAGGACGAAAGACCAACAACAAAUUCCACCACCCAUUCCCACUUUAUAUAUAAGUUCUUUAUAGUACAAUACUACAAAGUUAAAAAAUUGCAGGCCAUACUCAAUGCUGUAUGUUGUUGAUGUGCAAGGAGGCACCAUGAACUUAACCAACCUUAAUGCUGAAGUUUAUUUCCAUCUGUCAUGUUAAUGAAGGCAGGACAGCUAUUGAUCUAUUAUUAGAAGGAGAAAAGGGAACUCUACACUUGUUUGCACCACCAAAAAACAAAUAGAAGUUGAAGUUCAGAUGGGUCAUAGUAGUUCAGUAGCAAAAUGGUACUUGAAUUCAUUUAUAAUCCUAAAUUUCAAGGCGAGUCAUAAUUCCAAUCAGGUCAAGCGGAGUUAAACAUAUGACAGGCAAAAUAACUACUUCAUACUUUAUUCAUCAAGAAUCAGCACAACACAUCAGAAUGUAUCAUUUUAGGAAUUCCAAAAUAGGGCAUUGCGUGGAUAUAUGAGCUUGGAAAAACCAACAAUAUGUUUAUUCAGUAAGAAUUGUUAGCCUAAUAUGGUCCUAUUCUCUGCACAAUAAAGGAAAACUAAGUGAGCAGAGUUGCAGAGAGUAACGGAAUUUUCCAACAAGUAUCCCUCUAUAAGGUUUAGCAACUUCAUUCUAGCUCCCUCUGCGGAAUAUUCUAGCUCGCUCUUAGGCAACAAAUUCUCAUUUCGAAAGAAAUUCUGCAUCCAGGGUAUAAAAGUUAAAAUCCCCAAAUUUAACUUCUACACAUUUGGAAAUUAGCAAUUUAGUGGAAAAUAAAAGAACUUUGUAAAUCUGUUAUGCAAGAAUUGCUCUUCUUAUCGUCAAAGCAACCAAAGCGUAAUUCCAGAGAUUAAUGAACAACGAAAGGGAAAAAAGAUUAAUGAACCUGGUAUAAGCUUGAAUUCCAGAGAGUUCGGAAUAAGCGUGUGACGGCAAAAAACUUCAGGCUUCGGUGCUUCCUUUUUACUGAUUGCAGAGACGACAAAUAGAGACGGCACUCGGCACUCGGCGCUCGGCAGGCAAGGCAAGGCAAUUGCAGAGAGAGGAAGCGGACUGAAGUGAAGAGGCAAUUUCGGCAAUUGACUACAGCAGGCAAGGCAAUUUAGGCAAUUGCAGAGAGAGGAAGCGGACUGAAGUGAAGAGGAAGACUGAAGUGAAGAUUAGGGUUCAGAGUCUUUAGACACUUUCGGUCAAAAAUGGAAAUUUUGUCAAAUUUUACUCAAAAAUUGGAAAACCACGGUUCACGGUUUGAGUCGGUUUAAUGGUUUGAACGGUUUUUUAACGAGUUUGACCGGUUCUUGAUCCAAGUCAACUUAAGUUAUGAACCGGACCGGACACAUGACCGGUUCGCGAUCGAACAGAUCGAACCGGCCAAUCUGAUCCGGGUUUAAAAACAUUGGGUACAGUCGGUUAGUUCAGAUACAUUGUUGCUCAUUGGUGCGCAUCGAUUUCCUUUGUCAAUCAUAAAAAGCAAUUGGAUUCUGACAACUGAAGUUGGUGGUGGGCCGCUAGAAUCUCCAAUGAACCAACAAGUUCCGUAGACAAAAGCUCAUGUGUCAUUUGAAUAUGACUUGAAUUAUUAUAUUUAAUUAUUAUUAUUAGUUUGCUUGUUAGUUGCUUACAUUUGAUUUAAAAGAUUACUAUUACAUCAAUAGUUUAUUACAUUUAAUUAGUGUUAAUUUAUUACAUUUGAUUAGUAUUUGAAUUAGUUUAAUUAGCAAUAAUUUAUUAAUUAAUAGUGUUAUUAGUAUUAAUUGUAUUAUAUUUUCCUGUUCAGUACAAGUACUAUUUAGUACAUGUUAUUGCAUCUUCUUGUUUAGGAUUUACAAGUAUUUAAGGUUUCUGUUGCUAUUUAGUGCAAGUAGUUACUAUUAAUUAUAUUUAAUAUCUUCUUGUUUAGGAUCGAUUGAUUGAAUGUCAUACGAGAAAUAGUACCACCACAAAGCAAUAAUACAAGUACUAUUUAGCAAAUAGUAAUAGUAACAGUAAAAGUAAACAGUACUAACAAAAAUAACAGUAGUAAAUAUUAACCAUAAAGAAAAGUCACGGUAAUAAUAAUAAUAAAGUAAAUAGUAAUAUUACAAAAAAAUGGUUAAUAAUAGAAAGGCAAAUGGUGAAUAGUAAAAGUUAAUAGUAAAAGUAAUUACUCAGUAAUAGUAAUAGUAAACAAAAAAUUGUGAUAAAUGUUUCAUUAAUAAAAAAGUAGUAAGUAGUAGUAAUUACUUAGUAAUAGUAAUACUAGGAAUAGUGAAUAAAAAAUAGUAAUAAAUAUUUCAUUAAUACUAAUUAGGAAUCAUUAAAUUAUAACAUAGUAAUAGCAUAAGUUACCGUUAAUUUUAUGUUUAAGGACAAAUUUGUGCUUGUCUAAUUAUUAUGUUACUUAUUACUAGUGAAUAAUAAUUUGUGAUUGUUUUAUUAUGGUUGUGAUUAAUUUAGUAUAGUUAAUGUAAAUUCAUGUUUGGAAUCACGUAAGCGCUUGAUUCUAAAAUAAAUAAUAUUCACAACAUUAGGUAAAAAAUGUCAACAUACCUUGCAUUGGUGAUUCAGUUUUAUUGGAGAGACAAAAUAGUGGAGACCUGAGAAUCACUUUCAUAUGAUCCACUGAGGUGCAAAACGAUAUUAGUGAAAGAUCAAAUAGAUUACUAUGGGUUGGUUGAUAGUAUACACCUACAUAAGACUAGAUCAAACUGUGCUCAAUUUGAAUCUAUGGUUUAGGAAUUUAGUAGGCCAAGUACCAUUGCGGAACUAUGCUUGGAUAUGAAGAAGACAUGGAUAUGAUGUACCAUAUGAAAAUGACAUCACCUCACAUAGCAUGUGAGAUAUACAUAGAGGUGAAGUCACAGUUCCAACAUGACCACGAUAAUGUCAAUGUUGGAAAACCUCAUUUGUCCAAGGCGAUCCCCAAGUGGAGUUAGACCAUAUGCUCCCAGCCAUCUCUUAUCGUGGUUGUAUGCUAGUAAAAUCGGAGUCCACAUCCAUGAUAGAUGAUGAUUGAAAUCGUGGAAGGGUCAUAUAAGUCGAAAGCAUGAGCGGGGCAGAAGUAACUGGGACAGUAGUUCUAGGGCAAAAUUAUCUUUAGUGCAAAUCCACCUAACUUCCUCUCUAUCGAAUAUACAGGAAAACAAGGGUGUUGAUGUAGAUCCUGACACCGAACCGGAACCUGAUGGCGAUAACUCCGGCGAUACUGAUGAUGAACAUGAUGGAGUCGGCCAACAAGAGUUCAAGCUUGGAUGCGGCUAAUGCUUUAAUCUUAGCAUGCAUGUGGUAUUUCAAUAGAUUUAAACAAGAAAAUUUGGUGAUUUCGGAAGAAAGUUAAAGAGUGUAAAUUCUGAAAAUUUUCACAGCCCUAGACCCGAAACUUGAAGCUGAGUUUUCAUAGCUUAUAGUUUUGAAUUUUGGUAUAUCUUUGAUACAUUAUUGCUUUAAAUAUGCUUUGCUUCAUAUAUCUUAGGUUGUAUGUUGAAUUUCUUAGAUUAAAAAUGAGAAACGUGUGAGAUUCAUAAGAAAAGUGGGCUGAUUCGUUUCACUGAAACUUGAAUAUAGUUUAGCUUUCUUUUCGCUAUAAUUGAUGAUUGGAAAUUAGCAUGCAAGUAGGAAUUUUCUCCUAGGUUUUAUACCAAAUAAAUAGAUAAAUAAUUGUGGUAUUUGUAACUUGUCUCAGGAGUGAGCAAGAGGGUGACCCCAAAGCCGAAGUGUGAUUUUUCACUUAGCGUAAGUGUUCCUUAUGUGCAUUUAUGAUUAAAUGUCUCUACUGGAUUAGUACUUGUUGUUUACUUGUUUGCUUGGUGAUUGUUGAAAAGUAUUGAUGGGAAUUGUUAGAUAUAUCUUAUUGAUUUGUUAAGACUUGAGUUAUCUACGGCAUUACUGUUGAUAGAUGAGUGCGUACUUUAUAACACUCGAACUAAUUGAACUUGAGAUUUCUAUGGUCUUAACUACUGGAAUAAAUGUUCAUGAUUGUAAGCAUACGUGUACUUAAUCGCAUCAGCUGGAUUGGACCCUAAAACCCAUCAUCAGUUGGCAUAUUUAAGUCAGCAAUGGGUUUGGUCGGGUAGGUUAGGAACCUUGAGUAAAUGCGAAUAUUACCUUGUAGUAUGGUGAUUAUUGAAAUGAAUAUUGAUUGAAGGAAAUUGUUUAUUGUUUUAGAGGAUAUAAGGGGUGAUUGCUGCAGUGAUAUCGUGUUGAUAUUGGUCCCUAACUUUUGGUGUUUACAAAACAAUUGGAUGAUACUAAUAUCUCUUCAAGAAAUACUUUCAGUUAUGUAGCAAAUCAGAUUCAAAGAUUAAGCACACUUGAAAGGGACAAAAUAUGCUGAAGCUAUCAGACGCUUAAAAAGACAAGAUCAGACGUCUGAUAGAAUCCUUCAAAGUCGACAAAACCAUCGGACGCUGAAUAUGUCUCCACCAGACGUCCGAUAGAAACAAGAUGAUUUCUCAAAUCUCUUUGCUUGCUAUCGGACGCACAAAGAGCUUGCACGACGUCCGAUAGAAAUAAAAUGAUUCUUCCAACUCUUUGUCUGCUAUCGAACGCAAACAUCCAACGUUCGAUGCUCCAACGGCUAGUUGAUUCUUCAACUACUUUCUAUCCGUUGGAAAUAUUAAUGAGGCACUUUUUUGUCCUAUAUAAAUAGUGGUUGGUCAGAUAUUUUAAAUAACUUUUACACAUAGAACAUACAAAAGAUUUAGAGUAGGUUUAGUGAGAAAACACUCUCCAAAGAAGAUUUGUAGUCUUAAUGGUGUGAGGUUCAUUGUAAGUUUUUCAUUUGUGAGUGAAUACUUCAUGAGUAUAGCUCUGUGAGGGUUGUCCUGAGGGAUAGUAAAACUUCCUAACUUGACCGAGUGGAGAUCGGGGCAAGGAGGAAGUGAACCUUUCUUUGUACAUAAGAGUGAUUGUAAUUCAUCAAUUUGAAGAAGUUUGUUCUAUAAAUUGAUCUACAAGCUCAAGAGGAGUUGGGUAGUCUGUGAUACCCCGAAUAUUAGGAGGUUGUUUGUAAAGAAAACACUAAAGUGUACUUCUUUGGGUUUGAUUUAAAACCUUAUUUCAUUUUAAAAGAUUAGAAACCCUAAUAUUUUAAUCAAAAAUCCUAAUUUACUUGUGACUAACCGGUUUUCUUAAACCCUAAUUUUAAUCACUGGAAUUGUAAAAUCCCUCACGUUUCUCUUAAAAACUUCCUUUUAUUUGGAGCUUAUGAUUUUAUAAUAGCCCUACCACCCAAUCAUCUCACAAUAAGUGCAAAUGAAUAUGAAAAUAAAGAUUUUUCCCUUUUUGUUUUAAGUUAGCGCGAAUUAGGGUUUUCACGUUUUCCAUAGUGUACUUAUCCGGUACGGAACAAGGAUCAAAUUGGGUGAUUAAAAGUGAUUUUUAGGUGAGAAAUAAUAUGUGAUUAGGAUCAAUGACCUAAGGUUAGUGAAUAAGAAGUAAAAACCCUAGUACGUGUGUUUUAAAGAAAAACGGCGCGAACCGACGGGUACCGCGCACUACCGAUUGAACACACUAUUUGACCAUCAUUUCCUUACCACGUGAGCUCAUUAAUAUUUGAGCAAAAUAUCCCCCUCAUUUCCAGCUAGUCUUGACCGAAAAUGUGGACCAAAUGCAAGGAAAGGAAAGAGAAAAAAAAAAGUGGUGGUGGUGGCGCCACUUGUCGCCACCUAAAGGUUUCUUGACCAACCAAGAAUCCAACCUUCUUAUCCCCAAUUUUGUUCUUUCUUCUUCAUUAUUUCUGCUGGUUGGCCGAACAAGAGAGGGGAAAAGAGAGAGCAAAAACCCACCUUCCUUCAUCUUGAAUUUAAGCUACAAAGUGAGGAAACAAAGAAAGUAAACCGAUUAAAGUUAUCUUUGAGUGUUGGUUUAGUGAGAGGUUGGUGAAUUUUUGAAGGGGAAAGCUAGGGUUGCUCUUGGUAGACACUAAGCAAGGUAAGGAUGAUGAUUUUCUCAAUUCUUACUAUUAAUCUUGUUUAAAUUAGCUUAGCAUUUCAAAUUUGUGGUGAAUAAUGGUUGCUAUCAUGUCUUGAGUGUUGUUUUUCCUUGUGGAUACAUGAAUUAGGGUUUGAUGGAUUGCUGCCUAUACUUGAUGUAUGGUUCAUAUAUGUUGUAUCUAAGAUUAAAUAGGGGGUUUUGGUAGCAAGUGAAGCAAGAAAUGAAGAAAGUUAUCAUUGAAACCAAAAAUUCCAGAUUUCUGGAAAAAUUUCACCCUAUUCUAUCCGGUUCCAGUUCAUGUGGUUAGAGGCCGAAUUAGGUUUGGAAUAAAACAUGAAAGUUGUAGAGAAUGGUAUUUUAUAGUUUUUUACAAAAUUUCAUCUCAAUCGGAGCAACGUAACCUGUGAAAAGACCAAAAUACCCUCACUGCCCUAGGUUAAAUUCCAAUGUUCCGCGUAGACAGUUCAGUCUAUUUGGCUGUGUUUAUUCACUAUAAUCUGUGUGGUUUUAGCCAUUUGCCAAAAUAUGAAAGUUUUAGUACUCUAUCUUAUCUAUUCAACGCCUCCAAGAACGUCUUAAACGGACCUUGGUAGCCUGAGAUAUGGCCAUUUGAAGGCAGUACGGUUAAAUAGCCGAAUAGUUGGAAUUAGGUUAUGUGAAUUGGGAAUUUGAUUAGGUUACACUGGAAAUUAGACUAAGUGCUUUCCAUGAAAAUUAUAGGCCUUCGUCUUAGCUUCGAAAUGGUAUAAGUUUCACCUCGAUCCGAUAAGCGUAGCCUUGGAUGUGCCCAUUUCGCAAAAAUUCGUCAAAACUGUCUUUUUUAAACGUCGUUUCCACACUCGUUAUUAGCUUGAUUUCUUGUUCUUGUAUUGUUUUGAGCCUAUUGAAUGGAUAUUGAAAUGAAAUUGUGUUAUGGGUAACCUUGGGUUUGGUUGAGUAAAAGAAUGAAGCCAUAAAUGACUGAAAAAUUAGGUAAAUACAAAGGGCGUGCUGCCCAAAUUUACGCUCGAGGACUAUAGAAAUACACUUGCGACUUGGGUAGAGUUGAUAUGAAUAUCACUUGAACCAUCUAGGGUACUUGAGUCUUCUUGUUCCGAGGUAUAUAAGUAAGGAUUUGGCCGAACUUGUACCCUUGAGAAAUGAAAUAAUGAUUGUUCGGAAUAUGUUUUCCUUGUACUUUCAACUCGUAUGGCAUUUUCAAGUAUAGAUGCUACAAAGUUUUAUCGUUUAAAAAGCGAGCAAGUGAAUUUCAAUUUCUUGAUUUUUAUUGAACGAAACGUCUAAGUUUCGAAUCUUAGUCGAUUUUCAAAGUUCUUAAGCCAAGUUUUAUUGCAGAUUUGGACUCCAAACCCGGAGUACCACCCAGACGUGAUUACUAGAGGCACUAUAUCUUUGGUGAGUGCUUUCAAAUACCGAAUUGAACUUGAUACUUGAACUUGAUACGUGACCAAUAUGAUUACAUGUUAUAUACGUGAAUUGUUAGGGUAAGAGUGUACUUUAUCGCACUUGCCUUUAUGUGAUAUAUACUUGUUUAUGGUUGCAAUUGACUUGAUACAUUUGUUUAUGAUGUGCGCACUUCCUGGAAUUCCAGAAACCCUGUGGCGAGUUACUCUAGUUGAGCCGGCAAGGGUUUGGUCGAUUGGGUAACGAACCCUGGGUCUCUUGUUUUGUCGAGUGGAGUGAUAUCUUCUCGACUAAUCGGUAUACUCGAGUAUUACCACCCGUGUUUCUUGAGGAUUUUGGGCCCAGUUGGGGGUUUGAAUGGUGGACGGAGAGUCGUUUAAGUGGUGUUCUACUAGAUUGGUUACUUACUUGAAAGUUGACGGAGUGUCAACUGUUACUUGAACAAGCUUGGGAGAUGCACUGGGAUUUUGGCUCCUGAGAGUCUUCCGUAUCCUUAUACUUGAAAAUGAUUAUUGCUUAUCGGAUUGUUGUUUCUUUUGAAAACCAAAAGCACUUUACACUCGUGCAUUUGGAAAUUUGCUAGUUGAAGUGUUGGUGUUCACCUUUAUGAACUUGUUAAGCUCGCUAUCUUUUGCUACAUUGAUACGUGUACUUUUAAUAUGGUCAAUUUGUUAUUUGGAACCUCACUGGGUUUUUAGGUCAUUCCACGCUAUUUGUUUUCCUUACAGGGGGUACGAGCGAGGCGUGAGAUGUGUAAAGACUAACGUAGUCUAGUUGUUUGACUUUUGACUUUUGUCUUGUACUCGCGUUAUUCCUCGAAUAGAAUGUUUUGUAUUUGGAUUGUAUCCGCUUUGAACCAGUUUGGGUAUAUUGAGGUUUUGUACCUUGAUUUUCAUCAAUGUAAAUUAUUAGCUUGAAUUGUGGAUGUUAUUUAUGGUUCAUGGAUGUAUGCACGUGAUUCGAGUGAGUGAGUGAGUCCUGGCGAGAGUUGGGCAGGCGGUCCGCCGAACCCUUUAGUACGCCUUAGGGGGAGGUGGGGUCGUCUCAUAGUCAAUUGGUUUGCUAUUUUUUCUUUCUUAUUUAUUUAUUGUUACAUUUGUGAUCUUUAAAUUGCUUAUCUCUUCUAUUUCUCUCAAGUGAUUUUGUUCAUUCAUUGAUUGACUCAUUGUGUGAUCACUUAGAAAAGAGGAUAAAUUUUAUAUUAAGCAAAAAGGUGUCUCAUCACUUGAUUAGGUUUUUAAUCAACCUAAUUCACCCCCUCUUAGGUUGUUUUCGGGUCUUACAAUCGGUAUCAGAGCUUGGUCUCCUUGAAAUUAAACUCAAUCGAUUUAGGAGUAAAGAUGACAACCAAUAAUACUAUGUUUUUUGAAGGACAAUCUGUAAUUAGACCACCUAUGUUUAAUGGAUCAAAUUAUGUAAGUUGGAAAGAAAAAAUGAUUAUUUUUUUGCAAUCAAUUGAUAUUGAAUUGUGGUUUAUUAUUAGUGAAGGUCCAUAUGAUGCCUCUCUUAUAGAUGAAAAUACUCAUAGAUCUAAACCAAAAAUAAGAAGUGAACUGACUGCUGUGGAUAGAGCUCAUCUCACCUUAAAUGCAAAAGUUAUGAAUGUGUUAUAUUAUGCUUUAGAGUCAAAUGAAUCUAUUAGAGUCAAGGGUUGUAAGUCCACUAAAGAAAUCUGGGACAAACUUAGAGAAAUCCAUGAAGGAAGUGAGAAUGUGAGAGAACAAAAGAAAUCUAUUUUGGUUACCAAGUAUGAAUCAUUCAAGAUGGACCCUCAUGAAAACAUUGAUAAGAUGUAUUGUAGAUUCGAAAAUCUCAUUAAGGACUUAGAGGUGCUGGAAAAGGAAUACUCUCUAGGUGAGAAAAAUAGAAAAAUUUUGAAUGCCUUAUCCAAGGAUUGGGAGAGUAAAGUAACUGCCAUUGAAGAAGUUAGAGAUCUAAAUUCCUUACCUAUUGAAUCUUUUAUUAAUUCUCUAAUCUCUUAUGAGCUGAAACUUAAGUCCAAAGUGUAAGAGGAAGAGGAUGCAAAGGUAAGAAGGGGCAUUGCUCUAAAAGCAUCUCAAGAUGAAGAUGAUUCGGCUUCCUUAGAUAGGAAAGAUGUUGAAGUUGAUGAGAGUGAUCUUGCUCUCAUUACAAGAAGUUUCAAGAGAAUUUUUAACAAAAGAAAAUUUAGAAGAGGAGGAUCUUGUAAUUCAGAUUCUAAUCAAUUCAACAAUGGAAGAAACAAAGGAAAGUAUGAGAUCAACAAAAAAUAAGGUGACAAAUGCUAUGAAUGCGACCAAUUUGGACACAACAUGAGUGAGUGUCCAAUGAAGAAGAGGAAAGAUGAAAGAAAAUCAAGAUUCAAUAACUUUCAAUUCACAUGGAAUGAGUGCAACUCCGAUGGUGAAAUUGAAGAGGAAGAAAAAUCUGCUCAAUUGAUUUUUAUGGCCAUUAGAGAUUAUGAGGUAACAUCUUCUACCUCUCAAUUUGAAAGUGAUGAUGAAAUUGAUGAUGAUCUUGAAUCUUUCAUUAUAAAAUUGUAUGAUAGUUUGAAAAAAUCUUAUGCUAGAAAUAAGUAAUUAAAACAUAAAAUUUGUUUUUUUCUUUAGGACAAUGCACGUCUUUUUCAAGAAAAUAAAAAACUGAUAACUGAAAGUGAUUUCUUAAAAAGGAGUGAGACUGUUUUACACUCUGAACUUGAUAGAAAAAUAAAAUUUUGUGAAAUUAUCGAAAAUGUCAUAUGAAAAAUGAUUGUUAUGUGAGAAAAAACAUGAGAAGAGGCAUGAAAUGCAUGUGGAUAUUUAGACAUGAUGCUAACUCUAACAAGUAGGAGAUAUUGGUAAGAUUGGUGAGAUUCUUGUUCACAAUGCUUUUUUGUAAUUCUUUUUUGAAUGUUUUGAAUUGAGUUUUCCUUGAUAUUUUUGAAUAUUACUGAAUUUAUGUGAUGUCAAAAAGGGAGAGAAAAUAACAAUUCUGAUCUAAUAAUGAUUUUCUUUGUGAUAUGUUGGUACUUCUUUUGGUAUCAAGUCUCUGUGAUAUGUUGGUAUGUUGGUAAUUGCUGAAUUUUGGUAUCAUUUCUCUGUUUUUGUUUGAAAUAUUGAAUUCUCUGUUAUUAUUGCUAGAUUACGGUAUGAGAUUUUUACUCUUUUCUUAUGAUGACAAAAAGGGGGAGAAAAAUGGAUACUAUGUGUUAGGGGGAGUUAUUCUGAUUUCUGAGAUUAUAAGUUUGGUACUUAAAUAUUUUUGGAUGCAAUGAGUAAGGGGGAGCUUAUGCUCAAUCUUUUUUCUUUCUUUCAUCCAUUGUUUUGUCAUCAUAAAAACGGGGGAGAAUGUUGAUCUUGGUCCCUAACUUUUGAUAUUUACAAAACAAUUGGAUGAUGCUAAUAUCUCUUCAAGAAACACUUUCAGUUAUGUAGCAAAUCAGAUUCAAAGAUUAAGCACACUUGAAAGGGACAAAGUAUGAUGAACCUGUCGGACGCUCAAAAAAACAGAAUCGGACGUCCGAUAGAAUCCUUUAAAGUCGACGAAACCGUCGGACGCUAAAUAUGUCUCUACCGGACGUCCGAUAGAAACAAGAUGAUUUCUCAAAUCUCUUUGUUUGCUGUCGGAUGCACAAAAACCUUGCACUGGACGUCCGAUAGAAAUAAGAUGAUUCCUCCAACUCUCUGUCUGCUGUCGAACGCAAGCAUCGGACGUCCGAUAGUAUCGGACGCCCGAUAUUUCAACGGCUAGUUGACUCUUCAGUUACUUUCUAUCCAUUGGAAGCAUUAAUGAGGCACUUUUUUAUCCUAUAUAAAUAGUGGUUGGUCAAAUAUUUCAAAUAACUUUUACACAUAGAGCAUACAAAAGAUCUAGAGUAGUUUUAGUGAGAAAACACUCUCCAAAGAAGAUUUGUAGUCUUAGUGGUGUGAGAUUCAUUGUAAACUUUUCAUUUGUGAGUGAAUACUUCAUGAGUGUAGUUCUGUGAGGGUUGUCCUAAGGGAUAGUAAAACUUCCUAACUUGACCGAGUGGAGAUCGGAGCAAGGAGGAAGUGAACCUUCCUUUGUACACAAAAGUGAUUGUAAUUCAUCAAUUUGAAGAAGUUUGUUCUAUAAAUUGAUCUACAAGCUCAAGAGCAAUUGGGUAAUCAAUUGGUUUGCUAUUCUUUCCUUCUUAUUUACUUAUUGUUACGUUUGUGAUCUUUGAAUUGCUUAUCUCUUCUACUUCUCUCAAGUGAUUUUGUUCAUUCAUUGAUUGACUCAAUGUGUGAUCACUUAGAAAAGAGGGUAAAUUUUAUAUUGAGCAAAAAGGUGUCUCAUCACUUGAUUAGGUUUUUAAUCAACCUAAUUCACCCCCUCUUAGGUUGUCUUCGGGCCUUUCAUAUCGAUUUGGCUCCCAAGUGACGUUAUAUCAUUUCAUAUUGAAUAAGUUAUUAUAUUGUAAAUUAUACAAUGAUUUGUCCUGAUUUUAAUUGUUUGUUAAUAUGUUAUUAUGUUGAAACUAUGGAUUUAUGUCGUUUAUUGAUUGUUUCUUUUCUGAGAACCUCACUGGGCGUAAUGUCAACCUUUAGUUUGUUUUCCUUACGGGAUAUGAGAGCGAAAGAAGUUGAGAUUAAUGAUAGAUCGAAUCCAAAGUCUCUAUUUGGUAUUUAUUGUAGACAAACUUGUACUAUGAGAAUUAGUGGAUAAAUUCUUACUUUAAUCCUAUUGGUUUGUAUAUAAGUGUGAAUGUGAGAACCCGUAAAUUUCUUGAUUUCUAGGCCUUAUUUUAAUUAUUUGCACGCCUUUUAUGCAUUUUCUUUAUUAGGAAAAAUUUUCUAAAUAAUUUUUAUGAGUAAAUAUAGUUUUUAGAUGAUUUUUCUAAUACCGGUUAGUUUUUGAGAAAUUAAGAGCAUAUACCGGACGUGGGACCCGCUAGUGCGGAAAGUUCGAUAAAAUUCGGCCAAUUAGAUUAAGUUUGGGAUACUGGGAUUAAUUUACUAGGUACUAAGAGAUAAUUAGAGAUUGUUAUAUGGAUGAGAGUGGAGAGACAAAAGGAUAACCAUGUAUUAAUUAUAGUGACAACUGUCACUUGGAGAACUAGUCUUACUUUUGACCACUAUUCAUUACUUUACCAAAUAAAUCAAAAAUUGACCCAAAAAUCACUCAAAAUUUCAAGCUCAUGGCCGGCCCUCUCUAAGGGAAAAAGAAAAGAAAACUCUCCACUUUCUUAGCCCCAAUCUUGUUCAAUCUUCAAUUCCAACCGUUUAAUCUUGAAUUUACUCCAUAAAACCUCUUAGUUUAGUGGUAUUAAGGUUGGUUGUGAAGUGGUUUGGAGGAGCAAGGUGCUAAAUUGGGUCUUUUUUUGGGUUUGCAAGGUAUGUGACCAAGGAACCUUCCCUUUGAUCCUAUUAAUGCUCAAUUGGUACCUUUUGUGAGUUAAAGAGAUAAUUUUAGGUGUUAUUUUGUGACUUUUGGUUGAAAUUGGUGAAGUUUUAUAUUUAUUUGGGAUUUUUCUAUUUUCAUAUGAUUAAUAUUGUGUGGCCAUGGAUGAUGGUUGGGAAUGGUUUAGAAUGAAGCCUUGGUGUGUAAAUUGUAGCUAUUUGCGGAAAAUUUCCGCUUUGAACCGAAAUUUCCAGGUUAGGGUUCCAAUUUUUCACUAUUCUGCCCGGCACUGUUGGAUCUAGUUAUAGGUCGAAUUAGCCUUAGGUUAAAACAUGAAAGUUGUAGGGAAUGAUGUUUUAUAGUUGAAUGCAAAAUUUCAGCCCAAUCGGAGCAAUGUAACCUGUGAAAAGACCGAAAUACCCCUGUUGCCCUGUUUCUACCCAAACAUGCUAAUCAGCUUCUGUAAUUGGUUGUUUUGACCAGGAAUACUACUGAUUUGGUUGUCGAUAUCUUCUUAAGACUUAUAGCCUUGUGGCUUAGCUUUAAAAUGGCUUUGAAAUCACUUGAAUUGGAGUUGUAUAUGCUGAGAUAUGACUGAAUGAAUCAGGACUGCCACAGUAAACUUCGAAUUGGAAAAUCUGGGAUUGUUUUGGUAAAUUUGACCUAGAAACAUUGUAAACUGGACUGAGUGGCCUUCUUCAACAUUGUAGGCCUUCCUAUUAGCUUCGAAACGGUGUAUCUUGUACAUCCAUCCGAUAAUCGUAGUGCCGGUUGUGUCCAAUACGCUUAAUGACGUUAAAACUGUUUUUAGGUCUUAGAGCUUAACUCUCAUUUCCGGACUUUCCCUAGCUUACUUUAAUACUUAUACGUUCUAAUGGAGCCUUAUUUUUGGUAGUAUAUGGAAUUGGUUUAUGACUUGUAAUCGAGUCUUAUUGUGCUUGUUUGAAUAUUUUAGGGCGUGACGGUGAUUAAAGACGCUCUUUGGGCGGAAGUUUAUGAAAUUUCACUUGCUUGCUUGGUGAGUGUACUACUCACUUGCUUGUUACUGUGUGGCUUUGUUAUAUUUGAACUUGGAAUUUCACUGACCUCUCUUACUCUAUUGCGUUUUUGGUAACAACGCAGUCCAAAUCUGAUUACAAUAUUAUUUUCAUGUGUGAGAAGGUAUUUUUAUUCCAUGGAUGCCCCUUUGGUCCUUGUAUUGGUAGAAGAUUGAAAGAAGAAUAAAUUAUUAGAAUGAUUACUAAAGUUGAGGGGUUAUAAGUACAAAAAAAAACGGUUGUAAGCACCAGAUGUGUCAGGAAAAAUGCCGAGUUUCACAAAUUUUAAGUCAACUAGUAGGUUAUCUAUUUAACAUAAAAUAAGUAAGUAAUUAAACUAAUUAAAUAGAAGAGAGAGAGAACCAAUUAAAUGCAAGAAAGUCGUAAUAGAGGAAACGUAUACAAAACGAAUAUUAGUAUAUCACCUUUUAAAUUUUACUCACAUAAACUAAUAGACAAUUCCAUAAGCUGGUUGGUGAAUAACAGAAAUUUAAUAUCUAAUGAAGGUGAUUAAAAAAUUAUUACUGCUAGGCGCCAAUUUUUGAAAGUUAAAUUUAUGUAUUUAACAUAAAUUUAAUAUGUGAAAGUUAAAAAAAAAGAAAACGAAAUAGCGCGUAACAUACCAGCUCUAUAUGGGAAACAUUGUAUCAACAUUUUAUGGGAAACAUAAGAGCUCUUUAUGCCAUUUACCCCACUUGGCGAAUAAACACCAGCUCUUUACGCCUCUUCUCAAUUAAUGGGUUCCAGUUAGGACGGUCGUGGCAGCAUACGAGGAGUCAGUCUGGCUUCGGUAUAUGUAUCGGGCGCGACCUUUUGGUUGCCAUUUACCCCGCCCGACCUGUCUGUCAAAUCUGUGCUACCGACUUCUAGAAGCUGGUUGACGACCACAGGUACGAACUAACCCUCCUUGUUUAUCACUGUGGAACCUCCUCUGCUCUGCGAUGAACGUCCGUAAAUUGACGAUGUACGUGUAGUUCAGGACUGUUCAUGUUUCCUUGCUAUCGGUGUAUUGUUACGGUUCGGAUGAAUUAAACGUAUUGACACAUACGUUGGUCGGUUUGUAAAAAUGUUUCGGAUGACAGUUUUUUGACGAUAGAAUGUUGCGUCGUUUGCAGGAGAAGUCGCCACUUUCCCAUUUGUGUUCGUUUAUCGCUACGGUUAGUCGGAUGUCCAGAAAUUCGGGAUAUUACACCUGAUCAAUCAUUAUUGGAUUUUAUGAGGAAGUUGUUGUUGUUUGAAGUUUACUCCAUUCUUGGGGCUUUCAGGGAUUCACUCAACUGUGCCCAGUAAAAGGAGUUAACCGGUCAUGGCCAACGAACAAAAAGGGCUUUCAGGAACCUCCAUCCUCUCCCUUCCGACCGAGGUGCUUGCACGUGUCGCAUCUUCUUCAUCAACUGAUCUUUUCCGGGCAAAACUGUGGUUCGUUCUGCUAUUGAUGAUACAAACAGGAAGAGGCGAAUUCUGUUCCAUUCUGUGAUUUUCGUUUAGGUUAAUGGAUCAUUUCUCUUAUUGUGCAGCUGUAAGUUGCUUAACGAAGUUUCGGACGCAGACAUCGUUUACCAGCGGGUGUCACUCGCCAAGUUCGAACUCGUUCCGUGGCACAAAACCACAAAGUGUCGAGCUUCUUGAAGAAGUGUAGACAAUGCAAAAAUCCAGAUGCACUGUAUCGAAAAGGAGUGAUAAGCAUCGGGCCGAUAAAACUCAUUCCCUUGAAUAUUCUACCUUUUCAAUUGAAGUUGGUAAUGAACAACCCCCAGUCCUGUACAGUAUAAGUCCUGGUCAAUGUCUUUGGCAAGUUGGGUUUUGAUUAGGAACGUAAGACUCAAUAGUUAUGGGAAAAUUCGGUAAUGUUUUAAAUGGAAUAGUUGUCAACUAACAUUCCAUAAGCAUACUUGAGUUACAAAAUUUCUAGACUAAGCUCACAUCAUGUCUUUCAUUUGAACUUCAUUGUGAUUCUGGUCAGCAUACUUCACCCCCAAAAGAUUGGCUUACAACACGUUACUGCAGCUUUGGGCCCAGUAAAUAACUGUUGUCCCGUCGCCACUGUUCCACCUGCACUUUUUAACUUUUUCGUUACUAAGUUUGUAAGCAAGACUGUAAUAUCAACCUUGGCACUGCUUAGGUUGAUUUCUUUACGGACAAGCAUGGGGACUCAGCAUCGGAAUGCUUGGAAGAAGCUGCUAAUUCAGGCCAUGCCGAUGCUGCAUAUGCGUUGGGAAUAAUUUACAUCUUUGUUGGUGGGGACGAGUUAAAGCGCAAAGGUAUGAGCCUGCUGAGCGGGAUGAAGAAAUCCGGAAUUCUGAAAGGCAGAGUGAAACUUUGCCGUGACAAUUUGCGAGCGCUACUGAGGAUGAUAUGGGUCAAGAAUCCUGUGUUUGCAAACCCAACGCCCAUUUGUUGUGCCAUGACACAUGAGAGGAAAACAUCUUCAUGGCCUAUGGAUGCGGAUGACGUGGAGGAGAGUACAUGUGAAGGCUGCGCUUGCGAUGAAGAAAUUGGAGCAAUUUGUGCUGCCCUACCUUAUCGUUAGUGUGUAAGAUUGAAUGUUGAGAACUCCUUUGACUGCACAAAUUUUUCACCAUCGUGUACAAAUUAAUUUUCACCAGCUAAAUAGCUUAUCUUGGCCCUUUUAUGUUCUGUAUUUGAUCGAAUCAUUAAUGAAGUUAGUAUACGAUUUUCUAAAAAUCCAGUGCGUUAACAAAACAUUAGCACACUGAAAUACGAUUCGAUAAUGUUUUUCAGGGUCGUCGGAGGAGAUUGGGCGGUGGUCUGCAGGGCUCGUUACCCUCUAUAUUUAGCAAUGUACAUAUACACGCUCGAAGUUCCUUCAGUACAAAACCACAUACAUAUGCAAACUCAACAAAACGCCGUUGUAGACAAACGUGUAUGAAAUGUAAGAAUAAAGGAUGAUAGUUAGAAGGUAAAGAGGGAACUCCUCAGCAGUGAUCUACGUGAUGGAUACUGUACUGAAGUGAGAAGUUUACUAACUACAUACGAAAUGGUGCUAGAUUAGAUAUUGCAAAAAAAAUUACUUAUGGAGGAAAGCCAUAGAGAGCUUGUCUUUUAAGAGAAUGAGAUACUAAUUAGAAAUGCGACCAUGAUUUGAUUUAUGAAAUUAUCAAAAAAAAUUUAGAAUGAUUUUGUCAAUAUAAUUAAUUAAUUAUUAUAUAUAUUCAUAUAAUGCAUUAUAUAAUUAUGCAAAUAUAUUAUAUGGUACGAAGUAUAGUAUAUAUUUAUUAUGAUGUUUAGUUUAGUAUUAGUAUACGUAUAAGUAUUAGGAAUCAUUAUAAUUAUAUAAUAUUUUAUUACUAUAUGCACAUAUAUAUUAUAAUUAUAUGCACAUAUAAAAUACAUUUAUAAAUAUAUAUAAAUAGUAAUAUGUAAAUAUAUAUUAUAAAAAUAUUUAUAAUAUACAUUUAUAAAAAUAUUAAUUAAUUUAUAAUAUACUUUAUAGUCAUAUAAUAUAUUAGUAUAAUUAUACAAUGCAACACAUAAAUAUAUAUAAUAAAGGCUUAAUUAAAAAAAAUGCAUUCUAAAUUUUCUUUGGAUAAUUUGAUAAUCCAAAUCGUGGUCCCAGUCUGUAAAGUAGCACUUUCUCGUAAAAGACCAGCUCUAUAUGGCCUUCCUCCAUUAUAAUAACAGAGUACCCUUUUUUCCAUAAAUAAUUAUAAUUAUCCAGUAAAAUAAGAAAAAAAUUGAUUUACUUUAAUUGACCAACUCUUUAUGGCUUGUCUCCAUUAUAAGAACAGAGUACCCUUUUUUCCAUAACUAAAUUUAUUUAUCGGAUAAAGAGGAAAAAUGAACUCGCUUUUCAAUAAAAGACCAGCUCUUUAUGGCUCUCCUUUAUUAUAAGAAAAGAGUACCCAUUUUUUCGUAAACAAAUGCCCUAAUCGGAUUGAAAUGAAAAUAAACAAGUUUUUCAAUAAAACGCUAGCUUUUUGGCUAUCGUCCAUAAAUUAUCCAAUGUCUGAUUUUUCCAUAAUGUAAUUCAGGGGAGGUUUCUGAAAGUAUCCCAAAAAACAUGUUGUGUAUAUAAUAUUAAUAAAUUAUAUAAAUAGAAAAUUACAUUUGUUAUUAUGAAUAGAUUGUAAUCUGCUGCCUGUAAAUUGUCAAUUGCGCAUAAACCGCUUCGGAAUAAUCUAUCCAAUACCGAAUCGGGUUGAUUUUCGUUUGACUAAAUCGGGUUUGCCUCCCUCCACGCCCGUCCCUGCCUGAUCAAUUAUCCCACAAAAAGUUUGUCUUUCUUGAACUUCUCAUCGUUUCUCCUGUUAAGCCCAUCAAACGCCGCGGGUGUUGUGUGAACACACUGAACAGCUUCGGUUUAAACUUUCCCCCCUUCUGAAAUUUGGAACAUUUCGAACAGUUUUAGGCGGCAAGGUCCAAAUAAAUCGGAUUUAUCGCGUUCGCUUCCUCUGUUGCUCAAAGUACUCAACACUUGAAUCGCAUCCCGAAGCAAGCAUAGCCAGUAACAUGGAGGCCUGUAUGAGUCUUCCAGUGUAUGCAGGCAUGUGGGUCGACGUAGAAGCUCUCGCUGGUGAGUGUAUCGAUAUCACGGAAUAUCUUAAUGCCCAAAAUUUGUUAAAUUUGCUGGCACAUAAUGACAAGUGCUAUGCUGCGAUGGUUAGGGAAUUCUAUGCUAACUGUAGGGCAAAUAAGCAGAAGUCUGUUCUGCGUUCAAUGCUUAGGAAUGUACACAUGGAAUUGUCUACUGAGGUUUUGUGUUCAGAGUUUGGAUUGGUUGACAGUGGAUACACUGUUGACUAUAAACGGAUUAACGCAAAGAAUGUAGAUAAGGUUGUGUGUGAAGGGGUACAAUGACCUAGAAUUUCUUGGAGAGAUUAGGCAAAAUGGUGACAGAGUUAUGAACAUGGGGAAGAAAACUAAGUUUUAUGGGCCGUAUAUGAAAGUGUUGCCACGACUGUUACAUCUGAUAAUAACUCAUAACAUUUUACCCAAAGCCGGAAGUAUCACUUCCGUUAGUGCAUUAGAAAGAGUUAUAUUGUGACAUAUGUUACACAAACAACCCGUCAACAUAGGCAAUUUGAUCAUUGCAACGAUGCUCAACAGGAUUAGGAAGAUUAAGAGCAGGGAGAAUAAGAGAACACAUCUCCCUUUUGGUAUGUUGCUGACCAGGCUCUUUAGGCGCUUUAAUGUGCCAUUCUUGGCUGACCACGUUGACAAAGGAUUUUAUGCCCAAAAAAUAGAAGUAUCGUACUUCAAAAAACUGGCAUUCAAAGCUGAAGAUGGUGGUGGAUGUGGAAGAAAUCCUAUACCUCUUAUGCUGUCAUUGGUCAGACUGGGGACGCGAAUAGAAAAGUUGAAGAAAUAAAAGAGAUGGAUAAGGGGGGAAGUGUGCUGGGGUAGAGGUGAGGCCGGUUGUGGGAGAAAAGGCACACCUUGUAGAUGUUGUCUUACUAUCUGAACAAACCAGAAAAGGGGCAAGUGUAUGUGACAAUGUUAUUUUACUCCUUUUUGUUUCUUCUUCUCGAUGGCAACACAGGAGCAUAACCCAAUAUUUGUAUGACUAGGUUGUGGAUAAAGUGACACAAAUUUUACAACGGGUUGGUGCCAGCGAAGUGAAGGACUGCAGAUUUGAGGAAUUGCCAUUUCUACGAGAUGUAAGACAUGCUCUUGCGCUCUCCUGUAAUCCCCUUUAUAUAUGCUAAUACCUUUAUUGUCCAGUGUCUACCACAAGCGUCCGGCGUAGCACCUGAUGAAUUGAAAGAAGCCGUAUGCUUUCAUGUCAGACAACUCGUCCGCAGAUGUAUGUUAAAAUAUCGGUACUGUCAAUGGCUAACACUGAUCUCGCUUUCAUCUGUUUAUUGUACUCAUGUCAAUCAUUGUUCACAGCUGUGUCAAUACACUAGAUAGGCAGCAUCUCUUUGAUAUUACAAGAGAAGAACUGAGCAAGUGAUGCUUCUGGAGACAUGUCUCAGUGACAGAGUAAGUUUUUUAUGCGAUUGCACAGGCCUACCUUGUUCACUAAUCUCGCUAAAAAUAAUAACUCAAUGUUGAAUGUUUGAAUUUGUUCCAUUCUGUGAAGGUUGUGACCCAGUACCUUCACUUACUCCAGAAAGAAUAUAAGCAAUUUGUUUUCUUCAAUCCUAUGUUUUGGGUACGUAACGAAAAUUAUUGUAUGUGCUGUUGUGUCUUGCAAAUGUGGACCUAAUACUUGCUUCUCAAUCACUUCGUUGUAGCUGAAAUGCGUGUUAGACUAUCCAUGCAUAUCUCCCGCAACCAAAAAAUUCGUUGAUCAGAGCAAUGACGACUCCAUGACAAAUCCUGAAAAGGUAAACAUUAGCUAUCAUUCUCGCCUUUACAUUCUUAUACAAUAUGAGUAGCAGCUGCAUGUUAGUGGAAUUGGAUUCAGCCUAACAUGGCCUUAGCUUUUAACACAUUCAACAUUGCUUGUUGUAUGCGAUUGCAGAUUUUUUUCCCAAUCGUUUAUUCAAAUCAUUGGUUGCUCAUGAUUGCACAUGUCAAGGACAAACAAGUGUACAUUGUUGAUUCUAUAGACAAUUACAAAACCUUCUACCAAGGUUUGAUGCAAUCUAUGGUGAGUAAACUUCAAAAGCGUACCUUAGCUUCAUUUCCGAAGAAGGUAACAUAUUUCUAACAUUCGAUACUUGCUAUAUUUAUUUCCUUUUUUAGGAAUGGAUUUUGAUGAAAAUUUUCCACGAAAAUCAACCCUGGACAUUUAAUCUUGUAAAACACAAACUAAAACAGAGACAGGCGAGUUGCGGGGUUUUCACUUUGAAGUUUGCGCAAUGUUGGGCAAAGGGUGUCGGCCACAAUUUGUAAGUGCACAAAUGGACAACCCCUUGUGGCAAGCUCACUCUAUUGCGUCUGACAUUGUUUCUGAAUGUAUGUACAGCUUGAUGUUGUCAUUGCUAGAAAAUUUAUUGCCUGGGAGAUCGCUUUGGGGAAACUUGCGGACCCGUUCGCUUAUGCUGCUUGCCUGAUAGAAAAUAAACAGGCACAUGAGGCUGUAACCAGAGGAGAUUUGCAAGAUGAUGCUACUAAGGAUGUGGGGCAUCAGGAAACAGGGAACGGUACAUUAUGUCUCGCCUUUACUGUAAUUGGUUCGUUGCAUAUGAAGGCAAUAUUAAAUUUUAAAUUCUUUAGGGCUGUAGCAAAUUAUUGGUACGAAAUUAAUCAUUGUAUAAAGAAACAUAAAAAGUGUAUGUACCUCUGUGCCAAUGUAUCUCCUCGUGACCAUUGCAUUCACAAAUUGCUUUUCUACUCCAGUAUUCCAUUAUUGCAGGGCUGCUGCUCACAAAUUUGUCAUAAAUUCUCGACCACAGAACUUUGCUUUACACUUUCAAUUCCUCUUGUUUGAUUUCGCAUUAUGACAUUCAAAUUGGAUCUCACAUGCAAAAUUCAUGUGCUGAAAUGCUGUAUGCCUUCAAUUUUUCCCCAGCCGAGGUACAAGGGUGAAAACAAGCCCGCCAGAACUUGCAUCCGCCAAUGAUUCAAAGAAGAAGUUCUUAUUCUUGAUUUGAAUGGAGUGCUUCUGGGCAGUGCAUUUACAAGGAUGACCAGAAAUCGGGACUUUAAUUUCAGACCACGUUGCUUUGAAGUUUUGCAGGUCUGUCUGUCAUAUUUUGAGGUGGCUGUUUGGUCAUCAAAGCUAAGGUAUCCGCCAACCUAUAUUUGAAUUACUUCAUUAACUAGAACGUCCACAAGUUUUUCUGUUAUGUUCUGAAUUCAAGACAGUUGUGCUUUCUGCAGCCACAACAUUCAACCAGUGUUGGACAGUCUAUCCAAAAAAAUGAAUGAACGUUUGGAGCAGAGACUGUUAUUUGUUUGGGUGAGAUGUCAUUCAUAAAUUACUUCGAUUGUGUGUAGUCAGUCCAUGUGUAAGACUUCUGAUAAAUGAAAGUCGGAAACAAUCAAUAUUGCGCAGGAUCAGUCGCGGUGCACUAUGACACAAACCAGCCUUAGGGAAAAUCCAGACAAACCGGUGAUGUUUAAGGACCUGAAACAUGUGUGGGGAGAAUAUAAGUCGUACAACAACUCUAACACGAUAUUAGUCGAUGAUUCUCCGUAUAAAUCCUUCCUUAAUUCUGUAAGUGCCCAUACCCACUGAUCGUUAUGUUGUAUAUGUUCCGUAUGCACAAACAACAUGAUCAGGGCUAACUGUUUCCAUAUUACUCAUUCUUCAGCCGUACAAUGCCAUCUUCCCCACCUCUUAUACAUGUUACACUGUAGAAGACAAUUAUUUGGGUAAGACGCGGUUCGUGAUGCAUUGAAAUGUGGCUUUUGCUACGGUAAGCACAGGGUGAAAGAUUGGCCUGACACAAAACUUAUUUGCAGAUCCUGAAGGAGAUUUUGUACGACACCUGAAGAUUGGCCAGUGCUGAUAAUGUACAAGAUUUCAUUAAGCGAAACCGUUUUGGACAAUCACCCGUAACAGAAGGCAGUGUGGAGUGAAACUUUUAUGUUAAUGUUGUCAGCAAGCUUGGACUGCAGAACACAGCAAAGCAAGUGACGCGCAAACGGGAAGCCCCAAACAGAUAUUAUCCGGAGGUAUCCAUUGCAUUCAUGUUCAGGAAUAUGUUCACAAUAGUUCAACACCUCGUUAUGAUAGCUAAAAUUGCGUCUGGUCAUAUGCACAGACCAAGAAAAAAGGAAAAUUUGAAAGCAUGAGGAAGAUCAGUGUUCACUAUACGGAAGCUUCUCCAAACCAUUGGAGUAGAGAACCUCUCUUCUGAUGGGACACACAAGCAAAACUUUUGUGCUUUAGUGAGACACUGGGCCUGUCUAAUUCAUAUAUGUUGGUACUACUUUCUUCCCUUACUUGUGUUUUUUGUUUGCAAAGGCCCGUCGCUGAGUUUUUUUAUGCAAAUUCUAAAAAUGUCGAAGUUUGGAAUGACGUAUGUUGUCUGCAGGUUUCGGAAUGCACAUGAGGAAAAAUUAUCAGAUAAUGCCUGUAAUUGCUGUCAAAUGCAGGAUGCGUCAGCCAUAUACUCCUGCUACAAACGUUGGCAUCUUGAACUAUUUGCCCAAUUUUACUCAAAUGUUAACCUUCACCUCCUUGAGAUUCCACAUACAUAUUUAUAAAUGUAUAUUAUAUGUGCAUUUAUAUUUAUAAUAUAUAUGUGUAUGUAGUAAUAAUAUAUUAUAUAAUUAUACUUAUAUUUGUUAUUACAAAUAUACUAAUAUAUACUAAAAAUUAUACUUAUUAAUAUAUAAUAUUCUCUAUAAUUAUCAAAAAUAUUAGUACAACUAUACAAUGUAUUAUAUAAAUAUAUAUUAUAAUUAUUUAUAUAAAUAAAUUUACUAAUUCUAAAUUUUUUGGGAUAAUUUCAUAAACCAAAUCGCGGUCACUUCUGUAAUGUAUCACUUUCCAUAAAAGACCAGCUCUUUAUGACCUUCCUCCAUUAUAUUCGCAAAGCACCCAUUUUUCCAUUAAUAGAUUUAUUUAUCGAUAAAAUAUAUAAUAACUCGUUUUCCAAUAAAACCCAGCUGUUUAUGGCUUUUCUCCAAUAUAAGAACAGAGUACCCUUUUCCAUAAAAAAUUUAUUUAUCGAAUAAAAUUAAAAUAAAUCAGUUGUCUACUAAAACACCAGCUCUUUAUGGCUUUCCUCAAAAUGAGUAAACAGAGUACCCAUUUUCCCAUACGCUAAUUCAGGGGAGGUUUGUGAAAUUAUCCGUAUAAUAUAUAUGUGUAUAUAAUAUUAAUAAAUUAUAUAAUUAUAAUUAUAUAAAAUAUUAGUUAUGGGUGAAGAACGGAACAAGAGAAUUACGGGUGAAUUAUAGGUGAAGAACGGAAAAUAUUAGUUAUUGGUGAAUUAUGGGUGAAGAACGGAAGAAAGCCCAGUUUUCUGAUUUCUCAACAUGCUGGAAGUUGAGACAGUACAUGACACAGGGAGCUUUGCAGUGCAUUUACAAAUUUAUUUUAGGAUAUAGUGGGAAUAAUGAAUUCUUGUAUCGGACGACAAAAUAUAGUUAAAGGCGUUGUCGAAUACAAAUUCAUUUAUCGAAAAGCGAAAAAAUACACCCGUUGUUCAUAAAAAGGGUUUCUUCCGUUAAACUGACACAGUCCCAACGUGCAUCAAAUAGAAAUGUUUAUCGGAUGAAAUAUAGUUAAAGCGUUGUUGAAUAAAGAUCAGCUUCUUUAUGGCUUGCGACCGUGUUACACUGAGAAAGUAUCCAGGGGCCUUAAACACAGAUGUAUUUACCGGCUGAAAUGUACUUAAACCGUUGUCGAAUACAAGAGCAGCUCUUUAUGGCUUUCUCCGUUUUAAGUACGAGGUAACCAUUUUCCGUUAAACAAAUAUUCAUUUAUCGGCUACGUGUAAAUUAAACCCCUUUUCCAAUAAAACCCGGCUCUUUAUCGAUUUCCUCCACUAUCACAACAGAGUACCAAUAUCCAUACUUACUAAUUCACUUAUCGGAUAAAAAUGUAUGGCUAAUUUAUUUGUUCGAUAAAAUCGGAUCGAUAUUAUACUUGAGUGUCAUUUACCCUUUAGCAUAGAAUGCAAGCAAGAAACUAACCUAUUGCAGGUUUAAACUCCGUGUUAAGACAAAUUGUUUCGAAUACGUCAAGACACCUAAUUCAUAAACUCUCGCGAAACAUAAAUUUAAACGCGUUAAUUUUAAUUACCACAAAUCAAAUAUUUCAAUCCUUUUUCAUUUAUUUCUAAUGACUGCAUACCAUGGAGCACUGUACUAGUCAUAACCAACCACAAAUCUUCUCUUAACUCUCGACCACAUGAAGAUUGUGGUACUCGUUAUCCCAUGCCAAGGUCUCCCACACCACCGCCGCGAGUUUGCUCGGUUGAACUUUGCUUUCCUUCCUCUAAUGAAACUCAUAGAUACACACCAACCGCUUGCCUUACUAUGGCAGUUUUUUGGACUCUCUGUCUCGUCUUCUACAUUUUAGGCUACGACGACGUCCAUCCGACUAUGACAGCCCCUAUUACAUGGCCCUUUCCACAAAAUGCCGCUACUUUGUUUCUUAUCUUGCCACCUUCAUCCAACCUCAACUUUAUUCAUCUCCAACCUCCUGUGCGUGUUCGCUUUCCGCAUAAUUUGAUGACGGACAACGUUGGCAUCAUCCAGAACCAAAGACAGUGCUAUUUUUGCGCCGCUCCUGCUCCGAAUUGUACUGCACCGAUAAAUUUGUUACUAUCUCCAUCGUUCGCAACCAAUGCAAGCAACACACUUACUGUUAAAGCACACGACGCCAUUCCUUUUUCCUUACCUGAUUCCAUUUCCAGCUUCAAUUCCACUUGAUAACAUAUCCAUGUACUUCAGCAUGAAUAACCCACAAUCCCACCUGCAUUACAAACCAUAACCACAAAUUUAGACAACCGUUGCUGAACUAUGAAAAAACUUCCAAACCUAUGCACAUGCAACUUACGCAUUCCGUUGCUGUGGACAUGUGGCUGCAGCUUUUAUUUUGUACAGCCAAAGGCAUGACGAAUACUGCCCCUCCAAACCAUAAGUCAGCGCUGCUUCCAACCUUUCAAUCUGAGGGCCAUACAAGAAAAACAUAUGCAAUUUUAAGUUUACUGCCACCAAUUGUAAAGGUGAUGGUCGUGUUCAUGAAAUGUUUGACAAACCAACUUAGUUUACCAUGUCUCCACGGAGCUGCGCCUAUUCAUAUCCGUUUGCUCGUGUCCUCUCAUUGAAUCAUAAAUUAAUACUUCUUCGCUUCCCAUGUCCACCACACACAUAUACCAAUGCUCGUCGUGCCACAUUGGCACGAAUAUCUGAAGCAUAGCAGCGGUUAGUUAGUCAUCAUCAUGGGAAUCUGUAUCUAUUCCAUUAUGCUACAUAACAGGGCAGCUUCUCGUACCUUCUCACACUUUUUUAUAUUACCUCCUACUUUACAUUCCUGUAGAUAUGUACAGUACAGCUCGUCUGCUGAUUUGUUGAACUCCAAAAUCUCUUGCUACAACACGACAGUAAAAUAUGACAUUUUAAUAUGAAUGUACGUACUCACUCCCCCCAACUUUGGCCGAACACUUGUACCUGAAACCAAGUUGGCAUGAACCACCAUCGCAUUGACUGAUCUACAGCACGCCUUUGCUGCCUUGCUGUUUUCAUCGCACAAUAGCAAUUGAUUAUCUGCACCAAACUCAAGUCACAUCACUUCGUCCUCCAUGAAACAGUCCACAUAACACCACCCAAUUUCAAUCCCUCGAUUUACUCACAUCACAUGCCAUGGGUUUUUCAGGAAGCAAGGACCCCAUUGCAUCCCGACUUGCUGUCUGCCCCUUAAUUGACACCAGUACUUCCCUGUCAUUACAACAGGUACAUUAAUCUUUUCCCUAUGUGUAUUACGGUUUCAUAAUCUACAAACUUGAUAUCAUCAUUUUCAAUGACUCGAGUUAAAACGGCCAGAGUAGGUUGCUCUUCCUCACUAAUACAACCAGCAAUCACGGUUUCAAUGACUCAAUCGUUCCUUAGGGUCAUUGAGUUAGCCUAAGGCGGUUAUGUACUCACCAUAAGGGUCAUUGAGUUAUCAUUGUAGUUCCAUUCUCAAACUUCUGGAAUACUCAUUUUAUUCUAUAUGCAAGCAUGUUACCUACCCUUGCUUUUUAUAUAAGCAAGCAUGAUUGACAGCACACAAAUUGUAAGUUUUAUGCUCACUUGUAAACCAAUUUUAACUGCUUCCAAGAUUUUCGUUCCUAUGCCCUCUCCCCUAUGGGGAUAAUCAUACUACAUAUUUAGUCAACCUUAUAAUUGCAAAUACUUUUCUGUCCCCUUUCCCAUUGCAAUUUCAAAUAAGGAUAAAACAAAAUAGAACUGUUGAUUUAACAAAUCCAUGAUCCAGUACAUACCCUUGCGACAGCUGAGUGUCAAACAAGAACUUCAGUAUUUUUGCUCGUCCCUCACUCAAUUUUUCGCCGAUAGAUGCCAGCCUCGUUUCCUGCUACCACAAAAAUAUGUCAUCUUUCAUUGUCUAUAAUUUCCCAUACUUCAGUAAUUCUGGAACGUUGGAAUACUCACCUUUGCCAAUAAAGCAACCAUCUUCGUUUGACACUUGUUCAUCCCACUGCUAUCCAUCUGUACAUAAAACUACAAUUUAUACUUUACUUUUCUAAUGCUAGAAAUACCUUGGCACAAACCGAUGCAUACCUUUAUUCUUUUACCUUGCCUUCUGUUUUGUUUAUCUUCCCACACAGGCUUCUCCGUAUUGUCCAUCCUUAGUCUCUUUCUACUCCUCCACUUUGUAAUUUUCGAUGCACUCUUUUCACCCAUUACAGUACUAUUCGUAGUGACUCUAUCAUUUUCACUCCUGCUUUUGGACCUAACAUCUGGCGUUGUAGGACUAAAUUUAUGUAACUCACUCCCUCUUUUAACAUUACGCGCCAAUCGUCCUUCUGCCCACCCUCCACACCAAGUGCCCGGUUUGUUUUGCACACCCUUCCACUUUCAUACAUGCUCCUCAGCCUUUCAAAACGACAUUCAAUCAUUGCUUCCAUUCUACCAAUACUAUCCUUCACAUCUUUAUUACCACAUUCAAUUUCAAUCAGUUUCUUCAAUGUCUUCUCUACAGCUUAUGUUAUUGUAAAACUGCACAUUGCCCUGUCACUACAAGCCUUCAGUUUUGUACUACUAGUAACGUCACAAAAUGCAGAUUGCAAUUUCAACAACAAUUCACACGAAAGGAUUUUACAUUACCUGUUCCCCCUCAAAUAUGUGAUUCCUCCUCAAUAUUCGCACGCUUUCAUUAAUCUCGUACCUUCCCCAAAAUCUUAGCCUCGGCCCUCUCGGCUGGAACUUGCGAAACUCGUCCUCACCCUCGAUAUAGAAUCGUUCCAGAUAGUAAAUCUGCAGGGACAAAAACGCCUACCAUCAUUUACGGGUCUUUUCUAUCAAAGUUUAAUUUCAUUAUUCCAGCAAUUCCUAUCUCUAAUACAAAAUGGUGCGUCUUUCUUAUACCAUCAAGAAAAGUGCACAUCCCGCUAUUCCGUUGCCGUCUCUAUCACGGAUGCUCUUCACCAAAUUGUCAAGUAUGAAUUUCGACCAGUUCAAAUUUUCAUAUUCUCCGCUGUAGCCACUACAGCCACCAGAUCCCGGCUCACUGUGUCAUCCAAACUUGGUGCUAACAACCUACCAACAACAAACAGUACGAACUUCACUUUGAAUUCUAAGCCUUCGUUAUGCAAACUACAUAUACUAUGCCUCAAUUCCUCCACUACAAUUUCACCGCUAUUUAUUCUGAUAUUCAAUUCUCUUUCCAACUCUGUAUCCAUCUCUUGCCUUCGCUUUUCGCUUUCAAUAUCUUUCCCACGGCUGCUCAAGCCAAGUACACAUUCCACAUCCUCGCUGUCACCUGUAGACAGUGCCCAUGAACGUUCAGUGUCCUCCGAUCUACAUCAAAGUUAUCCACCAGCCACUUCAACAUCUCUUCGUCAACCUCUACUCCCUUCACAUUCAAAAUUGACCCGAAUCCAAACUCUCUGACAGCCUGCCGCUGCUCAUCCGAGAUCCAAUCCACCAUAUUCUUCACAGAAUGAGUUGAGUGGCUUACCAUUGUUUCCGCCGUCCGACGAAUGGCCUUCCUUUCACUGCUGCAACUUUUAUAAUUCGAAGGUGUUCCUCUCUCAUGCAUCAGCGAUACUACCAUUGUUUCCGCGUCCGACGAAUGGCCUUCGUUUCACUGCUGCAACUUCUAUAAUUGAAGGUGUUCCACUCUCAUGCAUCAGCGAUACUACAUUUUCGCUUUCUCCUUCACUGUCCCACUGCAUAUCCGAAGCAUCUAUUUCGGCUGCCAGCUCCAUAACAAAUCCCUAUCUCUGCUAUUCCGCUUGCUCCGGUUUUGGCGCUUCUUCCUUUCUAAUACGCCUACACUGUUUAGCUUAUCCAGUAAGCUUCGCGCCUUUUUUCCCUGCCGUACUUUCGCGUACAAACCCUCACUUUUUCGAUUGCUUAAUUUCGCCCCCUCCACAUUUCACAUGCGCGGUUGGAGUCCCCUUCAACGCCCAAUACAUCUUCCGGUUGCACAUCACAAAAUCCCUUUCCACGUGCCCGGCCAACACACUUCCCCUAUCGUUUGUGGCCCGAAAUGCUUGAAUGUCUUUUCGCUUAACUUUCCACACCUCUGUUUUGACAUCUAAACAUACCGCAGCAACAUCCCAUGUUGAAUGCUUAGAGCUUUUCUUUUCUUUCCUCGUAUGUCGUUUGUAGUGAGACAGAGGGUCACUUCGUGUGACUUUGCUAUUUUCUCCUGAUUGGAACGGAUUGAAUUCUCAAAUAUCAAUGACAAUGGCCGCAGCUUUAUCUUCAAUUUCGUGUGGGUUUUUCGCACCAAACAUGAACUAAUCUCUCCACUCUAGUCAAAGGACAACGGAGGCUCUGGUUCGCCUAAAAAUUGUGAGAUCGAUUUAAUUUAAUCUUUUUUAUUUAUUUAUUGGUAUUCGCAUAUCCCUUGAUUGCUAUGCUUAUGGUUAUUUAAUUAAUUGAUUGUCUUGGAUCCGGAUAAUUAAUUGAUUUGGUAACCUAUUGUCAAUUAGGGCAUUAAAUCCAUAAUUGUUUAAUUGCCCUGAAAUAAUGACAACUGGCACGACUAGAUUCGUGUCAGGGGGAUACGCGAGCUAAUUUGAAAUAACCCUGGUAGUGCGUUAUUUGGUUAGAAUAGGGCUCCUCUAAUACGUAAUGCAAUUGAAAAAUUAAAUCUUAUGGGUCUACCUAGGAUUAUUUCUUAAUUAGAGCAGUGAUUAACGGGCGUACCUUGAUCACCGACACAGUAAGGAGGGGUUGACUGUCAUCGCUUGUUUGGCAGUUAUAACCUAUUUAUCAGUAAAUAAUUGGAAUUGGUUUUGCAUCAAUGAUCAAUUAGGUGAACCAUUGCUGAAGUUAUUCCUUGGCUAGAUCCUUAGUUAUCACUCAUUAGAUUUUAGUAAAUUGUUAUUUAAUUUCUAGUUGGCUAUUUUAUUUUUAUUAUUUUACUUUUAGUUGAAUUGUUUAAAUUAUCACCCCUGAUAUAAAAACACCCCCAUUGUCACUGUGAAUUUGGAAAGGAACAAGUACUCCCAAUCCCUGUGGAUUCGACCCUACUUACCACUAUCUACAGAAAUUACUUUUAGUUUGAGCAGGUUUUAUUAUUACGCAGGCUUUGACAACCUGUCAGAAAUUUCAAGUGAAAUGAUUUUAAAACCUUUUGAAGCAUUUACAUUUGUCUACUUCUUGGAAGUUAUGGUACUCUGUAGUUUGCAAACUAAGACGCAUAUAAAAUGGACUUGCUUACGUUCGUUAUCUUCUAACUCAAAAUUUUCAGAUUCUGUGGAUAUUUCUAUACAUUUGUUAGGGACAAUCCAAUGAGAUUUCUGGUACCCGUAAUCAGCAUGAUCGCUAAAAACCAUGAAUGAAUGAGUUUUGGAGGAUCAAAUGCAACGGGUACGUGUUCGAAUUAUCUUUGUCCCUCAAUAGUUUUUUUUUUUUUUAUUAUUGGUAUAGGGAAAAGUUGGGUGGGUUCGAUACCAAUUACCAGUUAAAGUAUGCUUGUGGCAUCAUAAAACACUUGCAAGAAUUCUUACAAAUUGUUCACCAAUACACUUUUUACAUCUGUAAUAGAAUUCGUGGGUUACAAUGUGAUUCAACUUUUUGUCUCAGCCAAGCAGUUGCUUGACACAGCCAUCCUUGGUAAAUUUGGUUUAAAAAGUUGACAUUAAAAAAAAAAAAUUGGUAUCCAAUUUUCUUUUAAAUUGUCUGAAUUUUGACAUUGUCCUUUUUUUUGCCACAACAUAACAUUUUUAUAAUUUAAUUCAUCCUAUCUAUCUAUAAGGAGAGGAAGGCUGUUUGAAUUUUGACAUUAUUCACUUUUCAUUUUUUUUUCUGUGUAUUUAUUACGUAAUGCUGAUUGUAUCCGACAAUCUACAAUACAAGUCAAGAUAACGACUUCUGAAUAAAGUUGAAUCUUUCGUUAGAAAAGAGCGACCCAAAGCAAAAUAUCUUCUUUUCUUUUCUUUUCUUUUUUUUUUUUUUUUUUUAGGAAUGCAAAGCAUCUUUCGAGAAACGAAAGCCACAAAAGUGUAAAGUCUAUCUUUAUGCAUCCUAAUGAAUCUUCAUCAUGUGUCUAGAAAAGGGCUUCAAACGCAAAUACAUAAACAAAACAAAACAAAACGCUAUGGACGGUUGGUCCGCCACGGAAGGACAGUCUAUCAAUUACCUUGGUAGACCCAAAUUUAAAAAAUCUGGCAGAAUCUAGAUCAUUGGGCAUUUAAAAAUCGAUUUACUCGUGUGAGCCAUCGCAGAGUACAAGUGUGAGCCAUUACGGAGUUGUGAGGUCAACCUUGAAAAAAUUCAUAAAGCAAACAAGGAAAGUUUUGAAAAUUAUAAGCUGGUCAUGCAUUUACACUCCCUCAAAUUUCUUGGAUUUCCUUUCUCCUUUAUAUAGUCCCUCUAACUUUCAAAGUAAUUGCAUUUAUUGCCUUCUUGAACGUGAAUUCAUUCAAAAUGAUAUUAUAUGUUAUUUAAAUCAAAUAAAGAAUCUUCAAACUUAGUAAGAAAAUUUUUGCCUUAGAUGAUAAUGUAAUGUAUAUUAAAGUAAUUGCCCCUAACCUUUGGAUCUUGAUUUCACCGUUGCCUCUGUGAAGAAUAUACUAUAUGUACACAUAUAUUGUAUAACAAAAUAUAUGUAUUUAUUAUAGAAGUACACAUAAUAUUUGUGCCGUGAGCGUUGCGAGAAAUGUGAUAGAAACAUCACCAAGUGCAAUUGCAAUAUGAGACUCUUAGAGGCACCUGGUGAAGAUCGAUCUACCUUUUGUCAAAUUUUGUUCACAAAAUGUACAAUUACCAUAAUUGUUCAAGGGUCAAAUUUGGCCAAGAAAACAAAAACUUAAUUAAGAAAUCGCACAGUUUGUUUGUAAAGAACUAUUUAAAAAUCUGUAUGCUGUCCAAUAGUGGAACCACUGCCCCAAAACUCCCGGGUGACAAUGUGAAAUCUGAAGGCACUACGCACCCAGAGCCAGAAGACGCAUAAAGAAGCCAAAUGAAGCAACAAGAUGAUACUAGUCAAUAGAAUUGCUCAAGUACAAAAGUGAAUGAGAAAACACAGGGCGAGCACUUGAACCUUAUUUUGUUCUUUUUCUUUUUCUGUUUUUUGGACAGACUGCACAUGAAAUUGGGUAAGAAUGAUAAUUAUCUUUGAAUUGACGUGUCCUAAUGUCGCUCUAUGUUACCUAAAAUCUGAACCAGAACUAAAUUUUCUGGACUUUCUGUUGAUUUAUUUAGCCCGCACGGCAUUCGGCGUCGCACUCCUCCUUGAAACAACGUUGAAUUUGGGUGUAGUGUGGGAGGAUGAUAUGAAUUUUUGCUGCGUAGCAAUUUUGGAAGUAUAUUUAUACUUUUACAUUUUCUAAGAAGGAAUAUCUUGGAAACAUUAGAAAAUAAAAGACUGUCUAUACCAGAUAAGCAUCAGCACUAAAUUGCCAAAACUUUGCAGUUUUUGUACUAAAAUCUAGAAUCCCUUUAGAAGGCAAUUGGGAAAAAAAAAAAAGAAACAUAAAUAUAACCAAUAAUAUUUUGGAAAAAACUGCUUUCAAGUUCAAGAUGAUUUUAAAUUUAAAAAGCAGAAAGACAAUGACAUUCUUAGUGGAAUGCUUACUAGUUUUCCUAUUUUUUUGGGCAAAUUAUAUUUUACCCCCCUGUGGUUUACCCUUUUUUUACAUAACCCCUAUGAUUUCAAAAACUAUACAUAAUCGCCUCAUAGUUUGGAUUAAAGUGUCAAAGUAACGGAAAUAGUCACUCGUAAUAGAACUUCUAAAAAUGUCGAAAUUACUCUUAUAAAUACAUGACACAUUUACCCCGUAUGAUUUUUAUAUUUUACCAUAUAACUCCCUUAUAGUUUAAUAAUUUACCAUAUAACCCCCUUAUGAUUUUCAAAAUAUACACAUAACCCCCCCCCCGAUUAAUACAUAAAUUUCAACUUUACAUAAGGGUAUUUUUGACAUUUUAGGUGACGCCGUUAUGAAUGAUCAUUCCCGUCACUUUGAUACUUUAUUCCAAACCAUAAGGGGAUUAUGUAUAACUUUUGAAACCAUAGGGGGUUAUGUAAAAAAAAUGCUAAAUCACAGGGGGGUAAAGUGAAAUUUGCCCUAUUUUUUUUAGUAGCUUUUGGAGUUAAAAUGGACUAAGCUAUUCAGAUGGUCCUUAUUAUCCCCCUUCUGAGAAAGGAAAAGGAAAACUAUUAGCAAGAGACGAGUCAUUAAGCAGUUAUCAUUUUGGCAUCCAAUUUGUCAUUUUCCACAUUAAUCCUCACAGAAAGCAAAUUUGAAAUUUUACCAUAUACCAUACACCUAAUCUACCAUAUAUAUACAUAUACUAACAAUUAUUGUCCUCCAUUCCAUUUAUAUAUUUUCUCUAUUUAAUCUUGCCUAUUUUCUUUCUCUAUUUAAUCUUACCUAUUUUCUUUUGUAUUUAUUUACUUUCCCUAAUUAAUCUUACAUUCCUAAAAAUAUGUUAUCUGAAAUAUAUCUUAACAAAUACCCUAUAAGUAUCCAUUAGAUAGACCUCAAAAACAGAAAAGAAAGAAAAACUAUAAUCGUUUAAGGGCAAAAUGUUGUAAUGGCUCUCAAACUAUUACAAAAUUUAACUUUUGACCAUCCAACUAUUAAUUAAUAAGUUUUAGUCCUCCAACUAAUUAAAACAUGUAAUCAUAAACCUUCCAUCAACUUAAAUCGUUAUAUUUAAUAGAAAUAGCACGAUAUGCACAAUAGUAGCGCUCAAACUAUUAUAAAGUUCAACUUUUGACCCUCCAAUUAUUAAAUUAUAAUUUUUCCCCUCUAACUAAUUAAAGUGUAUAAUCUUAAGGGAAAAUCGCCAAUUUAGUCCUUAAAGUAUUUUACUAAAGCUGAUUUGGUCCCUCAACAUUUUAUCGCACGAAUUAAGUCCCUUAACUAAAAUUCUUGUGCCAAUUAAGGACCUAUAUGGUGUUGCCAUCCAAAACACAUGUAUCUGUACAGAAACAAAUGGCGAGGCAUGGGCUUUUUUGGAAGUACACAAUAGAAUUUCUACGGGAAGCAAAGACAUAACCCAUUUCGCAUCCAAAUUGGGGGAAACCUGUGAAAUUAGGGGUUUCCAAGACUGAACCCAUUUUGCAUCCAAAUAGCGGAAGAAAUUAGGGGUUUUCCACCGAUGCAAAUUGCCAGCAAUGGAGGGAGAUUUUUGCACAUGAAACUUGAGAAAGGACUUAAGGGUUGAACAGACUAAAAAAUACAUAACAAUAAACUCAACCAUAAGGUCAUCAGCCCAAGUUUCUACAGGACUUGCAUUUCUAUGAGUAUAUCUGCCAAACAAACAUCCAACAUAAGAUUGACAUACAUGAUUGCAUAAAAGCUUAUUAAUACCUUCAACCAGCUAGAAACCAACUCAUUUUACAGGCUAAUAAGCUUUUCAAAUGAUACUUGGACUCACAAAGAUUAGAAAAAAGAUCAAGAAUCCAUGAACUCAUAGUAUUAUCACUUUUCUUCCAAGAAAUUAAUAGUACAACAUAAACUAGUAAACAAAAGGGAUAAAUUUGUACCUUACUUUAUUCGUGUAUCCAGUGUACAUCUGUACAAAGGUUUUCACCAUCAUGAGUUCCUCUAGUUUUGCCUUUUGCCCGUAAUAGAAUAUGCAGACUCCAACUAUAAACAAUGCAUGCGCUCAAGGGUGCUCGCAUUGCAGCAAAGUAAGUGACGAAAAAAGCAUCGUGGACGCAUAAAUUGGAUGGCGGACAAACCGCUAUGGCCCAAACAGCACAACAGCAGUCGGCACAACUACCUUCUCUGAAUACUUUGCCAAAUGCAACGUGGAGUGGUACUGCAUAAACAAUGUCAACAUUUAUCAAAAUCCAAAUGCCCAAAUUACUCCAGCCACCAGGAACAAGAUGUAAUUCUGGCCCCUCAAAUGCUGCAAACCAAUGGCCAACCAUCACUCCAACACAGAACAAGAGUUUUUGCCACUUGGGCAGGGUAAUAUCCCACACGGGAUCAUGCUCUCUGGGAUAAUAAUCACCAUACAACCGCUUUCGGACACUCACAUUGAAGAAAAAGAAGUAGUGGUAAACAAAGAAAAACACAAUAGGCCAUCCUUCGAGAAAACCAUUGAAAUGUGCUGGGGGUACUAAAGUGAGCCAAGUAAAUGCUGCAGUAACAAUUGAAAGCUGCUGAAAAGCAUUGGCAUUGCCGUGUAAAUGCCGGUAAAAGCAGUAAAGACCGUAAAUUGCAAGACUAAUAGCUACCAUCCAAGGCCAAAACAACCAAGUCCAGCUAAAAUAUAUCCAGAAGAAAGGGCUGAAUAGCACAUUGAUCGUCCACUUUCAGGCUGCAACUGCAAUGGAGGAAGCCAAAGACCAUUUGCAUACCUCGAAUGGGGUUAAAUUUAAAAGGGUCGAUUUUAGUGACUCGAAAGAAACGUUUCUGAGGGCUAUUAUGACUGGGUUCGGAGAGUCUGGGCUUGUUUUUACAUCAAAAUAGGGAAAAUCGCCAAUUUUUUGGAAAACCCCUAAUUUCACAGGUUUCCCCCAAUUUAGAUGCGAAAUGGGUUCUGUCUUUGCUUCCCGUAGAAAUUUUAUUGUGUACUUCCAAAAAAGACCCCUGCCUCGCCGUUUGUUUCUAUACAUAUACAUGUGUUUUGGGUGGCGACACCGUAUAGGUCCUCAACUGGCACAAGAAUUUUAGUUAAGGGACUUAAUUCGUGCGAUAAAAUGUUGAGGGACCAAAUCGACUUUAGUAAAAUAGUUUGAGGACUAAAUUGGCGAUUUUCCCUAAUCCUAAUCCUUUCAUCAACUUAAGUCAUUAUGUUGAACAAAAACACCACUACACAUGUGACGGGUGCAUAAUCGAGGGGCGUUUUCAUCUUCAUAGGAAAUGUGCUAGGCUAAAAUUGUUUUAUCCCCGUUUGACUCAUAAACUAAUUUACCAAAUCUCCAAUUGUUGAACUUGAGCAAAAUCAAUGAAAACCAAAACCCUAAAUAGAGAAAUUUCAGCAAGGAUAGGCAAUUUGAAGAAAUUGAGUUGCUUUCAUUCGGAAUUCAACUCAUUUUUCAAUGUUGUUCCAAAUUUACUAGGUUCAUGUGCUUCUCUUAAUGACAUAAAUUCGGCAUACAAUUCAUUUUUUUGGAAUAUUCCAACAACUUUUGGUCCCUUUUCAAGCUUGAACUCUCUAAAUCUUUCAAAUAAUCAAUUCUCAACUUCAUAUCACUACAUCAAACCAUUUUGAUUUGUCAAACAAUAGGUUAGUUGGGUACAUUCCAAAUUCUUUAUCAAUAAAUGUUUCUAUUCGACAUAAUGACUUAAGUUGAUGAAAGAGUUAAGGUUAUACAUUUUAAUUAGUUCAGGGGUUAAAACUUAUCAAUUAAUAAUUGGAGGAUCAAAAGUUAAAUUUUGUAAUAGUUUAAAGGCCAUCAAGGCAUUUUGCCUAUCUCCUGAACUCUGUUAGAUAUAAUGACUCAAGUUGAUGAAAAGGUUAAAAUUAUAUGUUUUAAUUAGUUUGAGGGAUAAUAAUUAGAGGGCAAAAAGUUAAAUUUUAUAAUAGUUUGAGGGCUAGCGGGACAUUUUGCCCAUAGUUUAAUGAUUUAGUAGUUUCCAUUUUGGCAACUAUUUCGUCAAUUUCAAACAUUAAUACUCAUAAAAAGCAAAUUUGAAAUUCUAUGGACUUAGAGCCUUCCAGAAUUUUGCCUACCAUACCAAUUAAUGUACUGCUGCUACAACAAUACAGCCAAAAGUAGAAGCAUCUCAAUUGAUUGAAGUACUCCGCUGAUUGCACUUCCAUCUCCAGCAGAGGAACUAGUCAACCAAUCUUCCGCUUAUGGGCUCUUCAGGAGAUAGUAGUUACAAGACCCUUCCACAAAAUGAGAAAAAACCAGUUUUAACACACACACAGUCUCAGGUGAGAAAGGAAGCUAGUGAUGAGCUAGAAAGGAUAUUGAGUAACACAGAGGUACCAUUUAUCAAGCGGGUGGUACCAGCAACAUGGAUAGAGAUCAAGCUUCUUGUUCACUUGGCUGCUCCCGCAGUCGUUGUUUACAUGAUAAACUACCUCAUGUCUAUGCUCACACAAAUCUUUUCUGGCCAUCUUGGAAAUCUUGAAUAUGCAGCUGCUUCCUUGGUAACAAUGGAGUUCAAACUUUUGCCUAUGGUCUCAUGGUACUCUUGAUCUUUCCUCACUUUAUUUAUUUAUUUGUUAAACAUUAAAAAGAUUUAUUCCAUGGUACAAUCCAAUUUCUUCUUCUUCUUCUUCUUCGUGGGACAUGAACUCCUACCGGUUACAUAAAGGAAGGAAAAAUGCCAAAGGGUACUCCCAAAUUGCAUUUUACUUGUUUAUGUACUUGUUUGCAUUUAGUGUCUAUGGUGGUGGGAAAUUUUCAAGGACCUUUUUCUUUAAAAUAAUGCAUCCAUAAAGAAAUCUUUUAUCGGUGUAUACCUGCUUUUUGGUCCAAGAAACCAAAAAUCCAAAAAUAGUAUUCCAGCUUUCCCUUGAUGAAUUUGUUGGUUCUUUGGCCUUUCUGGUGCACCAACUUUUUGCUUUUUCCUUUUACCCCUGGAAUUUGAAUGGUCUUUAUUUGGUAAUUUGUCUGAUAUUUUUGUCAUUUCUCUCAUGUUUCCUUCUUGAAGUCCAAUUGUAGUUAUAGAAAUUGUACAAUCCAUAACAUUUCUUUGUUUUUAAAACCUUACAUAGUUCAUUUUGAGACAGAGAAAGUAGAAAUUUUCCAGAUUAUAAUUCAAGUUUUGAUGAUCUGAUCCUCAUUUUUUUUUUGGGAAACAGCUGGGAAUGGGAAGUGCUGUUGAAACACUAUGUGGACAAGCAUAUGGAGCACGUAGGUACGGCAUGCUAGGCAUAUAUCUUCAAAGAUCAGCCAUCCUCCUAACUCUAACUGGAGUGUUACUUACAAUCAUAUACAUAUUUUCUAAGCCUAUUCUCUUAUUACUUGGUGAAGCACUAGACAUUGCAUCAGAAGCAGCAAUAUUCAUCUAUGGCUUAAUCCCUCAAAUAUUUGCCUAUACUGCCAACUUCCCUAUACAAAAAUUUCUCCAAGCACAGAGUAUUGUAGCCCCAAGUGCCUAUAUCUCUUUUGGAACACUAGCUUUUCAUGUCUUAUUCAGUUGGUGUACCCUGGUAUGCCGAUUUAGUGAAUUUCUUAGUGACUAAUCAAUUGCCUGCAGGGUGGCCAAAGGCUAAGAGAGACAAGUUGAAGAGUGAUGCUAAAUAUUACAUUUGGGACGACCCGUACCUUUGGAGACAAUGUUCGGAUCAAGUGCUCAAGAGGUGUGUAAGUGCAGGCGAAUUUCACUCUAUUUUAAAUUUCUGUCAUUCGUUUGCAUGUGGAGAGCAUUUUGGGCCCAAGCGAACAGCUCGCAAAGUGUUAGAGAGUGGCUUUUACUGGCCUACCCUGUUCAAAGAUGCUUAUUUAUUCUGUAAAUCCUGUGAUAGGUGUCAAAGGGUGGGAAAUAUUUUUCGUAGGGACCAAAUGCUUCAAACCCCCAUGUUGUUUGUUGAAAUUUUUGAUGUUUGGGGGAUAGAUUUUAUGGGUCCUUUUCCCUCAUCUUUUGGUUUCCUAUACAUUUUACUUGCUGUAGAUUAUGUCUCUAAAUGGGUGGAAGCCAAAACCACCCGUACUAAUGAUUCUAGAGUGGUUGCAGAGUUCUUAAAAUCUAAUAUCUUUGUCCGUUUUGGAAUGCCAAGAGCUGUAGUUAGUGAUAGAGGGACACAUUUCUGUAACAAGACUAUCACUGCCUUGUUUCGAAGAUACGGUGUACUCCAUAAGGUAUCCACACCGUAUCACCCGCAGGCAAACGGUCAGGCCGAAGUGUCAAACAGGGAAAUCAAGUCGGUCUUGGAGAAGAUGAUGCGUCCGGAUAGGAAGGAUUGGAGUUUAAAACUAGAAGACGCACUAUGGGCGUAUAGAACCGCGUAUAAGACGCCAAUUGAGAUGUCUCCGUAUAAACUUGUCUUCGGUAAGACUUGCCAUCUUCCCGUAGAAUUCGAACACAAGGUGUUUUGGGCAGUGAAGCAGUGUAACAUGGGAUUAGAUGAAGCAGGGGUCCAAAGGAAAUUGCAACUACAAGAGUUAGAGGAGAUAAGAAAUGAAGCGUAUGAGAAUGCCACGAUCUAUAAGGAAAAGAGUAAAACCUUUCAUGAUCAACGAGUUUCCAGAAAAUCUUUUGUAGUGGGGACAAAAGUCCUCUUGUAUCACUCGAGACUUAAACUUUUUCCCGAUAAGUUGCGUUCUCGUUGGAUUGGUCCAUUUGUCGUUUCUAAUGUGUUUCAUUAUGGUGCAGUGGAGAUCCAAAGUUUAAAAACGGAGAAAAAGUUCGUGGUGAAUGGCCAUCGUUUUAAACCUUAUUACGAGGGGUUCUCUAUUGAAGAAGUAGAAGUUGAACACCUCCAACAUCCACUUUAUAAUGCUUGAGCGUUUUGGCCAUGUCUAGCCAAAGACAGUAAAGAAAGACGCUACUUGGGAAGCAACCCAAGACUAUUUGUUUCAGUUUUCAUGCAUUUUUGAAGUUUUAGUUAAGUGUUAGUGUCAAUUAAUAGUUUGAUGUUUGGUUGCAGGAAAUUAGUAGUUAAGCGUGCUCACGCCAGGUGGUCACGCCUGAGGGGAAGGAAUUUUCGUUCAGGUUCUACGGACUCCAUAGCAGUUAGACGUGCCACGCCAAGUGGUCACGCCUGAUGGAAGGAAUUUUCGUUCAGGUUCUGCGGACUUCAUAGCAGUUAGACGUGCCCACGCCAGUUGGUCACGCCUGAUGGAAGGAAUUUUCAUUCAGGUUCUGCGGACUUCAUGGCAGUUGAGCGUGCCCACGCUAGGUGCUCACGCUAAAAAAAAAAAAAAAAAAAAAGGGCCAAAAGACGAAAUUGCCCUUAUUGAAAAAGAAGAAAAAAAAACCGUAGCCCUACUUCUUCUUUUCUUCCUUUUUCUUUCUUUCUUCUUCUUCUUCUUUCUUGUCUUUUUGUCCGCCGCCGCACCUCCCUUUCUCCACACGCCGCACGAUCACCGCACCGCACCUAGCCGCGCGCGACCCAGCUGCGCCGCACGACAGCACCACCAGCAGCUUCUCAGCGCGGACCACCAGCCGCAGUUCCAGCGCCUCAGCUCCACCGUGUGCGGUUCCGACGCCUCCUUCACCAGCCAAGCCCGCCUUGCUCCAGCAGCAGCCACGACCAGCAGCAACGCCGCCGCACUCGCCGCCACCUAGCCGCGCGCAGCAGGAGCCCACUGUGCGCGCAGCUUCACCAGCCACCAGCUGCCUUCGCACGGCCAGCUCGCGCGUGCAACCACCCACCGCACGCAUGGAUCAAGCCAGCUGUGCACGGUGCGCAGUCAACCGCCAAGCGCCUCGCCCAGCUCUUUUCUCUGCCCAUCGCGACUCCAGAUCGAGCAAGGCAAGGUCAGUCUGCACGCACCUGCUCGCCUACCCAGGCGUGCGCCAGACCAGCGCAGCUCUUCCCCCCUUUGCGCGCAUUCCCCUGCUCUCCAUUUCACUCACGGCCACUCACCCGCUCCGGGCGCAACCGGAGGCGCAGCAGCCAGCUAGCUCACGCGAGCCAGCCACGCGCAACAAGGGUCAACCGCGCGCCGCCUUCUUCCUCCUCUAGCGCCACCUGCGUUCUUUUUCUCUUCCACCCAUAGCAACUACCGGUUAUCCCCCAUGGUGAUUUCUUUCUUUAAUUUUUUGUCACUAAGUAGCUGAGGCCAGAUUACUAGCUUUUAUUAGCUGAUGACAGAUUUUAUUUUCGUAGCUGAGGCCAGAUUCUUUUUAGUUGCUAAUUGAGGACAGAUAUUUUGUGCUUGAUUUGGGUCCUGUGCCGUAUCUGUAGUUGAUUGUUGCUUAUUAGGUAUAUUUUGUGUUCAACCGGGGUUAUCAGGGGGAGGUUUUCACUUCGGUUGCCUGAUUAUUUCGUUUUUGAGGGGGUUUUGCUCUGUUUAUUUGAUUAAUUACUUUUUGGGUCAAAUUGGUAGUAUUUGGGAGAAUGUUGCUGUUCAUAGGCUUAAUUUAUUUUUGGGUGAGUUCAUUGCCUGCUUUUGCACGUGAUUGCGAGUGGGGAGUUGUGACUGAGAAUCAUUUACUUUGGGGCCACUUGUGACUUCUUUGGAACACCAUUUCCUUGCCUCCACCCUGCCCUCUGCAUUCAAAUGACUAAACCAAAAAAUAAGGGCAAGAGCAAACCUUCCACUUCCACCCCUCAACCUACGGUCCCCUUAGGGGGACCUGCCCCUCGACUGGGCCAGGAGGGCCCCGUACUC
rnacentral:lncRNA from 1 species